AUCAGGGUUCCUUAGACUUGUUCUCAAUAAUAUUUCGCCCUCCAUUUUACCAUGGCUUGUUCUACCAAUGCAAGGUUAACCACCCUACCGUAUUUCUUCAUGAUCAUUAUUUUCUUUGCUUGCUUCUUCACUUGUGAUUUGGAAGCACGGGUUCUUGUGGCUGAUCAUCACGAGGCUAUUUCCACGAUGCAUGAAAAGUUGAAACCUGACAGCCAAAUUCUUCUGAUGAGAAUAGGCUUCAGCCCUUCACAGCUUGAAUAUUACAGAAGAAGGUCACUUAAUGAUAUUGAUCGAGUGGCUCCUGGUGGACCAGAUCCUCAUCACCAUGCGUGAUUAUCUACAAUAUCCUUUUCUAUAUCUUUUGUCAUUUUGUUUUUUGGCCCAAUUCUUGGGUUUUCGGUGGAGGGUUUAGCAGGAUUGAUAUGUUGUUAGAGAAGAAGAUCAGACUAUUGGUCGUGCAUGUUUGCUUUUCGUGAUGAACCAGCGUUCAUCAUCGUUUCGGCUGAAAUCGGGUAUAGCAAAUAUUUGCGCGCAACGCUCAUUUUAAUUCAUUGUUGUCAUUUCAAGAUUCUGUCCCUACAAGGUUUCUGAUUAGAUCUUUCAUCUUUUUGUGUGUGUGUGCGCGUGCGUUUUUUUUCUUUUUUCACCUUAUUUUCCUUUGUGCAUGCAGUCAUGUCUACAUUUCAGUGAAGAAAUAAAAUUAAUAACCUCUUCUCUCUCUCUCUCCCUCUUUCUCUCUCUCUCUCUCUUCCUUUUUUUGUCCGGGAGAAUAGGCGAGGUAACAAUAAUAACUUCAUUUUAUUAUGAAAGAAACACUUUAAGAGAAUCCAAUAUAUGAGUCAGGAAUUCAAUUCUGACAAAAAAACUUAAGGUAUUAUGUUUCAGAUCCUUACUUACAUAUUAAGUGAUUUUUUUCCAUCUCUCUGGAAUCAAUAUGGAUCAUAAUCCUUUACUCAUAAACUUAAUAAUUUUGCAUGAAACAUUUAUGGAAUCAACAAUUUAUUGUGGUAUAAAAGAACCAAAUGAUCAUAAUUGUUUUUGGUUCAAGGAUAAGAGACGACUUAAUUUGGGCUCUCUACCUUGUCUGCUUCUAUGCAGUUAAUAGUGGACUUUAUGAUUAACAGUAGUAUAUGAAUAUCACAUUUUCUAAGCUCACGAGAGCCAAAAAGUAUUUUUGACGUAAUUAAAAAAAUUUAAUCGGAAAUCUCCUACCAGAAGAAAUAGAAACAACAGACAGAAAUCCACAUUUCUCUCCAGAUUGAGAGCAAACUAUACAAAAUUAAGUUGUCCCUAAUCUUCUAACUAACGAAAUGUCAUUUUAGCCAAGUAAGCAAAUUGGAUUAUCAAAACUCAUAUAACUAUACACAAUAUGUUUGUUUUUUUUUUUUGUUUUUGUAAGAUUUAAACUAUUCAUGAUAUGUUAGUAAAGCGCUUAUAACCUGGUCAAUCAAUCUCUAAACGAAUUCAAUCAUCCAACAAGUCCAUUUACUUACAGCCAACCAGUACUCCAGUUUAAUCAUCCUAAAAUGAUAACUGGUUAAUGAAACAAUACUACCUUUCCCUUUGAAACUAGCAAAUUCCACAGCUAAUAUUGACUAAUUAAUUAAUAAAUUUGUUUUCCUCCCAUCAAAUUGAACAGGUUCUACUUUGGUCGUACAAAUCCACAACAGAUGCCUCUAAUAUCUCAUACAGUUUGCCGCAUUGAUUGCAAGAACGAUUUUUGAUGUGUAAACGUGUCCCUUUUGCAUGGAAGAAACAUCAAGAAACAUGACUUAGCUGCAGUUAGAUGCACUCAAAAGAAAGUUAAAAGAUCUCUCAAGUUUCUCCAAACUUGAUAAGUUAAAACCAUAAACGGAUUCUUUUAAAAGUUCAGAUACUAAAAAGAAAAAAAGAAAAAUCGAUUCAAUUUAUAUUACUAUAUAGUUUCUUAUCAGUUAAUAAAUCACCUUUACGUGGGUUGUCCAUGUCAAUGCCGAGUUGUUAAUUUUAUUUUUACUAGGCACGUAUAAAAUUCAUAGCAUUAAUUUCUUGAUACUGCUGCAAUUUAUUCCUGUCACAAGAAGAAGCUAGCGAGGCCACAUCUAUAUAUGGCAAAGGCACUAGAAUGGCUUCGUAAAGAUUAAAGAGCUUCUUCUUGAAGAACGUUUGAUGAAGAUCCUAACUAUAUAUGCUCAAAACGAUAAGCAUGGUGUUGACUAGGGUAAAUGGAUAGAUUCAGAGAGUUUCAGCCAAUUGGAUGCUCUUGUGAGAGAUAAUUACUAAACAAUUUCAACAUGAUCAUAAUUAAAUGAGGGAAAAAGUCAAAUCCAUGAGUAUAUAAGGGAAAAGUAUAUACAGUACAGGAGUUAUAUUUGUUAACACAAAAAACCCCCCUUUAACUUAGUCAGAUAAUCAAGGUGCUUUAUCCAUUUGUGACUUGUACCCUAUGUCCUAAGUGAUUCUUGUCCUUUUGCACCAGCCAAAAGUUGAUGAAAAAUGAUUGGAUUGGUGGCUUUUAGAUGUGGUUUCGGACAUUCGAAAAGUUGCUAAUAUUUAAUCAUAUGGACAGCAAAUCUUAGGGCAAGAGAAAUAAAAAUAACGAAAGAAAGAUGGCAGGAAUUCAUUUUCUGCAAGCAGGGAUGUGGAAUAGGGAUUGUGAUUGUUGUUGCCAGGGGGAUAGUGGAAGAGAAAACAAAUAUUAGUGACAUCUACGCAUAUCUUGCCAAUGCUAGGUAAACAAUUGCAGGAGGGCUGUGACAAUUAAGCUUAAUCAUAGAGAUCUCAAAUCCUCGAUCUGAUUUAUAAAUUAAUGAAUUUUUUAAUGAGUAAUAAAUGUUUUUGAGGCCCUUGAUGGAUCACUUUCAAUCAUAUAAUAAGCAGCAAAGAUCCAUGCUAGGCAUGGAUCAAUACUUUAUCAAAAGGCUUAGUUGGGAAAUUAUUCAUGUAUGACACACAUACAGUACAACAGAUAGAAUAAAAUUGAAAAAAAAAAAAGAAGAAAAACAAAGGUGAAGCACCAUUCUAAAGAUAACAAUGAUCCAUGUGACUAUAAGUCAUAUACAAUGUCCUAAACAAUUUGGCAUUGAUGUUUAACCAACAUAUUUGCACUAAUUUUGGGUCUUUUCUUACAAUGGAAUGAAUUUAUAAAGGGAGAAAAUAAGUGUAAUAUGAAUUUAUGAGAGUGAUCUUUAUUCAAUACGAACUUAGAGGCGCUAGAUUUAAAUUUGCGUACCUUAAAUUUCAUCCCUCACCUGCUAAACAUAAAAAAAAAGAAAAAAAAAGUGUAAUGUAGUAUUACCUAUUUGUGCAAUUAUUGUUCAACCAUGCAAAAUGUUUAAACCAACCAGUAUCAAGUUUUUUUGUGCAUAUCUACCUGCAAAAUAUUGGUGAGAAAUUACCUGACCCAAAAAAAAAAAACAAAAAUGAAAUCAUUGUAGGCUAGGCCCAGCCCAGUUACUAUUCCCUGUAAGUGGCUCCCAACUAGGGUAGGACCACAAAACAAAAAGCAACCUACAAUUCUCAUCUGUUAUCAACGCGCCACCAUGGACGCGUUGGUCAACCAAAAAUCUUCCCACCCCAUUCCUUACUGGACCCAUCAUCUAACAAUCUCAACCGUCAAAUUCUCACCCGGUUGUACCGCAGCAGAACUCCCAACCGUUAGAUAAGCGUUUAAAUAUCACGCUCCCCAUCAGCGCGUGAAAUUCCUCGUCCACUCCCCUCACCCAGCUCUCUCACUGUCCUUCUUGGCUUCUUCUUUCUCAACUCACCCAGAUUUCUUCCCCAGGAUCAUAGUUAGGAAAGAGUGUGAGGAUUCAUACUCAAACUGUCUGUGAUAGUGUGUGAAAAGAGAGAUCUCGAGAAAAAGGUAUGGCUUCUGUUCCUAAUUUAACUUUUGGGAAAACCCCUCAAGGAUUUCCCUGUAGUUAUUGUUUAUGUGUAUGUGUAAAAGGGUUUGAUUUAACUUUAGCAGUGUAGAGGACCCAAAAAUAGAAUUUGGGUUCUUGUGAAAUGGGGGUAAUUGUAUUUUAAGAUUGUAGAGAACCAAAGUAUAGAAACAGGGUUUGUUGUAAAAUUGUGGGCUUUUGUGUUUAUGCAUGCAGCAGCUAAUUUCGAGGUAAAAGAUUGAAUUUUUCCCGGUGAAGAAGGUGAAGCUUGGGAUUUAUGUGUGUGAGUUGUGUUUAUGCAUGUGCUUUUUGUAUGUAGAUUAGUUGAAAAAGAUUAAAUUUCUAGGGUUUUGGGAGGUGGAUAAAUGGCUUCUGGAACAACAGUUGGUGGUGGAGACGGAGAAAAAGAAGGGUCUAAAGAGAAGCAGAGGUGGGCUGAAGAGAGCAAGGUGUAUAAAAGGAAGUCUGUCAAGGGGUUAAAGGAUAGUAGUGACAAGAACAACAGUUAUGGUGCCCAGCUGGGGCAAAGUCAAACUGGGAAACCUGGGAGUGAAGAUGGGAAUCUGUUGGAAGAACCUGUGUUUGGUGUGGCGUCCGGUGACUCAUCGAGUCGUCCACUGGGAGAUCGUGAAGUGUCUGGGGGAAAUGGGAUGGGGAAAGGUGGGUUUCUGAGGCAAGAAAAUAAGGUCACCAUCAAUUUGGCGAUGAAGUCGAAAAGGGAGGCACGGGAGCUGAGGAAAAGGCUCGAGAGCGAGUUGGACGAGAUUAGGAGAUUGGUGAAAAAGAUUGAAGGGCAGGAGGGGAAAAAGAGCAGUAAAGCUGGACGUGGUGUUGAUAAUGGUGGGAAGUUGAAACGGGUCCAUUCCGAGGUGGAUUCUGUUGGAACGCCUCGCAUUUCCAAGCCUUUGCAUCAGUUGAGCGUAUCAGUGUUGGAGAACAGCAAUGACAAUGGGGAUAAAGAGAAACGGACGCCUAAGGCAAAUAAAUUCUACAAGAAUACAGACUUUUUGCUUGCAAAGGAUAAGUUUCCUUCUGCAGAAGGCAACAAGAAGUCUAAAUCUGGUGCUGGGAAGAAAGCUGGAGGGGGUGAAUCAGGACAUGGGUUUGUUUCAGGGAAGUUUUCUAAUCAAAUGUUGAAGAAUUGUAGCUCUUUGCUUGAUCGAUUGAUGAAGCAUAAGCAUGGAUGGGUGUUCAACAAACCUGUUGAUACUGUGCAUCUUGGUUUGCACGAUUACUUUGACAUUAUUAAGAAUCCAAUGGAUUUGGGUACUGUAAAAGCUAGGCUUAGCAAUAACGGGUAUAAAUCUCCUAAGGAGUUUGCAGAGGAUGUGAGACUUACAUUUCAAAAUGCUAUGACAUAUAACCCUAAGGGGCAAGAUGUUCACGUGAUGGCUGAGGAGCUAUUAAAGAAUUUUCAGGACAAAUGGGCUGCUAUUGAGGCGGAAUAUAUGCAUGAGAUGAUGCAUGGCCCGGAUUCUGAAGUGGGUUUACCGACUCCUAAAUCUAAGAAAGCUCCUCCAGCAGUAAUGGAACCUCCUGAAAUGAGGACUUUAAGCAGGUCAAAGUUUAUUAGCAAUCCUGUUGAUCCCAAAACCAAAACCAUGAUUUCUGCUGGUUCAGGGAGAACUGCAGCCCCAAAAAAGCCAAAGGCAAAAGAGCCCAAUAAAAGGGAAAUGACAUACGACGAAAAACAAAAACUUAGCACAAAUUUGCAGAGUUUGCCUUCUGAAAAGCUUGAAAAUGUUGUGCAGAUUAUAAAGAAGAGGAACCCUUCUCUGUGCCAAAAUGAGGAUGAGAUUGAAGUUGACAUUGACAGUGUUGAUACUGAAACUCUUUGGGAGCUGGAUAGAUUUGUAACAAACUUCAAGAAGAGUCUGAGCAAGAACAAACGAAAAGCUGAGCUUGCCAAUCAAGGAAAGGGAGAAGCAGCCCGGAGUGUUCCAGAAAAGGUAAGCUAUUGAAAUUUCUAUUUGAUGCCUUUCUGUUGUUAAUUUCGGUGGUUAUAGGCACUUAGCUUCCGUUUUCUGCAGGACCUUGCCCCAGCUGCAGCAGAAACUCUGAAAGAAAGGAAGAUGGGUAAGCUAUCUGAGCUCAAGUCUCCUUUGCUCUUGAAAUAACGGCAAACUUGGUUUUCAAACAUAGUGAAGUUAAAUGUGUUUUCUGAACAGAAGCUAAGAAAAAUUAUUCAUCUCAAACUGAAGUGGAAAAGAAGAGAGAUAAUGCAAGUCGAUCAACUAACUCAAGCGGCUCGAACGCGGACUCGGGAUCUUCCUCAGGGGGUAUUGCUAAUUCUUACUUUGUAUUUUCUGUCUGGAGAUUCAUGAUUACAAACUUAUCUCCAAAGUGAGAGAAUGUUACUGAAUUGUCUUCUCACUUUACAUUUUUUGGCAGACUCUGAUAGUGGAAGUGCUUCAGAUGGAUCCGAUGCAUGACAUUGAACUAGGAAUUAGAGUUACUUGUCAAUGUAAGAUAAGUUUCUUUGUGGAUUUAUUUAUUUGUCAUUUCAUGGAUCGUGGAAUUGAAUCUGCUUUUAUUGAUUUCUCUUGUUUCCUUGCUCAUAUUUAAUUAAUUUUCUGUUAUUUAUCGAAGCACGAACCUGUUGUUGUUUAUGUUAGCCUUUUCUUUAAUGUUUCUAAUUCUCUUUGUGAAUUUUGCGUGUUGUUCACUUUUAUGGUUGCUGGCUUUACUUGAGUUUAACUUAAAACUUAAGAAUGCUCAUUAAGAUCUAGAUAUGAUAGUUAAGCAUGUAAAAAGUGCACUUGUAAACAAUAAAUGUCUUAAUUGCUUUAUAAUUUCCAAAUUACUGGGAAGUUUGUAGAUCAUGAGAAAAGAUGAUUGUGCUCUUUUGCUCUAUUCAGCAAUGCAUGGUAGUUAAACUUUUUUUUUUUUCGGAGCAUAUAUUGAGCGCAUCGAAUUUGUCUAUCUACAAUUUGAAAGUGGCAUUUUCCUAGACAAUAAUACUGCAGUAUCUUGUUUAUGCUUUAGAAGCUGCUGUUGACACUCCCCAAAUGUUGAUAAUUCUGGAGUGCCUGUAAAGCUGUCAAAGAUUGAGGGAAGAGGAUAGAGAUUUCAUUAAAUUCUUUGUGAGUGGAUAUUAACACAAGUGUGAGAUAUGACUUAUCAAACAAAUUAUUGUGACUUGUACAGUUUUUGCUUUAAGAGGAAGUGCUGGUCAUUGUUAAACAGUCUGCAUGACUUUACGUGUGAAAUGACUUUCCUUAACUAGUUAAAUGAAAAGAGGGAAAGGUAGGAAUAUGCAAAACUUAAGCAUGAAUGCAAGUGUAACAAACUAGAGUUCAGCUAAAUAUAGAUAUGUAGGUUUGUGGUAUAAUGAUGGAAGCUUUAUUAAAUUUACUUCCUUUGUUGGCUCCAACACUGUGGCACUUCUUUUACAUUUUUUAAACUGGGAAGUUAGUUAUGGAGGCUGUAGAGAUCAACAUAAGUCCGUUGUUCCUUGAGCUUUAUAAUGGUCGAUCAGCAUUUUCGGUAUAUAUCAUCUUUCUAUCUUAGUAUCUUCCAUAAGCGCUCAAAGAAUCCCAAAUGUUUAAUCAACAUAUACACCAUGUGGCUGCAAGCGCUUAUUUGAGUGCUCUCCUUUAGCUUUAAGAUAGCACGAGCUUGUGAACUAAACCAGUGAUCAAGGUGCAGUGAUAUUUAUGAGCAUCAGAUCUAACAGGUGUAGGAAACACUCUAUUAUCAAGCUAUCAAGCAUUCAGCUUUUUCUUAUUCUUUCUGUACUAGAGUGUUGGUAAGAACUUGUACCUACUGUUAGGAAUUAUCUAUACUACAUUAGUUUCCAUGUUUGUAAUGCCUACUUUCGCAAAAGUCAUCUUAGGUGAAAGUAGUGCAGUUAGAACGUAAUACCUGUAGGUCGAGUAAUUUGGUCCUCUCUGUCUCUCUCUCACACACACAAAGCACACACUUUUCUUUUUUAUUGUUUCUCUUUCUGUUUUGAUUGUCAUGGUUAUGGCGAAUGCCUGAAUGUUAAUUUGAAGUUUGGCUCGUUUUUGUCUUCAAUAAUUCCAACAGGAUUGUGGCCUGAUUGAUGCUGCUAUUCCUUUUCAGGUCUCAUUUUGUUUUAACGAAGAAUCGUGCUUAAGUCUAAUAUUCAUGUUUCUACCAUCUUGCCUAGAUUUAUUGUUACAAACCUGUGGCCGAGCUUGACUGCAUAUCGAUCUCCUCUUGAAACAAUGGUCUCCAUCGACAGUAAGGUGUUUUAGGUGACGGUUUUAGCAACAGAUGUUUCUGGACAACCUGGAGAAUGAUGCAGAUGCUUCUUUAUUGUACAUUGUUGUAGCUUUUGUACAUAGCUAACUACUGCUGGCCAGUUUUCUGUGUAUUUGUCUGGUGGUUUACAGCAGCGUUGGAUAAAACAUUUCGCAGUUAAUUGCAAUUGCAUGUAUGUAUUAGUAAUAGCGGUAUGCUGUCGAUGACCUAAGAGGCAUUCUUUGUGUAAAGUCUUGUUCUUGGUCGUGGAUCUUUCUCGAUAGUUAAUUACAUAUUGCCCUUAGCUUACUGCUUUUGCUAUGAACACUCCUAUAAUUGCUCGUUUCUUGCUAACUCAAAUCUAAAUUUUGGCGUUCCCUAGAUUGAGUGGUACCAAAACUAAGGGUAAUCAUUAAGUUUUGUUCAUGAUAUUCCGGGUUUGCUUCCUUAAACCCCAUCUGUCAGUCCCUCAUCCCCUCCAUUGUGCGGGAAAAUAAUGGAAAGCCCCCAAAUCCAGAAUGGUGGACAUUGCAACAAGCUAUCCUGCGUUUCCACCUUGAAUUCUCCAGCUGUUUGUGUCCCUAGAGCUUAGUUUAUCGCUGCUCAUUAUGUGGUAUUUGCAAUAUUAUUUACACUUACCAUAACCCUUAAAACUUCUUUAAUUGAAAUAAAACUUAGUACCAUACCAAUUUGUCAAGUAAUAAUCACGAGUAUUGCUAGAAAAAGCGACAAAAAUAUAUACUCCUUUCGUCCUACUUUGAUAGUCCUUUUUUUUUUUUUUUUUUUUUUACACAAUUUAAGAAAAAGUAGUUAACUUUGUUGGAAAAGUAAAUUUGGAUUGCUAUUUUUCUAAAAUACUCUCACAUUAAAUAUGGUAUAACUUCAACUUUCAUUAAAUGGGGUAGGUUUAUAGUAACAACUACUUACAUUGAAUAAGGAUAUUUUAGAAAAAUUAAAAUACAACUAUAUUCUUCAAUUGGAAAGUGGGUUAUAAUUUGGGACAGAUGAAAAAGAGAUACAGAACUAUCAAAGUGGAACGGAGGGAGUAUAAAGUUAUACUAAUACAUUUCUCUUGGUACAUAGUACUCCCUCCGUCCCAUUGUUGUUGUCAUAGUUCACCUUUUUUCAUGUCCCAAAAUUUGAGUCACACUAUAAUUUUUUUCUCUAACAUUCCAUUUGUAGCCUCAAAAGAGACAUUGAUAAAAUAAAAAACAAGUAUAAUGGAACUCACAAAAGCAAUAAAUAGACAUCAAAAAAAAAGGUGCGUGGACAGCACCAAAAAUUUUGAUGGCCAUAAAUAGGCGCGUGCUUGGCAACCGUAUGAAAAAGAGCUUACAUUUUACAUGGACCCACAGAUUCUUUUCACAUCACCAUAGACAGCAAUUAAGAUUUGAUAUCGGUCAAAGGGGUACGAUUGGAAAAAAAUGUCUCACAUUCAAAUUGAUUGAACUGUGCAUAAUAAGUUAGAAUCUCCAAAAACGUCCCUUAUUUUGGGACAGAGGGAGUAUUUCGUAUUAUAAUUCAUUACUCAAUAUUGUCUAUUAAACUUAGUACAUCAUGUUUCAUAAUCUAAAUCAUUAUUCAACAUUCACAACUAUUGUAUACAUCCUAUUGUAUUAUCAAUCAUCAUGCAAUAUUUACAAUGCAUAAACUAUGUCAUGGGGUUUAAUUACGAGAAUUAGCUUAGACAUGAUUAUGCCACCAAGAUCGAUCUCUGAGUUGCGGCGAGGUGACUUGAAUUUCCCCAUUUCUUGAUUACAGCAACCCAUGGCUCGCAAUUCUUUGAAUUGCUGUUCCUCUUAUUCUACGCGCGCACCUUGCCCGGUCGAUCUUCGUCAUGGCCCGCAAAUUGCAUCCUGUAACAGCGCUUGCCUACUAUUCCCUCCCAGUACCCUCCUCAGUCCUCACUGCCUUAUUUGAAGGAAAUGCAUCCGCUAAAACAUAGAACCAUGCUCGCCACUACAUUAAAAUGCACAUUUUGGUCAAACACUUUCCCAACACACAACCCUUUUAAUCCAAGAAAGCCUUUUUCUGCUUCUGCUGUAAAGUAUCCCAACCAAGAAGAAACGCCUGCACAAAAGCCAGCACAAAUAGUACACUGGUCCGGUCUUGACAACUGGAGAAGUAGCCCUCUUAAUCACAACCGUUUCUGGGGAGCCAAUGGCCCACAAACACCCCCGAUACAACCAUCAUUCUCGAAUUCUGGAGAAACCGGCGACAGUGGUUCAAUUUCAUGUUCUAUUGACUGGGGCUGUUGCUCUUCUUUAGCAGAGAUGGGGGCUGUGGUGCUAUCUACAGCUGACCCUCUUCAAAAAUCAAAGCUUUCCCACUUGGCUUACUCCAGAUGGUGCCAGGAGAGCCUUCCUGUUGGAGUCUGUGAGGCACCCUCUAAGCCUGCUCGUCCCCAGAAUCCGCAACUGGUUUGUUUUCUGAGAGUCCUUUUGGCCAUUUUGGUUACGGAGACAUUAAAAAUUUGAUCUUUUUGUUGGAGUUUAAGAGUUAAUGUGAGGAAUAGCAGAUAUGUUUGUGUAUGAUAGUCAUGUUCUUGAUUGAAUUGGUGGGAUUGGAGUUGGAGUUUGUGCUUCUGCUUAGAUGGUAAUCCAUGUGUUUGAUGAAUUUGGUAUGCUGGAGAGUUUAGGAAUUGUCUUUAUUGAAGCUUAGUUUCCUCUUAGAGAAUUGGCAAUGUAAAAACAAAACAAUAUUAUUAUGGCAGCUGCAUGAAAUGCUCUCGCUGUUAAUAAUUGACACCACUCUCUUUGGGUUUGUUUUAAUUUAGUAACUCUACUGUUUAUUAGUGUGACAAGCUGAGUACACUGUCUGCUCUUAGGACUGGUUUACUGUAUGAGAAUGCAGGUAUCUCCAAAGGAGAUUCCAUCCCCAAAACACUCUGGUUUGCCUCUUAAUGCAUAUAUGCUGCAUAAUCUAGCUCACGUGGAACUAAAUGCGAUUGAUUUGGCUUGGGACACCGUUGUUCGCUUUUCUCCUCAUUGUGAGCAUCUUGGAGAGGGAUUUUUUGCUGACUUUGCUCAUGUGGCUGAUGAUGAAAGUCGACAUUUUGCUUGGUGUUUACAGAGAUUAGAAGAGCUUGGAUUUAGGUUGGUAUGGUAUUUUUGUUUUUUGUGAUAAUUGUCUUUGUUCAUAUAGUGACUAACAGCCUCUAUCGUUCUUCUUCUUCUUUUUUUCUUUUUUUUUUUCGCCCCGGGCAGCUAUGGGGAUAUGCCAGCUCAUAAUUUGCUCUGGAGGGAGUGUGAUAAAACAUCAGAUAAUGUUGCUGCACGUCUGGCUGCAAUUCCACUUGUCCAGGUACUCUGUUGGAUGUAUCUUUUGCAUCUUUAGUAUCAUUUGAAAUUCAGAUGCUUAUGGGAUUAUGAUUUUCCAAAAUUAUUUCCGAUGUCCAUAACAGCUGUACCUGAAUCUAUUUCUCUUCUUUCAGAGUGUUCUAUGAAGAAAGUCUCAUACUGGAUAAUAUUAAAUGCCAAGACAUGUUUAAUGCUGCCUAACUGUAAGAAAGUUGUCGGGUUCCUAACACAAAAAGGCUAUCUAAUAUGGUCAUUAUGUCCUUACCAGAGAAGUUUCCCUUCCCCAGCAGAAGCCUUAGGUGGCUGUGAAACUAGCUGCAUAUUAUUGCCCUAGGUCCACUCAACUAUUAGAAGAGCACUAGGGCCCCUGAAAGAGCUACUAUUUAAUCCCAAACUGCUCCCGACUCAGCAGUGAGGUAGAGAUGAAUUGGGAUGGAGGAGCAAUACCCUACCCUUUUUUUUUAGCGGAUUUCUAAAUUGACAGUUGAAACAAAAAAAAGCAAGCUGAUUGACUCAAGUAGGACUAGUUCCACAUGGCAUGAUUCCAUAUUGAUUCCAACGAAGAGAAAUUUUCCCAGUUAGAUAUGCAGUUAGGAUAACGAAUGGUUCACAUCUUCUGUUCUGAUGUUCUAGGAGGCCAGAGGACUUGAUGCUGGGCCUCGGCUUGUGCAGAAAAUGGUUGGAUUUGGUGAUCUUAGGACUUCAAAUAUUGUGGCUAAGAUUGCCGAUGAAGAACUUGCGCAUGUUGCAGUUGGUCUUUAUUGGUUUCUUUCAGUUUGCCGGAAGAUGGGUCGUGCGCCUUGCUCUACUUUUAAAGGUCUAACACGGUUACACUUAAUUUAAGCAGACCUGUUGCAAGUCUUUCUCUAAAUAUUGUGUUACUUAUGUGGCAGUCUUGCUGGAAGAGUACAAUGUAGAGAUAAAAGGACCCUUCAAUUACUCAGCUCGAGAUGAAGUUGGAAUUCCUCGAGAUUGGUAAGUGUAGGAAAAUUUCCCUUCAUUGAAUCCAAUUAACUUAAUGGGAAGCAGAACAAAUAAUUUUACUUGGUGUACAGGUAUGAUCCUUCAUUUUCAAGACAAGGAGAUGGGAAAGACGGGCUUUCUGAGGUAUUUAAUUUGAAGCUUCAAUCUUUAUCAGAAACUGAAAAUGCAUCUAUUUGAAGCAUAUGCUUACCUUUCUAAGUUUGUUCAUCGAAACCGCCUGCAGGUUUACGAUAGGUUAGCAUGCAUAAUUUCUAUGGAACAAGAAAACUCAAAGAUGGACGCGUCUCGUGGAUGAAUCUUACGUUAAGAAGCUGUAUAUAAUCCAACUUCAUGAAUGUCAAACCUCAUGUGGAACAACAAAAACUUCCAUUGCCCUUCUUACUGGAUGGUGAUUAUCAAUCUUCUCUAGGAAAGCUGCCCUGCAAGGUCAUUGGCCUGGUUGUGAUGAAUUAUCUUGGCUUGUUAGUGUUUUAUAAUUCCUGGUCCAGGAUUCCCAUGAUAGCACCAGCACAACUCCAAUCAAAGACAUCCUUGCAGGUUCCCUUCUCUUGGGGUUCUUUUACGUUAAUCAGGGAUAGAAGAUACUUCGGAGCUACAAUUCGCUAUAUAGUACUCGUCCUAUGAUAUUCCUCUUAGCUGAAGUUAGCAAUUGAUGUUCUGUUAUCUCAACACUUUCAUCUCCAGAACAAAAGAUGGACAGGAAUUAUUCCACAAACAAGUCAAGGAAGUGGAAAGGAAAACUUUUUUCUAUUUGUUUUUCCAGCAAAGAAGGAAGAGACACCUGAGUGCGUCUACGUCACAUUAUGCUUGUCAAUCUGGAAAGUAAAUCUCUUGCCAACGAAGAAAUUAGCAUCUAGAACCUAAUUCUUGAUUCACGUGUCCCCCAACAAAUACUCCUCAUUAGAUUACGUAUUGAAAAUUGCAUUAAACCCAUCAAUUAUCACAGCCUGAUUGCUUACUAUGUUUAGUAUAGGAUGACACUUUAUAGCUACGUGUCCUAUUAUUACCAUACUCAAAGAAGAAAAGAAGAGAGAGUUUUCUAGAGGGGACCGACCUUUGGGAGGCAUAAAUCUCACAAGAAUCAAGAAUUCAACAUCCAAAGAAAAAUCCCAGAACAUCAAGAAGUGAAGAAAACAUCACAAAGAAAUGUGCUGUGGAGAUGGAGAUUGUAGGCCUUUGGCCUUCCUAUUAAGCCUGCCCUUCGCCUUUCUUGCUCUCCUCGUCUCUCUUGUGGGCGUCAUCAUUUGGAUUGUCGGGUACGGACAUUUGACUCAUUUUUCUUCUUUUCUUUGCAAAUUUCACGGCUGCUGCGUCGUUUUCUUGACUUUAUUUUGUCAAUCAUGUUUUGAUUCUCUCUUCUUUUUUUUUUUCUCUCCCUUUCUUGAAUUUUAUUGAUUGGUGUAGUAUACUGUUGAGCAUCAUAUGCCCAUGUUGCCUGUGCGUGACUGUGCUAGUGGAGAUGGCCCUGCAAUUGAUCAAAGCCCCCAUCCACGUUAUGGAGUGGUUCACCUCUCAGAUUCCCUGCUAGAUUAAUUCUUCUCCCUCUUUUUGUAACUUCACUUCAUCUUUUUCACAUCUUUGUUAGGAAAUUGUAGACCCUGUUUUGUCUUCCUCUGCAUCUCUUGUCGUUAUUGAAUCAUUUACUUCAUCCUAGUUGCUAUUUCUAAUCCUUCUAUCUCAUGCUUAUCAAUUUCUUUGCUUUUUUGCUGGGGAAAAUACUCAUGAAGAGAGAGGAGACAACAUUUGAAAGUAGAAAGAAGGAUUUUCGAACAUAUGAACUGCACUGAACCUUAUGAGAUUCUUGAACAUAAGAAACCACGUAUCAAAGAGGAUUACAUACAACAGUUAACAGAAUUGAACAUCUGAACUGCACCCAAAUUUCCUUCGCCACAAAACAUAAGCAAACAUGAUGAAAAAAAAAACAGCAUCAUUGGAAGGCCUUUCAUACACAACAGCUUUAACAUGCUAAUAUAUGCGAAGCACUAAAUCAAUUUCAGUCAAGAUUGCCCUUUUUGCUCUUCUUUGUGUGAUUCAUCUUUAUCGAAGGUGUGAGUCUGACCAGGCAGGCCCUGUCCGGUGAGAAGAUCUGUCGUCGUUUGACCAAUUUCUGCUAAAGUUUCGCCAACUGCAUGCAGCACUCCACCGCCCUGUCCUUCUUGUCUCGUUUCUUCUUGGAUAAACUCCUUUUCUGUUGGUUUGGCUUCUCCUCCCUCUUCCUCGUAUUGCUUUUCCUUGGUGAUGAAUCCACCUUCCUACAUAUGUUUCAGGGUCAAAAAUCAAUCAGCAAAAGCCAGCCAAAGAGAAAAAAGGCACGGAGUAUAACACAAUUCCCACAGCUUUUGCAAUUUUCUAGGACAAUGCAACAUGCAAAAUCGCCUAGAAAAUACUUUGAUACUUGAUAGGUGAUACCUCAAAUGUAAAAAUUUGUCUUUUAUUAGUGAUUCAUAAGCACAAUUCUUCAGCCAGAUAUUUGCUUUACCUUUUGUCCUGUGAGCAUCAUAAAUAAGUGGUGCAAACAAAUCAAUUACUCGUAUCUUCAUGGUAAAAAAUCAUAAUCAGUCCAAUGUGCGAAUAAUGAAAAUUAUGUCUCACUGAUUUACCUUAACUGGAGUUGAUUUCUUCUCCUCUAAUUCUCUCUGAGCCUCAGCCUUCUUCCUAGCUGCAUGCUCGGCAGCACUUUCUUCAGUUGCGACUACAGCAUCUUUGGCAGCAGCCAAUUUACUCUCAGUAUACCCGACAACUCUGUCCUGCACCCGCCACCUUAUCCCUGGCCACCCCAGCUACAUCAGCCAUCACUUUAGUACCCAGAGCAGCCUUUUCUGCCGUGUAAUGUGCCGCACCCCAGCCAGCCACGGCCGCCAUAUCUGUGGCUUCCCCGGCCACCUUUCCCAUGUAUCCUACUGCAGUUUUGCCGCUUUCCACUGUAAUAUCCCUAACAACCGCUGUUUGUUCUCCAACGUAACCAGCCGCCUUCUUGGUUGCAUCCACAGUAGCAUCCUUAGCCUGGACCGCCUUUUCCACUGUAACAUCGUUGGCCUCUUGACCCUUUUCAACAGCGGCGUCCUUCAAGGCUUUAGCCUUCUCACUAGCAACUUGAGUUCCACGUUCAACACCUUGCUUGACAGAUUCCUUGGCUUGGCCUGCCUUUUCUGCAGCAUAUUGGGAUCCAGUUUGAACUCCUUGCUUCGCUGUUUCCUUGGCUUGCCCUGCCUUCUCAGCGGCAUACUCAGAUGUUGCACCAGGUUUCUGACAUGCCGCUUCCUUUGCCUGCCGCGAACGCUCCUCGGCAGCCCUGAUGGCCUCCAUGGAAUUCUGCUGCGCCUGUUGCCUAUACUCGGUUAUCUCCUCCAAGGAAGGCAUUUCUUUCUCUUUACCUUCCUCUUCGCCCUUCUUCCUUUCGAUCCCUUCACCCCUUUCUUCAUCUGUGCCUCCACCGGCUUUCACAGCCAGAGACUCAAAAUGGGUAGCCAUUUUUGGGACCCUGUCUUUCUCUACAUCGACUGCUCGCUCAUCCGUAACAUCUUCCCUUCUCAUUUGCUCUGACGACAUUGUCAAUUCUUGAUCAAAAGAUGAUAGAUAUCUUUGGAAAUUUCUUUUGGAACACAAAUGGAUUUUAUGUAGUAAAAAAAAUGCAGUACUAGGAUGUAUCCUAUGCAAUGUGACAGUGUGUGAGAAUUCGAGACAUCAGGAAGUUUGGAAAAUGGUUAUAAAAACUGAGGCCCAGAGGUGAUGGCGGUUUCCAAGGAGAUCGAUGAAAGAAGAGGAAAUGACAGGUGGGCAAAGCUCAUGCAAUGUAGUGGUGUUGUGGGGUGGUCGCCUGUGUGAGUCAGCAAUCGAGUCAAGCAAAGAUGUACACGUGUUUUUUUUUUUCAGCAGGAAUGAUACAACGAAUCGGCUAUGCUUUUUGAAAAAUUGUGUGGAUAAUUGGAAUUUAGAAAAAAGAAGAUGUAUAUGUAAAAAUUUCCAAGUUCAAACUUAUGUAAAUAUGACUGCAUGAAAAUGAUUAAUAGCGGCAAAUAUGAAAAUGGGUCAACGUGUACACCAAAACGGACCGAGAAAUGGAUAGUGCUGUUUUGUUUAAUAUCACAAAGGAAAGCCCAAGUGCCAGCAUUCAGCAGGAACAUACUAUUGAUGAUUCCCAACAAUUUUUUGGCACAAAAACGUUUGGGAUGAAUUAUUUCGAGUCAUCAUCAUGAGUCACGGCAUACCCCUGUAAUCAUACAUCGUUUUACAGAAAUUCUUACGAAUUGUUUAUUAAUACAAUUCUUACAUUCAUAAUGGGAUCCAAAUACAUGAUCUUUCCUAUACGACAGGCAGCAGAAAAGGUGAUUACAGAACUUAAUAUUUUUUUUUUUUUGGUCAAUUACUGAGAGAACUCAGACUUUUAGCAUAUAAAUUGAAAUCCCUGAACAACCUUCAAAAGCCGGCAACUUUUGAAGGCGUCCAGAGGACUUAUAAACUAACCCCCCAUAGUCGAUGUGGGAUAGAACCUCCACAGGACCUGCUGCUAGAACUUAGUAAAUGUAACUAUAAAUAUUAGAACCAUUUCCAAGUCAAAAUCUGGUUUCCACUCACUGGCCUGGAUCCAACUAGACAUGGACGGUGUUUCAAUUGUGGUUUAAUCAAAUCCACUUGGAUCCUCCUAGAUGGCAUGAGGCUUGUUGUCCACUUGUUUCAUUGAACUAGCCCAAAGUGCUAAUGCGUUUAUAAUUCAAGUUGCAAAGCAGUUGCCAAUCAGCCCGUAGUCUAGUGCUGUAGACUAAUGGAAGUCCCCAAAGAGAGACUGGUAUUCUUUCGAGGGACUGAAGUAAUAAUCAGUAUGUUGAAUUGAUGAAAUUUGGCAGUUUGAAAACAUGCAUUUCCAACUGAAGUGCCAAAAGAGCUUCAAAUUUAAGGUUAACACGUUCGAGUACUAAAGAAUGACUUGUCAAAGCCCCUGUGUUGCAAAACUUCCAGUUUAAAAGGCGAUAUCGAUGAAUGGUAGAAUUUUAACCGCAUUAACAGAACAAAAAGAUGGAGCAAUUCUGACACAAGACAAGAGUAUGCUAUAGUUGCCUGAAAUUGGCCUAAAAAUAAUCCAAUAACAUUAAAAAUUCUCAAAAAAUGAGAACAACUUCUUAGUCAGGCAUCCUCUCAUGCCAAAAAGCCCCUUUAGUCUCCACUUUACAAUUGAAACAAUCAAACAGUGAUCAAAUUAUUCCCUUGCAUUGCAUGAGAUAAAUAGAAUAGAGCCAAUUUCUACCCUUAAACAAUGGACAUUUCUUUCUGUUGAUGAACUAAGUAUCAGUCAGAGUUCAUUCCUGCUACCCCUUUUUUCUGUAUCUUCCCCAUCAACCAAAAAGAGCUGCAUAAAGAAGUUCAUUCCAAGUAUCAGGCAAUCCAGGCAGACACCAAUGGCUGCAGUCCAGGCCUUUGUUCUCACUGUAGUAUGUUGGAUGUGCAUCCUUGCGAUAUUGUGAAAGUGUUGUGAUGUCCAAUAAAUAAACUGGUUUCUUGAUUCUGCUCAGCACUUUGUUCAGAAUUAUUGAAGCCAAUGGUGUGCCUGCCGGAUACCUUGCACCAAAGUAUGGCUGUGUCUCGCCAGCACAGGAUCUUGACGGUGCAUUCCAUUCCCUGCCCCUGAAUUCAAUUGCAGAGAUUAACAACCGCUAAGAUUCUGUAGACUAGUUCAAAGGCAAAGUUCUAAAGUGUUAAUCUUAUUUAUGUCAGUAUACUGACAAUGUACAUACACUGUUACGGUGGUUAGAUGUUUGAUAAUUAUACAAAAUUUAAAUUUAGAUUAAUUGUUAAGUUUUUAACGGCGAUACUAUAUUUACUGUAUCAGUGUGUAUAAAAUUAAUUUAUUUUUAAACAAAACUUCGAAGGGUUAACUCUUGAAGAAUUAUUUUUCACGAAAAAUAGAUAUUGCAACUUUUUUUUUUUUCUAAUUUGUUCAAGAAGAGACUCUAAACUUUACAACGGGGAGGGAAAAAAUAGGCAUUGCUACUUGUUAGUGGUGAUUUCGUAGUAGCAAAAAAAUGGAAUGCUAAAUUCUUGUCAAACUAAAUAUAUUGGUUCUUCUACAAACAACCAUAAUGUUUAUCUACGAGCCUUUUGGUUUUGAUAUGUAUAUGCAUAAUUUGCGUACUUGGAUUUUACAAUGAAAUUGGAGGAAAAUUGCAAUAAACUAAUCUCAAAUUGGGUGAGGAAUUGGGAACAGAGAAAUUGCUUACAAGUAGUGAGUAGGGGAAAUUCCUUGGAAGAUGACUUUAGUUUUGGAAGGAUCGACGUUCCGGUCGACCCAUCUGGCCCAUGUUGUCAUCCCUAUGUAGUAAGCAAUCAGACGGUUCAUAUCUUUCUGAACUUUGACGCCAUCUUGUAUGUAAUCCCAUCUGCGUUAGAUCAUAGGGCACUGAAAUCAAUUAAUACAGCCUAAAAUAUAAAUUGACCAUAAAAAUUUCAAUCAUAAAAAAUUUAUGAAAUUGGAGAAUUUACGGCUGGGAUCUUCCAGUAUGGGUCCACCAAUGCCAAGAGUUGAAAAUUAGAAGGUCCAUCCCUCUCCAUGCAUCUCCACCCCUAAUGGAGUCCAGCUUUAGAACUACGCCCUCCUUUUCCUUCACCAUAUCCACCAGGUAUGGGGUGCGAUAUAGUAGUAUCCUAACAUUAUAAUCCUAAUCAAACCAAAAACAAAUCACAAUUGUUACCACAAGGCCUCCAUUUUUCUUUUUUCUUCUUUUUUUUUUGCUACAAAAGAAUAUACAUGACAACGUCUAAGAGUAAUAAAAAGAAUCUCAGAAUUAUUAGUCGAGAAAGUGUAAGUGAAAGAUUUCGAGUUCGAUUCCUCCACACAGAAUAAAAUCUACUUGUAUGGUUCUAGUAAGUCAACCAUCUUUGUUACUUUAUCUGAGAAAUUUGAUUGCUACAUUUACCUUAAAUUAGAUCAACAAAAUUGCAUACAAUAAUUCUUUAACAUUCCAUUGAUGUUUAACAUAUUCCUUUUUUCUUUUUUUUUUUUGGUUCCUUCUAUCCAAGAGAGAACACAAACCGUAAAAGGGGAGAGUGUGCAAAAAGAAAGAUUGAUAGUUGAAUCAAAUACGUUAAGAAUCACUUGACUAAUGUUCCUAUAUUGUUUGGAAUGUGGUUUUCUUUAGAAAAAUUUUUAUGUUUUACGUGAACAUUAUUUUUUAAUCUUUUAUUUACGUCACAUACAUCAAAUCCUUACUGAAUAUUUUUCUAUAAAAAAAAACUUUUAAAAAUGACAAUCGAAAUUAAAGUUAAAUCUAAAACAUCAUAGUAACGACUCAAAACGUUUAACUUUUCAAAAAAGAAUUCGAAAAAUAUUUAUCUUCCUAAAGAUGACACUACUCACACCCAUUGCCAUUCACGAGUUGUUGAAGAUAGGAUUCACAAUAGGCCAGAUGGACACUUAGAAGAAAGCAAAUCGCAGACAGGAUGGUCCAUGGAUUAGCUGUUUGGGACUUCUUUUUCCCGAUUCCGUAUUUCAGUUCGUUUCUACCAACAUGCGUCCUUGUCCGGCUGUCCCGUCCCUACUUUCUGUUUUUGCCAACAAGGCAAUCACGCCAUCACUUUGACCAAAAAUCACUCCUAAGUUCCACAAAUAAGGGUAGGUGGUCCGAUUUUCUUCAUCAAUACAACAUAAUUUAUCCACUAAUCUCCUAUCACAGCCUCCUUAAGCUCUCACUUUUCUUAAAUUAAAAUAAAGUAAAUUAUACAAAUGUAUCGUUGCUGAUAAAAUAUAUAUAUAUAUAUAUAUAUAUAUAUAUAUAUAUAUAUACUCCUUCUAUACUCGCCUUCAUGGACUGAUGAAUAAAGUCUACCAAGAUUGGAUAAUUUUGUAUUAUACAUUAAAUUUCAACUUCUUCACGGAUAACUUUUAUAUACAUUGUGAGUGUAAAAAUUUUUUUAUGCAAGUAGAUUUAAAUCACACGACACUUAACACAAAUUCAAAUUUGAAAUUCAAAUCAUGAAUACAUGACAUAUAUCUAAAACGGUUAGUAUAAAAAAAAACAUUACACAAUCAAUAUAUAAAAAGUCAACCCUUUCUUUAUUAGCAAAAUUUUCAAUUACUGUGCGCCCUUAGAGUACAAUAUAAGCACACCAAAAAGAAGGAAGGGGCCAAAUAUGAAAUUAUGACGUCAUCCGACUCCACCCCUUUUGUUUUGUCUAGAAUAUUUAAUUUUUGCAGAUAAUAUAUAAUAUAAGUGGACCAUGGCUGUAUAGGUGCCCUUUAGUUAUAGAAGAGAAGAACCCUACAUUACAGCAGCUUUCCAUAGUCAAAAUUUCAUGAUAAACCCGGAUGGUGAUGUCGAAAUACAAAAUUUGUCAAAAUUGACAAGAUAAAAAACUUUGCAGAAAACCCAAUGAUCGAUUUUCUAUAUUUUAGGAUUUGAAACAUGAAAAAAUUUGAAUGCGAAAUUAUAAAAAAGAGACGUUGUAGCAUAAAAUUGAUUGAACAAGUCCAGAAUUUAUUAGGAAGCAAGCAAAUAAGCCAGAAUGCCUCUUUCACCAAAUUUAAUUCUACCAAAGAAGACAACAAAACCCGAAUUAAUUAAUUGAUUAGUCAUUUUCCAGCAGUCCUCCUCCCCUCUAUAAAAAGACAAAAAAUCAUUAAUUAUUUUAAAAAAUAAGCCAAAAGUCCUUCUCUUUUUUUCUUUUUUCUUGUGGACUACCGCUUCAACUUUAUGCGUGGUUUUCUUCCACAAUCAUAAUGACACCCUCAUAUUCUACCAGAUUUUUCAAUCAGGCCUCCCUCAAUUACUCCUGAAAGAUGGUGCAUAUUACUACUACUAGUAUUUUUUACCAUCACCAUUUUCAAAAAGAUUCCUGUUCUUUUUUUGUUUUUUAUGUCAAAACACUUACAAGACAAAUUGGGACAAAUUUACAACAUGUAAUCAUUAGCAAGACUUUUAAAUUCUUCUCAGUUUAAGUUCUUUUCACAGAAGUCUCAAAUGUUGCAGAUGCGUUUCUUUGUCCUCUUCUUUACCAUAGCUUUCUCCAUGUGAAAGAAAAGGCUAAAUGCGUUGAAAGUUUCAUGGACAUGGACCAAUCGACAACUUUGCAAAAAAAUUGAUUCUUUUCUUCCUCAAAACAACUGGCAAUUCACCAAGCACGCCAUCACUCCAGAAACUUUCUAGCCAAACAACUAUGGAGAAAAUGAGAAAGGUAUUAACAACUGGCAACUCACCAUCGGAAUAAAGAAGUCAGCAAAAAGUUUGUGUCCCAAAAAUUAAUGCCCUGAUCUAUCCGGUCUCAGGAGCAUAUGGGGUCCCAAUAUUUCCUUUACCAACUCGAAUUCCAUCUUAAAGACGGCAGUGACAUUCGGAAACCAAACAUUUAUUAUUAUCAAUUUACGGAAGAAAUCAAGAAACUGACAAUAGCCACGAAGGCAAUGGCAAUUGAAUUCAAAUCAAGUGCUGAAAAAUUGCGACGUGAACUAUAAAAAUUUGAGUUAUACUACUAUAUUAGGUGCGACAUGCCCAUUAUGUGGUAAUAUUACGUGAUGCACUUAGUGUUAACAAAAAUUCAUAGCAUUAAUCUGUCUGAAAAACACUUGCAAUUAUUAUUUGAUGACAGAUGAUUAGUUUUAGUGCAUCGCGUGAGCUAGCGAGUAUGGUCUUACUAGUAGCCUCUCCGUCAGUCAUACUGGCUUAGCUGAGGACAUGGUACAGUACGAGCAGAAUGGAGAAGAAAAUGGUUGUUUGACGGAGCGCAAGUGACAAAAUUUGGGGCAGAAAUAACAGAAGGGAAGUGUAGUCAUGAACAUCUAUCACUUCACCUUCCAAAAAGCUAGGACAGAGACAGGAGACAGGUGAUGCAUGCACCAAAUCAAGUCAUCAUUCAACCAAUUCAACAGGAAAAGUAGCUCAAAAUCUUGAAAACAUUAGGCGGUGAACCAUCAAGAGAUAAGACGCAUGAAGAAAGAAACAUGGCCGGAGAUUAGGACUAAAACUUACCAGAAAUGCAAUUUCAGAAAGCACCUCUUUCGUUAUCAGACUGUACCUAGCCUUCGGCGCCCAAGAGUGAAUCAUGCAACCCAAAGAUGCCCACAUGUUGAAACUCAAUGAAUCGCCAACAAACAUGAUGUUCUUCCCCCUCCAUUUCUCCAAGAAAUACAGCCCAUUAAACCUGCAAAAAAAAAGUAGCAGAGUUGGAACUCCAAUCCCAGACCAGAAGAGAAUUCAAGAAACCAAAGUUGAGAUUGAAGAGCACUCGUGGAGUUUGUACCUUGGGAGGUUACAUGAAAAUGGUUGCCACCUGUAUUUGAGGUACAACUUGUCAGGCCUCUUGUAGAGGAGACAGUUGAAUUCUGUAUCAAUGAAGGGACAUGAUGCAUAAUCAUAGAGGGGAUAUUGAGCAUCAUAUACCCAUUUGCCUCUGAAAAUGUUGCAACCAGAAGCAAGCAUUGUGGCUCCAACUGAACUAGUGGUACUAAUAUUGGCAGCAUUCAAGAAAUUGUCGAUUUCAUCAUCAGCUUUUGCUGUUUGACAUGAACAAAGAAAGAGUAAAAGUACUGAAGGGAUGAACAGAAAUCUCAUCUUGGAUUUCUAGCCCAGCAGAUUUGUCGGAGCUAAAUAACGAGGUUUUGAGGUAAAGUUUGUCAAUGUGUUUCAUGUACUAUAUAGUGUACAACAUUAUAUACUAAUAUUGUGUGAUACUGAUGGACUCUGGUUAGAAAGAGAGAGAGAGAGGGAGGGAGGGAGGGAGAGAGAAUGAUGAGAAAGUAUUCCCAGUUGCACAUGCCCUUGAAAAUUAGAUGAACCCCACCUCCCCCAGGCGCCAACAAACAAGUGUCUUUUUUUUUUUUUUUUUCUAAUAUAUAUCCAUUUGUGAAUUGUGAGUUUCUAUAAGCAGAAUUAAAAAGAAUUGUGAUUAAUCUGAUCUUGUUUGGGUUAUAUGCUGGACUUUAGCCUGUGGGGUUGGUAAUUUUUUUUCUUUUUUUUUUGUUGCAUUUGAAAUAUUUUGAAACCUCAUUUGAGUGUUCUUUUUCUUGAAAGAAAAGGAUGGCCUUUUUUAUAAAGUUCUCUUUGUGUACUUUUCUUGUGUUUGGUAGGUGAUUCUAAAACUUUUGGUAAAGGUGGCAAUAAACAUUAUUAUUAAUUGCAUAUGCUAAGGUUAAUUGUCUCUAGCAUCAUUAUUAAUUAAGCUGCACAUUUUGUUAAUGACUUCCACUCGCAGCUGCCUCUCUUUCUGUUCAAAACCAUGGGCUAUAAUACAUAAUAUUAGAUUCUGUUUCCUUCUCUUUCUCACAUUUGCUCUUAUUAACUACUAGUGGCUUAAGCAUUCUUUUUCCCUUGUAAACAUUUUAGGAAAUGAAAAUUUUUGAACAAACUCGACCAUUUAACAAAUACGGGGUAAUAAAGGAUCUUUUAAACUUAUCUAUAAUCGAUUUAUUCAUGGCUUUGGGGUACUUUCUAGUUCGACUUUCAAUUCUCCUCUUUCCUUUCUUUUCUUUAGUAAGAUUUAGAAUCUCUCUUUAGAUUUCAAAACAAUGUACCUGAAAAUAUUGUCAGAAAAGAAAUUUUUUUCCUUGAAAUUUGGUAAACGAGGUUUUUUUUCCCUUGAAAUUUGGUAAACGAUUGAACAUCUAAUGCAAAUAAACAACAAAGUCUCGACCGCCAGAUCCAAGCCCAACGAGACUACGGUCAUAUCCUUUGAUCUAGUGCUGAUUUAGGUCAUGUUUGGAUUGUAAUUUUUUGGAGUUUUCAUAAAAAAUGUAUGGUAACGAUUUGAUAUAUGUGAAGUAAAAAGACGAUCAGAAAACGUAUUUACGGAAAACGCAGAGAUUUUUUAGUGAAAAAUUCCUUUCUAAACAAGGCCUUAGACUUUUGCAAAAACUUCAACAAAUCAAAUGGGGGCCAUGAUUCAAUUUGUUUCUUUUGUUAAAAUCAAGUUCCUGGGAUAACCGGUGAAUAGAUAAAUCACAUGUAAGAAAAGCUCGACAUUUUUUCCAACGGUGAGAAUUUAAUCUUAGUCUAUUUUACUCUUUGAUCCAUCCUAGAAAUUGAAUAAUUACACGCACAUUUCCUCUAACGCUUUUGUAUCAUUGAACUAACCCACAUAAUAUAGAAAAUAAAAAUAAGCAAAAUCAUGAGUUUAAAGAGUUUGUUGUGGGAAAUUAAAAUUUAAGUCUAGAACUAGACGAGGUGUCUUUGUAAUUAGGACAAAGCUCAAGGGUGGAUAGUAGUAGUGUUAAAAAUCCCUGCCGUGCUCGUGCUUCUUCUUCUUCUUUCUUUAUCAUACAUAUUAGAACUUUCCGUGUGAAUUUUCUUUGCUACCAUAAUCACAUUCGUCCAAUUAAAGUAGUGGAGGACACUAGUGACUGUUGAUCGAGACCAGGCCACACCACAUAUUAUUAUUGUUUGAGUAUGAUAUUACUUUAUUUACAUGGCAAGAUAAAGAAAGAUAACAAAAAUGAAAUUGAUGUCUUGGAAGAUUGAAAAUUCAGCCAAUUGAGAUCGGCUGACUUCUAUCUUAUUGAAGUUACAAUCAAUCCAACAUCAUGGAACCAUCCUCAAGCUUUUCUUUUUCUAUUUCUUCUUUUCUUGUCUCUUCUUUUUAAUUUUAAUCACUCUAGAAGUCUGAAUUGGUAUUGUGUUUACAAUAUUGUUGUCAUUAGUUAAGUAAGAGUACUUGAAAGAUGGAUGGAAUUAAUUGGACAAAAGAGCUGAUAUGAUAUGGCAAUUUAGGGAUGAUAGUUUCUUUCUGCCAUGUAUCCAAUAGUUAUUUGCUUAGCCAUCACUCUUUAUUUAUCUCCUAACCAACCAUCCUGCUAUGUGCUCGACACUUGUGAACCUUAAUAACUCAAAGGCUUAUGAUUGGAAAUUAUUGUGUUUUUUGGUUACGUACUCUGGUUAUUUUCUUGCGAAAGUGGAUAAAAAUGAUGAAGUGGCACAACACCUGUAAAAUGUAGUAUUCAGCUAAUCAAUUCAUGGAGGGGACUGUUUUCAGGCACCGUUUUGGAUUGAGGGAUAGGGGUUCAUUUGUGAUUAUUAUUUGGACAAGAAUUCUAUUAUUAUUUUUUUUAAUAGAGGAAACUUUCUGGCUAGUGAGGGCAACGGGGCGGAAUUGGGGCUCCGCCUCAGCUUCUUCUGUGGGGUUAAUAAAAAUUUGUUAUAUAAUUUUAUUAUAAUUAAAUUCUAAUAAAUAAUUAAGUGCUAAAACAUCAAUACAUCAUCAAAUCAUUAUCUGUUGUAAUUUUAUAAUUAAAAUUCAUAAAAAUAAUCAAACAAAAACUAUUUGAAUAUAAUCUAACAUGAUGAAACAAAUACAACUAAAGUAGUCAAGUUUUCACUUUUGAAAAAAAUACAAUCACUAAGUUAUUAUUGUAUUUUAUUUGAAAAAAAAAAGUAUUGUUGUGUUAAGUGUAAUUGAGGAUUUAGUGUAAAUGUAUUAGUAAAUUUAAUAUAACUAAUUAAUAAUUUCUAUUAGUAGACAUGUAUAAUUAUUCGCAUAAUUGAUAAUAUCAAUUAUAUUACAUAUACCUAUAUAUAUUAUAUAAUACUUAUAACUAAUAAUAAUAUUAUUAUAAGUUUGAAACUAAUUAAAUUAAAUAAUAUAUAUAUAUUUUAACGGAUGGCGGGGCGGGGGUCCUUAAUGGAGAGGAAAAAAAUUCCCCCCUAACCCCCAUCGGCUGCGGGAAUCCAUCCCAAUUGUCAUUCAUAUUUCUAGCAGGCCCUUGAACUAUUCACUUUACAUGGUUUUGGUCCCUAAAUUACAAGUUAUCACAAAUAAAUCCUUAAACGAAAAAAUGCUUAGUUCAAGGAGUUCCAUCAAAUUUGAGUGUUAAAUGUAACAGAACUAGGAGCAAAAUCAAUCAAACAGAAAAACCGACCCAUGAUUUAGUUAAAAACCUACAAUGUUAAGCCAACUGAUAACGUGAAAUUUAAUGGUUUAUCAUCUUCUUUCAUCUUUCACCUUUUCUAGCCUUAAUUUGAUGAAAUAAUCAGUCACUAGACUUUUUAGAUUGUUUUUGUGGGUUGAUUUUUUUUUUGGUCUGUUUUGUCCCUAAUUCGGUCACAUCUAAUGGCCAAAAUUGACAAAAAUCCUUAAACUAAGCAUUCUCUUUUUUUUUUUGGGUUCAAGGGUUUAUUUGUGACAAUUUAUAGUUGAGAGGCAAAAACCAUGCAAAGACAAUAGCGCAGGGUUUGUCCGAAAAACUUCCUCUUUUUAAUAUGUUUUCCAACCAAAUUAUAUUUUGUAUACAUCACUAUCAUUACAGCACAAAAGUGUCAUAAUAACCAAUGCAAAAAAAAUUUCCAAACAACUUUCAACCCAUACAUAAUAUAACAAGGAGCAGUCGUAGACAGAACGUAAUGGUGGUACCUUUUGAUUUUGAAUUUUGGGCAAAUUUUGAAGUGUCAAUAGGGGUGUCUUUGGGUCUGUCAAGUAACAGUGGAAAAUCAAGAAAUGAGUACCUAAUAGAGUAUAAAAUUGAUUGGUUUUCGACGUGACAGAAUUCAAUUCAGGAGUCAUUGAGUUUUGACAUGAUGAAAAUUGAAGAAGGGGCUCAUGUAGUAGGGUCUGCCGUUUGUCCCAAGAAUCGAUCUUCCCCACAAAAAAAUGAAAACUCAGCAGUAGCCAUUUGCAUGGCGGCAUUCCUCCAUACUUCUCUUUCGGCGUUCCCUCACCUAGUCAACCUCAUGUAAUAAUUCAUAGUGCCGCCAAAGCCGCCUCCCCACCACUUCUUGGUGCUAACACCCUUGCACACACGCAUGGUGGGCAAUGGCGCACACAAUACAUAUACAUACAUACAUAUAUAUAUAUAUAUAUAUAUAUAUAACAAUAUUUGGGGGAAUUAUUUGAGGUGGAUUUUGAAAUAAAAUGCUAGUUAAAUAUUACUUGUUCUGAAAUUUUUAUAGAAAGGAAAGUGCAAAAAGAGGAAAGAUGUAGGGAGAAGCGAAAAGGGACUAAAAAUGGUGUGACUCGACUUUUUGUUGUAUGGCAAAUACGGAAAACCUUUAGUCUAGGAUAAUUUUUUAACGUAAAUCGCUGCACUUGAUUUUCCAUAAGAAACACUUCUUAAUCUAUACGUUAAUUUAGAGGCUUUCUUAAAGAACAAAUAAAAUGAAUUCCAAUCAUUCAAUUGGUGGCCCCAAAAUGGUACUUUUUUUUGUGUGGAAUAAAGGAGUCUUGUAACAUUGAUUAGUUACUUAUGAAUUGUGGGGGAUGGGGUCAAGUUUAGAACCAUAUGGAAAAAGCCACACUGUCUUGUAGUUUUUUUGUAUAGUGCUUCACAUGUGGCUUGGUCACUAAGACUAUCAACUUGUGAGUUGUGAGGCCUGAAAAAAAAGAACUUUGUAUUGAGAUCUUGAUCAGGGAAAUGAGGAACUGAAUCCACUUGGGGGUUUGCCCAAAAUGAAGAUUUUCACCCAAAUUUAAGUUUGGCCAGAGUACCAAAGAUCACGUUAAUGUAAUCUACAAUUAUAGAGAAGUCACGUAGUUUUUAGAACUAGGUAUUAUAAUCUCUGCAAUCAACUUUUGAAAUUAUAGAAAAAUUACUGUAGCGAUUUGAUAUAUGUGAGAUAAAAGAUGACUGAAAAAUGUGUUCACGGAAAACAUAGCAAUCUUUCUUUGAAAAAUUGCUGUCCAAACAUGGCUAACUUGGCAAGCCUAAGAGCAAAAUAUCUAGUUCUUUAGAACUUGAAUUUGAGACAUGCACCAUUUCUUUUUUACUGUCUACGAUUUAUUUAAAGCUUUUGUCACAUUUGAAUGGUGAUGACAGAUAUUGCUUCUAAAGCAAGUAGCUAGGGCAACUUUGGCCACAUGUAAUUUGUAACAUUCAUUUGUUGUCUUCUUGCAACGUCAAGUCAUCCAGCCAUCUUGAUCGUAAUUGAUAGCACCAUCUAACAUGGUGGAUCGGCUAAAACAAGAAAUCUUGACUGCAAUUGAUAGCAUCCUAUAAUAAACGUACAAAACUUACUUUACCAAGUAACGAAUGGGGUGUUUUAGAAGCCAAAAGGAUAAUGGAUUAGGUUCCAAGAAUCACUUUUUUAUCUCUAUUUUGUCCCCUCUCACCCUUACUUUCUAUCCUCUCCUCUCCCUAUUGAAGUUUUUAACUACUUUUUUGGUUAUACACGGAGGACUACAGUAAAGAAUGAGAGGGGAACGCUAAGAGCCCAUUUAGAUUACUAUUUUUUUUAAGUUUUUUUUUUGCAGAAAAAAUGUACCGUAACAAUUUAAUAUUUAUGAAAUAAAAAGGUGAUUAAACAGUAUAAAAAUCUGAUUUAACAGUUAUCCUGCUGUCCAACUUCUGUGAGGAGCUGGAUCCAACCUCAAUCAGGAAUUUCUUUCCUGGAUCAGAAUGGCAUCCAACCAUCAUUUUCCCCCAGCUUCCUAAUGGAUGAAACAUAGCGGCGGCCUCAGUAUUCAUGAAACUUGAAUUGUAAAUAAAGAUUAAUAAAUUAACUGCAAAUUUACAGGAUGCCACAGACCAGACAAUCAAGGGAUUUACUAUUAGAAGCCAUUCAUUCAUUCAUUCAUAAAACUGGGUUUUCUGCAAAUCAUAUGAUAGUAAGGACCAUUAAAUGGAAGAUUUCCCCUUCUAUACAUAACUAACUUAAACCCUAUUAUACUCUUUUAAGGCGAAACAUCUCCGCUGGCCAUUAUUUACACUCUUUUAACACAUUGUCAGCUUCCAUUUGCUGCAGGUGGAAACCAAAUAGUACGAACUAAGGCAAUCUUAUUUACGGCAGCAGCACAUUUAGACAAGCUCCCACUCAGUUUCAGAACUAUGAACUGGAAAUGACUUGGUGUUAGACUCUGCAGGACGAUCGGUCAUUGCUCUCUCUGCACCCUCUUGAUUUGAGCUUUGCUCGGUGUACCUCGCUGCAAGCUGCUCAUAUUCCUUCUUGUUUAACCUCAUCCUGGAGGAAAAAGCUUCGCGUAAUUUUUUCUACAAGAAGAAAUUUGUCCAGUCAGGGAAGAAAAGUUCACACAAGAAAUCCUUCAACUCUAACAGAUGAGAGAGAGAGAGAGAGAACCUUGUAGGAUUUGUGAUUGCCCUUCCCUUGAGGUAAAAAAUGAGGCUGAUCCCCCUCCACCAAGACACAUGUUUCCUCUAAUUUUGACUCAUUAAACGGCUCAAUAAUUUCCACGUCCGGGUCCACAGUAUCAUCAUUCUUGGCUGCAUUUACGCUAUAGUCAUCCAAUCUUUCUGUCAAGCAUAGAGAAAGAACAAUAUUAGCAAAAGCAGAGACCUACUGAGGAAGAGGCAGGAAAGUCACUGGUACAUAAAUUUGGUGCCUAGGUUGCGUCAGCCCAUACUGUGCUUGGCUAUUUUUUUGGACAAGAUUUUUUUUAUUGCGUCGUAAACACGUCUUCCAAUUACUUUGUUUAUAUCAAAUCACAAAAAAUGCUACAGUUAUCCUAAAAUUUUUUUCAUGAUCUUGCCUAUCCAAUUUUCUGGGAGAGAGAGAGAUAGAGAUCAUGAGAUUAUAUGAUUGUUUGUCGUGAAAAAUUUUCAGCCAAAAUGCACAAUAUAGAAGGAUGACAAUCCAUCAAAUAUGAAGUCCUAAAAAAAUCCCUCGUCCAACAAGUUCAGUCUCCAGAUUGAGAAGACAACAGGUAAUCCCAUCUAGUAAUGCCAUAAUUGACUUCACUUUAGGUAAAAAUUGAUCCACUUCAUCUCAAUUUGCAUAGAUGCAAGUCCUAGAAUGACUUAUAGAAAUGAUCCUCUCACACAAAGUUUAACCCUUUUCUGGACGCAAUAGACCGAGACCUUUAAUGAUUGAAUUACAUUCCAUCACUUGGAACUCGACUUUCCAAUAACUUAGCCAUAAGAAAGGUUGGAAUACAAUUUGCUUUUAUUAAUACCUUGGUGGGCCAUGAAGACCUCCUGCUCAACAGAUUUCAUGCUGUCUGUUCCAGUUGCAAUAGUCUUCUGAGUCUGGGAAACCACUCUGCUGUUUGUACAUGUGCCUACAGCUAAAGCAGUAGUUAGGGUGCGUCAAAUGCAGAAAUUCAUAAUGAAAUAAGUGAAAAGACAAAACUGAAUCCAGUUUUAGAUGAUACCAGAGGACUCGGAUGAUAAGCCAUCAGAAGAGGAAUCAGCUUGCUUCUGCUCAGCUGAUACAACUGACACAAUUGUUUUAGUAGCGGUAGCUGGUGAAUUAAAUGAAGCACGAGACAUAGGCAGACUGGUAUCAUCCAUAGGUUUACAAAGCUUCUCAUUUGCAAUUCUAGAGCAUUCUUCAGCGCCAGCCGAUGGCGAUAAGACAUCAACACAACCAGAGGCCAUUUGACAACUCUUUUUCAUUUGAGAAAAUGAGGACAGGUUUCUUAAAUUCUCUGAAAAUGGUGCAACUGGCCCAGUCACAGGGGGCAUAAAAUUUACCAUAGAAUUGCUUUUCCUACUGGUUACCGGACGUCUGUAAAGUCCAGUUUUCCUUUUACCUGUAUGCAACAAGAGUAAGAGCUAUAACUUUCACUGUGAUGGAAAAGAAUGAAAAGAAGCAUAUCCCACCAAAAUUUUGAAAAAGAACAGAAAGUCCAAAUCUUUACCAGAAAUUACUUUAGACUCAUCACUUAAUUUCCAAUUGGUAUCUCUACCAUCUUUUUUAGCAUUUGCUUUCAGUAUCAUUUUGGAGUGAGCAUAAGGAUUCAAUGACAAGUCAGCAGCAGCCACUUUCACAGGAUCAACAUAUGAAUCUGAGUGCAAAUCUUUCAUCACUUCUGAAUAGAACCUCUUAACACUAGCACCAACAGUCUGGACCUGAUUUUCAACAUAUUUGACAGCAUCCUGUCAAAAAUUAAACCACUUAAAAUAACAAACACCCACACUUUGAGACUACAUACACUUAGAUUCGAUAAGACCUCCCAAGGCAAAGCACGCAUAGCACAUUAUUAGAUAAUCAAAUCAGUAAUUUUGUCUGUGAAAACCACCACUAACCAACUUCAUAAUGUAUCACCAAAAGCAAAGAUAAGAACAUAAGUGGCACCAGAGAUUACUUUAGAAUAGAAAAGAUAACUUGUAUUCACCACAAGUAAGGGCAUCUACCUCAUACAUAACCUCUUCCAUCUCCAGACACAUAGCUUCAAACUUGUCAUAUAUGUUUCCAAUCCAUGCUAAACCUUUUAAGUCCAUCAUGCAGUUACUUCAGCACGUCAAGGCUUUAAUGCUCAGCUGCAAAAUUCAACAAAGGACUUUUGUAAGAUUUACAGCAAGAGCUUGCCUAAUAGCAAGAAGCCAUCGGGUACUAAGACACAGUUUAUUAAUUAUUAUAGCAGCAUCCAUUGCAAAUUUGCUACCAAGUGACAAAACAGUAUACAAGCUGAUCAUCAAAAUUGAGCAUAAUCAUUAUAGCAUAAUGAACUCAAUCAGUCAACAAUUUUAGCCCUCUGAGUCAUAGUUCCAGUAAAUGUUCUUUAGUCCUACAAUGUACAGUUCCCUGAUGCUCAAUAACAUAAGUAGAAGGGUUGCAAGAACAAACUAGGAACCAACAUUCUAGCUAAAAUGGGGUAGAAAAAGUCCACCAAAAUACAUUUCAGGCAGAGGGCUAGAAAGAUUCAUGCACAACAAAGGUAUGGAAUAAUAUCAAGGUUGGUUGAAUGUUUGUGAUAAAAAUUCUUAGUAGUUCAACCUGAUGCAUUGUUCUAAGCUGCAUAUUCACAAUCUACAUGUAAAGAGAAAUUAAAAUUUAGAAAAAAGAGUAAUUUCAUCUAAGCAAAUCCUCCAAAUAUCCAUCAGAAAUAUAUCAUCAAUAACAUAUAAUUCGAGCAGUAAACCAGAGGAAAGAAAAUUUUCAGGGAAAAAUAGUUUUGGUAAAUGGUUAGCUGAGACAUCAAAGGAAAGAUCCUACACAUACGAAGAAGGAUGCUAGAUUCCUAAUUCAUAUUGCAAAAGCCCUCUCCAACUCAUGCCUGUCAAUCUCAACAGCAGAGGGCCUCUAAGGUAAUUAUGAAUUAAGACCUUCAAAAGUCAAGCAUUUUUACUAACUUCAUAUAAUUCCCAAAAAGCAAACAGAAUAUAGAGAUUUUCACAGCAUUCAUGGUGCAGAUUUUUUUUUUUUUGCAGAGAAUAUGACUGAAAUCUUUGCAGAAGAAGAAAGCAUAAACCUAAACUGUAGAAUUUGCAGCCAAUCUUUGGCUAAUUUGAAUCAUUCAUAACAACUACAAUUUUAUAAGCUAGUACUUUCCAAUGCUAUCAAUAGUAGGCUUCAUCAAGCAUGACUAAACAUGGAAGCAUCAGAAUGAAGAGUUCAAUUAGUCAGCAUAAUUAACUAGGGUUUAUCUUACUGCUUUCAAUUGGAAAUAAGACAGCUAUUCCCGAGGAUCUGGAACUACUCUAGUUGUUGGAUGUUUUUCUAGAGAACAAGACAAUUAUAUUUAUUUGCACGACCCCCUAAGCCAAAAACCCUAUCCUCAAAUAGACCAACUCCACAUUGAUCUGUCAAUUUCAGGAUAGACAGACGUGCUUGAGCUUCACAAUCACCAGUUUAAAUAAGGAAUUGAAAAGAAAGAAACUAGAGAUCAAGUUCAUCACCCAGCAAACAGAAUGGCCUAAAGUUGAUUCGUCAGAUUCUACAUCUUAAACACUAAAUUCCUGUACACUGCCCCCAUAUCUAUAAAUCUAACUAGACAGGUACUCAAUCAAAUAAACGAAACUGCAGGAUAUGAUGGUAUGCACAUAAGAUAACAGUAAGCAAAAUGAGGCUUUCUUCCGGUGAUGCUGCAACCCAUGACAAAGAAGAAACCCCAUAACACAUUACUUUGGCGUAUAAAAUUGGAAAUUUGAUGUCGCCUUGCAUAACAAACCUUCACCUUCUAUUAGGAAAUAUUGUCAGAAAAUUCUUUCCCUAGAUUAGAAUAUACUACUACUUCUUUCCACAUACAAGGAAUAAUUUGAUGCUUUCCAUGUUUCAGAAAAAAGUCAAUCUUUAUGCUUUCCCAUAAUCAUGUUCGUCUAAACCACCCUUAAACCCAAAUCUCCCCCGAAACUAUUCCAAACCCAUCGAUUAAUUCAUCAAACACAAGCAAGCAAACAUCCUAAAGCCACAAAAACCAGACAAAGAAAAACCCACCAGACCACAAACUUAUCAGUCAUCACAUGAUCAUGGCCACUCUCUCCCCCAAACCAACACCCCCCCCCUUCACCUUCUUCGUCCCUAGCUUCCGAAACCAUCCAAAUUUACAAAACAAAAAAAGGUACAGGAACCACAUAGCAACAGCUAAACAGCAGCUUCGACACGAAAAAAAAAAACAAUUUUAUAGUCGUAAACUCAAAAUUUUUACCAGAAGAAAUUACAGAAACACAAAAAAAAAAAGGAUAACCUGAUCAGAAGUUAGAAAUACGAGUUCAAAAAAGGAAAAAGAAUCCAAAAAAGGACAUACACAUGCUAGAUAUUUUAGAAACAUGCGAUUAAAGAAAGUGGUGAUGAUGAAUAAAGUUAAAGCAGCACACUUACAUACUUGGGGAAUACAGGGAGGCCCAGAAAGGAAAAAAGUAAUCUUUCUCUCUCACUUCUUUUUUUUUUCGGAAGAUAAUUAGGAAAGAUAAGCCAAGAAAAAGGUUAAGUUUUUAGCUUUGAAGAAAGAGAUGAUAAAUUGAAGUAUUAGUAAUAGGUCGUAACUUGGAACAGAGGUAUCACUAACAUAAAAUAGGGUAAGAGAAAGAUAAGUUUAAUUGAGUAGGAGAAUUAGAAACGUAUAGGUGGAGCUCACCUGGUUUCCUUGGGUAUGGGUUCUUGACACGUGUAUUCCUAGAAUAUACUUAAAGGUAAAAUGCUACCAACCUAAAACAUCUAUAUAUAUAUAUAUAUAUUAUAGUAAAGACUAAAGAAGGGCGAAUUUAAGAAGCGAGGAGGAGUCAGGGGAUCAAAAUUUCUACAUUUUAUGGUUUCAAUUUGAGUCAUUAGACUAAAAAAUUUAAAUACCUAGUAAGUCAUUAUUCUAAAAAUAUUUGGGUUUCUUUUUAUUAAUAUAAAUGUCAGUAUUGUCUUUUUUGCAUACUAAUAUUGUGGAAAAGAAUAAAAUUACAAUACAUGUUGGCUUUCUUUUACUUUUUCUUGUUAAUUCAAGAGUAGUUGUUCUUUUUGGGGCUAAAUAAUAUUCAUGGAAUAAACAUGUUGUGUUAUUGUGUUUUUUUUUUUAGAGUGUAAUCUAUCCAAAAUUACAAUUUUUUUUAAUUUUUGACAAGAUUAGGAUUGUAUUGUUCUAUUUACAUAGAGCAUAUUUUAUCUUUCAAAAUAGUAGUGAAGUUACCUAUGAUGUUUAGUGGAAUCACAACUUCUUGCAACUAAUUCCAUCUCGAAUUCCUUAUUCCUAAGAGUUUUUGCAACAAAACUUAAGAAAUUAAGUGAAAAAUUGCUUUUGAAAGAAGCGAAUUUGACCCCAAGAAAAAAGCAAAAAAAAAAAAGAAGAAGGGAAUUUGACCCAAAUAAGUGUCCCUCAAAAUAUAAGAAUCAGAAUUCAUUGCCAAGAAAAUUCUGCUUAUAGCGAUGCCCACUUACAAAGGAUCAACUACAAGGUCCCUGAGUCCAUGAUGUGAGAACCCUCAAAGUCCAACUCACUUUCUUUAACUUUUUGCCCUGUCUAUUCAAGGGUUGGUAAAUUAUCGUCAAACCGAAGGUAAUACAGAUUACUUGUAAUUGUAGCCCUUGUAAGAUUUACACUUUUAAGCUUUGCCUAGGCUACCAAUAAAUUUGACAAGAAAAAAAAAAGGAACAAGAAGAAGAAGAAACUUAGAUGGCACCCAAGUCAAUAGGCCGACUAAUGAUGUGGAAAUAAUGAAUGCUUUUGUCCCUUGACCUAUUAUCCAGCUUCCACUACUGUUUUCUCGACUGCCACCAGAAGUUUGAAGAAUUUCAUUACAAUUUCCAUCCUCCUACAAGCAUAGCGUCAAUACAGUUUCCUGUCACUAAUUCUUGGCGAAAAUCCGUUUUCUUUCAUUUUCAACCUUUUGGACAAAAUCCAAUCUGGAAGAGAUAAAGAAACUAUGAUACUUGACGUUUUCAGAUGGAACGUAUCCAUGAGAAUUAUGUUUGGAUAAAAUUCGCCUAGCAAGAAUCUAAGGAUAAGAUAAUGAUAACCAAUCUUGUAGACUUCAAUUUCCAAGGGAUCAUAUUUAUCGGAAAAAAAAUGAUAAAUGCAAAUAUGAUACAGAAGAACAGAUGAAGCAAAACCAAGAAAUAUAUACGAGAAUACAUUCAACAGAAAAGAUCAAAUCCAAACUUAAGAGAAACAAAGUGGUAUUAUAUUUCAAUGUCAACCAGCAGCUUGAAAAUCCCCAAAGUCAUCAUCUGGAAUGUCUUGUGUGUUUUGGUCUUCUGGAGGUUCUAAUUCUUUAGAUUGUUCUUGAGGUGAGACAGAGUCCUCUGCUGCUGAAGAUUCCUUUAGACUGAGUUUUGAAGGCAGCUCUGAUGGAGAUGUUUUAGGACUCACAACGGGCGAUAAUGGUGCUGGUGGUGGUUUGAUAGAUAUCACGGGCUCCUUUUUACUACCCUUCUCCUCCAAUGAGAGAUCAUUUAAGCCCUGUUCAAAAAACUUGGACCCAGAACUCCGACCACUUUUCUGUUGAUAAAAAGAGGGCUUAAACAAUAUUACAUGAUGGAGGGACAAAUUUACGUACCAAUUAACUCCUUCAAUGUUUGGAGAACUUACAUUUUUUAUCUGAAGUACAAGUUUUUCUCCUUCUUUUAAACUGUAAUCAACUGAUGAAGUAUGCUGAUGUUGCUGUUCCAUUUCUUCUGCAGUUUUCUUCUUGUUUAGGUACCUUUUAACAGAAAAAGCAGGCUAAAUUUGGUUAGCGUACGCAUGCAUGGGGAGGAUUAAACAAAGCUACUUUCAAGCCUUGUAAAAGUACAGAAAAUCAUGGUACUGUUCGCAAGAAUGCAGAGGAUUACUUCAUAUGGUCAUGCAGGGCAGCUUGGAAAUCAUAAGCUUCGGGUCUUUCUCGAAAUCCUAUGCCGAUGAAAGCAUGUCGAAGUCGACCUCCUGCAAAGAAUGAACAAUCCUUUGCAUGAUCUUUAUGGGCAGAUUUUCUUAAAAUUGAAAUUAUUUAAGGAAUCAUAUUAUAAGUCAAGUGCAUUUUGACCUCAUAGGCAAGCAGCCAAUGCCCUUAGAGAUUCGUGUGCUACUAUGCAAAGGAUCUAUUUAUGCUCCUACCAGUUAACAUGACCACCUUAUAUUAAUUCAGCAUCAUGUGCUUAUAAGAUCUGUACCAUUUUGAAGUAUAUUGGAGAAGAAAGUUCAUGCCUAAUAGCUAAAACCAAUUGCAGAUGUAAACACAAUUGAAUAUCGUACAGAACUAUUUGAACAAGAAAAGAAAAGAGAAAGAAAGGCUUCCUUGAUGUACAAUUAAAUUCUUAUCUACCACUUUAGUUUAUUCGAAAAUAUUAUCUACAUUCAUCAAGUCGAAUAUCUUGUAAUUCGUGAAAAAGAUUACGAGUUAGCAUGGAAAUGAUGUAGAACAAGAUAAGAAAAUCCUGGCCAUACAUUACCUUAACUUUAUCUACAAGGUACUAACUUAAAUUGAAGUUCAUUUAUUAUCAACUAAAUGAAAAUAUUUUGCAAAGUCAACCAUGACAUUUCCUAUGAAACCCAUUCGCUUUCUUAAAAAACCAUAUUCUGACUUCACAAUUCUUGAACUUAAACAAUUAUAUUUAAACUUGGGAUGCGAUUAAACUACUCUAUUCUUGUACUUAAUAAUGCUUCUUAUUUAAAUGAUUUAACAUCAAAACCGAAGAAGUGGACUAAAGAAAGCUCAACCUAGGGAGGAGAAGUCGUAUGACAAGAGAAUACAGGAGAACCAUUUAUUAUAUUCUAAUUCUCCAACAGAAGAAAAGUGAUACUCUACAGGUUUUGGAAUUUAAAAGAAUAAGAAAGAUAGAUUACCAAUGUUUUCUUCGACCCGCAGAACAAAAUAUCUGCAGAAGAAUGUGAGAUAUAACAAGCAAGUUAGUACAGAAUGAUUUCUGAAUUAUCCAAGUAAGUGAGAUUAAUGAAUCCCAAGUCCAAGUUCAAAAAAUCAAUCAGUAUGAUCUCAUUAUCCAAUAUUUUACUGCAUUUCACUACUUAACAGGGCAAACAUUAAAAAAAAGAAAAAAAAAACUGGUAAAAGCAUAACUGAUGGCAUCCAGUGGACAAUCACAAAAAGCAGAUCUUUUGCAUACACCCCCAAAAUGGUGCUACAAGGUGCCUGCUACUAACUUAGAGCAAUAAUAAAUUUGUUGUAAGAGGGAGUUGAAAGAGAUGAUGUUGGUGACAAGUUAUCUAAACCUGCUGCUGUCAAUCACAGGCUCCACAGGAUGGGGCUCUCCAUCUCUUAGAAAUGCCCGAGCAUACAAUUCACCUAUUUGGAAAACAACAAUUUUCAGCAAAUCAUUACUGAUGGACAAAACUGAUUUCAUUUGCACAAACUUUUUCUAUUUGGUAGCAACUAAACAACAAAAAGCUACCUGUUGUCUUAUCUUCAAGUCUGAUAAUGCAUUCCUCUCCUUUGCUAAUAACUUUUAAAGCACCCUCCCAUGCCCAUUUAUUGACAUUCCACUCAUCAGCCCUACGAAGAGCAACAAGUCAAUUAGCAAAAUAGAAUCCAGGAAGCAUAUUUAUCUAUUUUCUGACUUUGACAUGACUCAGGUCGACAUCAAAAACUUUCAUGUUAAGUAUAAAACUCUGCAUGAAAUGCAAAAUGGGUCCUAAAGGAUCUAACUCUCCAGCACCGGAUUAGACCUAGCAACCCAGUAAUCUGGCAAGAUAUGACCAGAAUAACUCAUAUUUGAGUCUAUCCUUCAAAUGGCAAAAAUAUUGGUCCAUACCCCUACAAGCACCUUAGUAAUCAAUCAUAAAAUUUUUGGAAUAAGUUUGUCCAUCCAAACCUUUUUGAAAUCUCCAAUGAUGGACUACAUUUUUACUUUCUUGGCGGAAUAUUAAUCAAGCCAAUGCAUGAAAAUUUUCACUAUUUGCUUCAGCUUUCUAUAACAGUAAUACAACAUGUAUCCCUUCCAGGGGAAAGACAAACGCAAUCACAGUCAAGAUAAAUGCAAAAAGCUGAAGAAAAUUUUAUGGACAUAUUACUAGGACUCAAACCUAGGUUAAAAUAUCAAACCGAAGUUACAGCUCUCUCUCUCUCUCUCGGUGUUGCAGAAGAAGAUACCAUAGAGAAACAAUAAGACCUAUUCCUAUAAACAAAAGUCAUAUUCAAAAGAGAUCACUCUGAAAUACCUGUAAGAAGCCGCACUUUUUCUUGGAGGGAUCUGUGGAGAGAAUAAACAAGAUUAAGUUUAAACUGAUGGUGGAGUUAAUUACACUCAAAUUUAUAGAGGAUAGAACAAUGAUGCAACAUGGCAGGAGCAUCCUCUAUGCAUCUCAUUUUUGUCUUGCUAUUAGAUAUCUGGACUACGAUACGAUCAUGAUCUACCAAAUCUUCACACUACAAGGAUCAUCACCUACUUAACAGUGACAAAGAAGAUUUGAUCAUAGAUGCACGAUGACUGAGAGAACCUUUUGUUCAAUAAACACUUCCUGAACUAUAUCCUCCAACAAAGAUACCUCUAUGCAAUCCAAUUUCCACACUGAGGAGGUGCUUUACUUGUAUCAAAACAACAAAUGGCUGGACCAAACGUCUAAGACAGCAAAGAAUUUUUUGAGAACAAUUAUGAACUGCUUCUACAGGAUUACCAUACAGUUCUAAAUUAAGAAUUAUGUUCAAAUCACUAAAUAACAGGAAAAACCAAAAACACUCCUCAUGGACCAACAAAUAGGAAAUUGUACUUUGCCCUAACAACCGCUGCAGAAGUCUUAGCAUAUUUUUCUAUCUGUUCAUCACAAAUGGCAUUCAUCAGAAUAUACCUUUGCAAAGAAACAAAUGAAAAACGGCCAGUUUUCCCUUACUAUAUCACAUCCUCACGAGUAUAUGUAAGUUAUACAUUUAACUUCUGGAAAUGAAUACAUCAAUCUUUUGCUCAUCAAGCAUUUAGUUUCGCAACUUUGCAAACCACAGUACAGCAGCACCUAAAAAAACUGGGCAUUAUUGAACUAGAUUGAUUAACAUCUAACACAGAUAAAUACAUUACAUAGCAAUUCACAAAAAUAGUCACCGAUAGACAAAGCAUUAAUCUCAAAAAAUUCACCAUUCAACGACACAAUCUAAAUAAAUGGCGCCUGCAUUGAAGUAAUUUCAACAAUUCAAAUCUAAAAAGCCAAAACUAAACCUCAGUUGAAGAAAAACAUUUUUUUUACACAAAAAAUGACUAAACCCACAAUUUUUGUAAGCUAAACCCCAAUUCGUUACCUGUAAUCGAACCAACACAAGUUCAUAACUUUAUACUACAAACAGCAAAAAGUCACUAAUUAUCCAAAACCCUUUUCAGUAAGUAACCCAAAAAUGGAAACUUUAUACUGUUUUCAGCAAAAAUUAAGGAAAAAAGGGACUGGCAAAUAGAGAGAGGGAGUACCAAAUAGACGUAGCAUUCUGAGACUUGGAAGAGAAUCAGCUCAAUAGCUUCUUCAAUUUCUUCUUUUUCAUCUGUUUUCUUUUCUUUCUCCAUUGAUGUGAUUGCUAUUCGAAAAGGAAUUUCUCACGGGAAUGAAAAAUUAAUGCAAGCAAAAAGCGCGUUCUUUUCUUUCCCCCCUGUAAUUUAACCGCGCUGAAGUUCUUGACUGUUUCGCUUCCAAUCUGGAAUUGGCAAAAUGUGUCUGGGGAAAAAGAAUUUUAGAAUAGGGGUAGGCUGGGAAUUUGGAAAACAAGAGGGUGGGUGACUAAUAUUAAAAAUUUUAUUAGAAAUAGGAUGCCGGAGUUGAUGGGACUAUCUAAUUCUGAUCGAGUAGUUUACUUCGAUUUGAUUAUGAUUAUUGUGGACCGCAGGUUUGAAGCAUUCUGUAGGCUUUCAGCCGUCGGAUUCUUUGACUGUGGAAGUCAACCAGUUGUUGCUCAUGAGUUGAUAUGGUGGUUUGCUUGAUUUCUAAGCAAGGGAGAUCCAGUAAAGUCCUUAUGAUUAUCUGAAUUUAGGUGAGAUUAGAUACAGGGAAAGAAAAAAGAAAAGAAAAGAAAUCAGAUUUAUGUAUGAAUAAUUUGGAUAGGAAUUAAAAUAGAUAAUGAAUUUUUUUUUUUUACUAAAAUAAAGAGUUGAAAAUUUCCUAUCAUACAUGCACGGUCAUCAAAAUAGAAAGAAGUUUGAGGGUGUGUAUAUGAAGAAAAUUGAGGUCGAAACCUGGAAGUCUCAUCCACUCUUUUGACUUACAAGAAAGUCAAGGUAUUAUUCCAAAGUUGGUAGAGAAUAUCCGGAUAUUUCCCAUCUCUUCUGCAACAACAUAUAGCCAUUUGUUCACCUAGCAAAACAACUUACUAGUACUAUAUGUUGUUAUUUGUAUUAAAGGAAAAAAAGGGAUGUCUCUUCAAUUGGUACUUCAAAGGUUAUGAAUUAGUAGAUCAAGAUGAAAAUUAUCGAACACAAAAAUGGUAUUAGAGGUUCCUGCCAUCAACAUAUGUGGUGUAUAGUUUGGACUUUGGCAUAUAGUUUCAGCUAGAUUUUGCUUAGCAGUCUUUUUGCUUGUAAUGACUGUCGGCAGUAUGAUCAGUUGAGAAUUUGCUGCUUCUUCAGAGCCGGAGAAGUUCAAGAAAACAUUAGCAGCUAAGUAUAAUCGGUUGAUGAGUAAAAAUGUACAAAAAUCACCUUAGUGGUUCCUGCUAUCAACUUGCCAUGAAGAGCAGAAGGGUGUUCACAGACCAGAGGCUGCAUUGGAGCAACGGUUGCUCCAUGCCAACUCUUUUCACCACAACUCAACCAAGACAGUGAUUUUGGUGACCUUUCGUGCUUGUUUGUAACAAGAAAUGGAUCCAUUUCCUUCUGACAAGAUUUCAAAAGUUCAAAUUCCUAUAUAGCCUAUGGAUUUACAGAUAAAUUUCCUUAGGAGCACAGCCGAGAUGCUGACUUAGUAUGCUGCCAAAAAAUGAUUCCUCAGCGCGAACAUUUAGUACAUGAACUCUGUAGAUACGAACUCCAAUUGGUAACGCUAGUGAUGAGACGGUUUGAGGGUGAUGCUAGUAAGGCACAGUUGCAGUCACUGUCCUGUGCCUUGGAUCCGUGAGAACCGUAUUUACAUUGAUAAAGCCUGCUUCUCUCAUUACUCUUUCAAGAUCUGUCAAAUAAUACUCAUCCAGGAAUGGUUCAGUACUCUUCAUUAGCGUAAAUAGCACCGGUGAUAAUUCCUGAGACAUGUAUCAGGACAAUCUAGUUCAGCAGCUUGGCUAGGAAAACCACAUUAUACCAGUCAUCUUGAGAAUUUUUGCAGAGCAGGAGAUGGUAGGGAACAGAAACACCUAUGAACUAACGCUUUCAUGGUCAAAGUUAUAUGAAUCUAAGAUGUUGCUCUGUAUUAUAUAUCUGUAUUGCAUAUAUUACAAUGUUGUCUCCUAUUUCAACAUGUGCAGAAAUUUUGAACAUGUAGUGCUAUUAGUUUGCUCAAUCGCACAAACUGUAGGCAGAGAAAAGGAAUAGGAGAAGAGAACUUGCCUGAAGAAUCUUUGAUUUUGGCUGCAAAAAGGAAACAAGUGUUUAUCAGAUUGAAAUGAUCCUUUGGUAAAUAUACAAUUCAAAACCUCAGGAGUUAUAUUAUUUACCGAGUUGUCUGUGAUUGCAAAAGUUCCUCCAGGUCGAAGCAGUCGAAGGGCUUCUCUCACCAUAUUUUUUAUCGCUCUUUCAGGGCAUUCAUGGAACUGUAACAGCUCAAAUGAUUGAGACUCUGAAUCAUAGCAUUAUUAUUUCAAAGAGUUACCGGAAAAAAGAGCAUGGCACGCACUUAAAAUUCUAAAGGUGCAACCAUGGGCAAGAGUACUACAGCAGCUGCCUAGGCAAAACUUGUGAAGGCUUAUACACCAAAGAAUGUUUCUGUCAAUUUUCAUGCAACAUGCUUCUUGCGUGAAAAUUGAGCAAGCGAAGAUGCUACUCUUCAUUUGGUAAUUUAUCCAUGACAUUGUAAGGUUGCGUGGAUUACAGCUCAAACUUCUAAGAGUAGCAAGAGCCACAACAUGUUAUAAGAGAGUUUUCUCCUAAAAUGUUCAGUUUUAGGAAGAACAACAUGACUCUCUGAUGAUGAUUUAGUACUCAUUCCAACAGAAAAUGUAUGACAUGCUUGCAUUCUGUCAGGAAUUUUUGACAUACCACAUAAGCAAUAGAAAGAAUGUCAAAUGAUUUGGAAGGCAAGCCUGUACUUUCACCAUUAUCAUGGACCCAACAGAUGGGAUUCAUUCUUGGGCUGCUUUUCUUUUCUUUAUAUUGAGCAACAGCAAGAAAAUAUGGUGACAGAUCCAGGCCCUGCAGAAAAUGCAGCAAUAAGAUUUUAGAGCACUGGAAAGUGUACCAGAGCGUAGAUGUACUUCAACUGAAGUACUGUUUGAAGUCCAAUUGCAAAAUCUUUUAGCUAGAUCUCUUUAUUUUGAGACGUGCUCUACUUUUCAGCCUUUAUUUCUUGUAACAUGAAGAGGUUACUUAAGUAGAUGCUGCAUUGAUUUUGUAGGUUACCAUUGCAUAUUAGAUCAUUUCACUUGGGGAGUGGAGAAACUAGCUAGAAUACUUACAGUCACUCUAGCAUUGGGAAAUUUAUCAGCAAGGCAUCUUGUGCUGACACCAACUGAACAUCCGAUAUCAAGAAUUUGUCUGACAAUAUUGUCUUCUGAAUAUUUCUGAUGAUGUUCUUCAAUUGCAUUCAGCCAAUUUCCACGAACUAUUUGAUUAGCUUCAUCCAAUGAAGAAGCAUAUGGUAUUGCCCGUCUCAUCAUUGACAUAGUUGCAGCCUCUGCCUCAGCAGCAGCCUGUUGGAGAAUCUCAUUAUGGAAUGUAUCAAAAUCUCUAUGCUUUACCUCGAAACUGGUGAGUACUGCACUUACUGCUUCAGCAUUACUACUGAAGCAACUGGUAACACAAAAUCAAUGAUACAUAUUUUAGUAAUAAAUUCGAGAACAUUAAAUCAACCAUUAUGCACAUUACCAGCCAGGAAAGAUUGCCCUCAUCAUAUGCAUGGAAGGGAUUGAGGUAAUCUGCACAGGAACCGCAAGUAUGAAACAAAAUCAGUACCCAAAUUAGUCCACAUAGGAAAUGCCGGUUUAUUUAUCUAUUUUUUCUGAUGUCUUGAUUCAAGGUCACUUCCCUAAUCUUUUAGUAGAGUCUGAGGAAAGAAAAAAGAAGAAACUUAAGCAACUUAAAUUCUGGAAUACAACAAGCUUCUUUUAUUGUAGAAUUAUCAACAUCAAUGUUAUAUUGAAGUUAUCAUUGUUGCUGUUGAAACAUAAUCUCUUAAUUAAAUGACAGACUACAAAUUCAGGUACAAACUUUCUAACCACACAGCUGCUGCUAGUCCAAUGAACGAAUAUUGGAGACAAGAAUUUAAUCCAGUCUUCACCGGUACCACAAUAAUAGAGAACUUACAAUCAGGGUAAACAAGAGAGGGAUCCUCAAUACUGUCCAUUUCUUUGUAUACGUCUGAUUCCAGUAUCUGUCUAGUCAUUUCCCUCCAUGGAAUAUUUGUCUUCUCAGCUGUACUGUUUCAAAAUCCCACCAAAAUAUUCCGAAAGAAACCGAAAACCUUUUUUACACCCAAGAAUUUCAGCAGCAAAAAUCACCAAAAUAAAAAAUGAAGCCGCAUUUCUGAUGUAGAAUACAGUAGUACCUUAUGAGUACUUGUCUUGCGCCAAAUUUCAUGAUAGAGAAGAGAGGUCUGAAGGAAAUGAGGGCUCCAACAAGCCGAGAAAGCGGAGUUUCACCGGUCCACCGCGGCCUCUCCAGCUGCCCCUCCUCAAAUGCCACCUUCGAUGACCCUUGGCCACUGCUUCCGCUAGUUGAUGCUGUCAUUUUAACCAUCAUCCUACUUUUGGCACGGCUUUUUGGUGCUCUUCUUCUAAGUGAGUCAUGAUGGCCUCCUACAUUAUCAGUACUGCUGCUUCCUACGGAUGUUUUGAUCCAUAAAUUCAGAUUGCCGAGCUUUGAUUGAGCGCAAAAGGCCAUCGCUGAAGAAGUGCUUCUUCUCAGAGAUAUCGUCCGUAGUAAGGAGAAGAAGAGGCAAUUGGCAAGGAACAACAAACCAUUGAACAGACGUUAAUUUUCCUAAGGUGGAAAUCUAAUCAGCAAAAUAUUCUUGACCAAUUAUAUACUGACACCUAUGCAUUACGUUUUCCAAAUCUUCUUUGUUGAGCGUCUAUCUAUACUCCACAACUUUUUGUCAAAUGAGAGAGAAGUCCAACAAAUGGGGUAAAUUUUAGUAUAUUCCACCUUUAAAUUAUAGUAUCAAAUUUUCAUGUUGCGGCGCAAAUUUUAUUGUUUGUAAGACGCUCUUUUAACUUAUUCCAGUUUGGUCCAACUGUUAUUCCAGAUUUGUGAAAACCUAAUCACCAGAUUUGUGCAAGUGAAAAUGAAAUUAGCUGAUUUUAAUUUAUUAGUUACUCUAUAUUCCCUGAAAAUUCCACACUAGUGCAAGUCCAUGAAUGAAAUUUGUUUGGCUAUUAUUGGUUUGCAAUUAGAUAGAAUCUAUCCUAUCCAGAAAUUCUCUCCACCCUACUAGUAGUUUCACCCAUUGAAUACAGAGUUGGACAUUGAGAAACAUGUAAACAGCAAUAAAGAAACAUGUAAACACUAUGAGGUACUGAGUCAACAAACAAUCCCUUUGUAUGCUAUGCUGCUGUUCAACAUAGAACAGGAUUCAUCAAAAUCCCCCAAACAUGGUUAUAUGCUUUGCAACUCUUUUCCUCACUGCUGCACCAUUGUCGAUUCCCGCAUGUGGACUCAUCGUUGGACGCAUGCUGAUUCCCAUUCCAAUUUCCAACACACACAGUUGUCUGCUUGCAUAUGACACACUGCAGUAAAACUGUAACUCAGGUCAGGUGUCUGUCCUCAUGGAAAUACUUUGGUCCUAGUCCCUGCAGCAUAGAUAACAGGCACCAUUUGCUGCUCAAGAAAUAGGCAGUCAUUUGCUGAAUCAGGAAAAAUAGUAGAACAAAAUCAAGCUACAAGGAGACGAAAAGAAUAGCAGCAAUUUGACCUUCCCACUGUUACUCUUCAUCCUCCUUUCUUUCUUCAUUUUCAUCAUAUUUCCAUCUUCCCCUCAAAUCUCAUAUAUAAUCUUUUCUUGGUGGUAAACCCAGAGGCUUUAUGUGAUUGGGCAAUUUAUAGGCAAAAACUAGUAAAUUAAAUUGGUGUUUUUUUCCCCCCCCAUUUUCUGAUUUUAACACCAUAUGUGAUUGGGCAAUUUAAUGUCAAUUUGACUCUGUCUGUGUAUAAAAGGAUUUGUCAAUUUGACUCUCUAUGUGGUAAUUUGACACCAUAUAUGGUUUUGUUGGAGCAAUGAAGCUGCAACAACUGUAAAAGAGCAAUUGAAGGACGAGUCAGGAUUUGGCAGUAAUAUAGUACUAGCAUUUUAAGGAAGCAGUUUUUUUUUUUCCUUCCGGGAAUUAUUAAAACACUAAUAGAAUUAUAAACAAACCGAAUAAGUAGAAUAAAAACAGAACAUUGGAAAUAUAUUAACUUACAACUUACCAGUUAAAAACAGAACGAGUCAAACUUUGUUCGAAGGAGAGAUACCAACAUGGGGAAUGUGUGCAAUCUUGGGCCACUCUGCGCCACUUCCUUUGGUGCAUCUCUCUGCUAAAAGAGGACAGCUGUCGAUAUGUAGAUAAUUUAAAUUGGUGAGGUGUCGCAUUGCUUCUGCAGAGGGCAAUUGUCUGAGGUUAGAGCAAUUACAAAUGUACAAUUCUCGAAGAUUCCGAAGGCUACCCAUCCACUCUGGAAGAACUUCCAACCCCUCAAACUCCGCAAUACAUAAAGUUCUCAAGUUAGAGAGAUGCUGAAUUUGGUCUGGGAGAGACGUGAUUUUUGGCCAUCCAUACAAUCGAAGAUGCUCCAGCGAGACGAGAUUGGUGAUGGAGUGUGGCCACGGGAAAUGAUCAAGGUCGUCAGAGAAGCCAUCACCGAGAUCCAACGAUCUGAGGUUGGCUAGACUGUGUAGAGCCAUAAUUGGCCAAGAACCAGGGUCACGAGAAUGGAUCAUCAACCGCUCGAGCGAUGUGAACUUCUCAAGAUUAUUACUCAAUGAAGGAUUCAACUUAUCACAUCCGCUUAGACUACGUAGGGAUUGGGGGUUGUUCAUAUCUAGAGAAGCAUCUAAUAAUAAAGCAGGGCAGCCUCCUACGACUAAGGAUUCAAGAGAUGUGAGGCUAUUCAAAUUCCUUAGACAAGCCAAACUUCUGCAUUCCCAUAUCCACAACCCCGUAACAGACGUUAAGUUCUCCAUAUCUGGUAAAAAAGCCAACUUGGGGAGCCCUUCGAUUUCCAAGUACCGGAGAUUAGGGAAUACCUUAAUUGAUGAAGAAGAAUCCGAGGGAACCAUUGCAUCUGACCACUCCUCUAGCCUUUUCAUGUUCCGCAGCCUAAAAUGCUGUAGUUUCGGAAACAGAGUGACUGGUUUCGCCUCUCUGCUACUGGUGCUGCUACUACAAGAAGCACUGCUCCUUGCAUUAAUAUCGAGAUGUGUAAGGAGACCAUAGAAUUCUGCCCCAAUGCGCUUCACAUUGUGUAAGGAGACCAUCGCUAAGGACUCGAGACAAGGCAAGUCCCCUAGUGAUGGUACUUGUUCACACUUACCCAAUUUCUCCAACCUGAGGUGUACCAGAUUCCUUAGGAGUACCGUCACGUGAUCCUUUGCCACCAUCCACGACGGAAACCUUGAACCUUUGAAACCAUUAAUGGCUAAACUUUUCAAGUCUGGGUGAGGUUGGAGACCUUCCAUGACACUAUUGAUAUUGUCGUCAUCGCAAUCUUCAUUUGUAUCAUCCCAUUCAAGUGUUAAACUUUGAAUGCUUGAUUUUUCGGACAACUUUGCUUUUGCUGCCGAUUCAAAGCUGCUCACAUUCUCAAGUCCAAAAAUUUCUAGCUCGCCUUGGAGGUUGCGCAAGUGUUCCAGCUCCUCAAGCUGACAUCCCUUGUCUUGGCUUACCAUGAAGUAGGGCAGCGUCCGAAGAUUAGCCAGCUGCCCAAUCCCAGGGAACAAACAUCGGGGCCAACCCCCAAAAACCAUGGAAAACUCGAGAUGCCUCAAGUUAAUUAAAUUGCUGAACUUCUUAGGUAUCUCUUCCAAGCGACUUACUUUCAAGGUCAUCAAAUUGUAGAGCUUUGUGAUCGAAUCUGGCAGAGCGGUGAUACCAGUUCGACUGAUAUCAAGAUGUCUUAAAUGUUUCAUAUCACCCACUGCAUUCGGGAGAUGAGUAACAGCCCUGCAGUCUACUUUUAAUACAGAAAGGUAUUUAGAACUUUCCAAGAUGUCUUCAAGCAUAAUACCAUCAUCCCCAAUAUAAUAAAGCGUUUGCAAAUUUGGAGGAAUCCCUUCGAUAUUCUUUAACAUCUUUCCUCGACUCAGAACAACGGUCAAAUGCACAACUUCAUCAUUAUGACUGACCACCAUGCCAUUCUCUGUAUUUAAGAAACAAUUAUUUGACACUCGCAGUGAAAGAUCAUGCACAAGGUCGUGCAUCCGGCAGCUCCGAAUUCCGUUAAUGGAAUUCUUAUAACCAGCUUGCAACAAAGAACUCCGAAGCAAUACGUUGAAGCAGUCGCUGCCUAUAUCCUCCAUUUGCAAAUGACCUCCUCCCUUGGCAUCAUUAAUCAAUCCCUGGGCCAUCCAAAUCUGUAUCAAGCUUUCUUUUCUCAUGUCAGCGUCCUUCGGGAAAAUGGAACAACUUGCAAAGCAUUGUUUCACUGACAAUGAAGGUAAGUUUUCGUAACUCAGCUUCAGGACAGACAUGACUCCACCUUCAGUGUUGGUAGACUCAUUCCAUAUUUCACUCUUCUCAAGCUUCAACCAUUCCGAGCCAUCCUUUUUGGAAUACAACAAACCCCCAAUCACUUUGAUUGCUAAUGGCACGCCGCCACACUUUUUCAGUAUCCUUCUGCCAAUGUCCGCCAGAUAUUGAGUCUUUCUUGCACCACCGUCUGCAAAAGCUAGUUUUUCAAACAACAUCCAGCUAUGAUCAUCUGAGAGGAUGUCCAGAUGAUGUAAACGAGAUGCUUGCAUUGCUGUGGCUACCUCAUCACUACGUGUGGUAGCCAAUAUUUUGCUUCCUGGAGCACCCCCUAUUGCCAACAAACGUCCCCUCAUGCCAUCCCAUUUCUCUCGAUUCUCAUUCCAAAUAUCAUCAAGCACAAGCAAGUAAUUUUUUCCUUUCAGAUUUCCUUGAAGCUUCCUCACCAGUGCUUCCGUGUUUGUCGUCUCAGCACUUUUUCCCUCAAGGGAUUGUAGCAUCUCGUUCAACAGCCUCUCCACUUUGAAAUCAUCAGACACACACACCCAUAUUGUUUUAUCAAAGUGCUUUGCUACACACUCAUUUUUUAGCACCAGCUGUGCAAGGGUUGUUUUACCCUGGCCACCCAUCCCAACUAUUGAGAUGACAGGUAAAUCCUUCUUAUAGUCUGAGCUAAUUAACAUGCUUACAACUUGAGAUGCCUCAACUCCCCUUCCCACCGUUUGUGACUCGUCCACAAAAGGAUCAGUCGACCGAUCCUCUUUUUGAUCAGCAGAUGUCAUGCGUAUUUGAGCUGGAUGAAGCCCGAUUUGAUUUGCUUCUCUGUAAGCUUCCUCUAGAGAUGCGCUAACAUUCUUGAUCUUGUUAGCCAUCUCUGUACGAAAGGAAAUAGGAUUUGAGGAAGAAAAGAAGUUGCGUACCUUGUCGCGCUUCCGAUUCUCAACCUUCUGCCGCAGAACUUCAUAUCCGAAGUCAUCCAACACGAUCUCAGCAUCACGUGCUAUGGACCGGAGCCUUUUGAGCCAGAGCUGCACGGCUUUGCUUGUUGAUUGCUUGCACUUAGCAUCAAAAAUCAAAGCUUCCAUCAUCUCUACUUUCUUCGCAAGCUUCUGAAGGUCUUUCUCUACACCCCAUACCCGGCUGAUCUCGUCGGCAGCAAGUGGAAGUAUCUUAUUCAAGAUUACACCAACACAACUGAGAGCAGCUUCAGCCAUUUUCAGCGAAACUCUUUUACAGAAGAAGGUAAAAUGCUUUGGUUGAAUAGUUGGACUAUUUUUGGCAGCUAGAGAUGUUCAACAUUCAACAGCUAGCGCUACAAAGUAGGGAACCCAUUACUUAUCUUUCGUUUUUUUCCAAAACGAAAUUUCCUACCAAGUUGGGAAAACUUAAAAAAGUAGUGCUCCAAGCAAAGACUAGAGAUGAUAUCCAACGACCAAUCCAGGGCCACACGGCUUGUGGGUACCAUUGAAAUAAUUGAAUGUAUAGAUGUUAGUUGAAAGCUGAAACAGUACACGAGCUGGUUUUGGAAGGAUCACCAACGACUAAUUAUGGUUUUUUCUUUCUUCAUGGUAACAUUCAUGCAUCUGGGUACAAGUUCUACACACUUUCAAUCGAGUAAUCCAUUUUCAAUCACCUUUUGUACAUGUGACAAUACUUAUCUGUUCAUUGCCCUAAUGUUCUCAUAAUUCAUUGCCAAAGCUGGAGAAAAGUGUUAAAAACAUAAAAAAGAAAAAAAAAAAGCUUUGUUUCUUUCUUGAACAAAGCAAUAGAGUAGCACACAUAUAUCUUCCACUGAAAGAAUUAUUAUCUUCGAGCAGUACUUUUUUUGUUUUUUGUUUUUUUCCUUGGCUUUUGGUAGGGUCUUCACAUGUUAAAGCAAAAAUACGUAUGAUAACAAUAAUUAGUGAAAGCCUUGGAUGCAAUGUGGAACUUAAAAGAAGGGAUGAGUAAAAGAUUCCCCGAGAAAGGGUGUGAAAACUUAAAGAAAAGGAAUGGAAAAUUUUGCCGAACAUUGAAAUUUCAACCGCUAGAUACUCAUAAUGGUCAAUAUCUAUUAUUAAGUAGGCUCCAGUUAUCAGACAAGAUAAUGCAAAUGCCUAACCAUACGUCCAAAUUGUGGUCUCCACCAAUACAUCUUCAUAAAGCAACUACUGACUCACGGCACCACCCAUGAUCAUGAAUACUCAGCACCUGUAAGUUGACAUUUAACCGACUGCGGAAAUUGUUCAUUUUAUUUGUCAACAAUCAAUUAUCAACUAGAAGAGGAAGAUCAUAACAAAUUUCCAUCCACGAACCUGCAACAUGAACUCAAGAUAUGGGGAUAAGCUCUGGAGAAAUAUCCUUCUCUUAGGUUUCUUACGUAUUUUCUCUAAUUUAGAUCCAUAACAACACACUCUGCUCCUCAUGUUUUUCAUAUACAAAGGGUCACCCUGGAAAUUUAUCAGCAAUUAGUUGCUUCUACUUGUCCAAAAAAUCCCUAGAAAAUUUAUCAGCAAUGGGUAUCAUUAGUUGCUUCUAACUUCUGGUCCUGCAAGGUCUAUUCCAAAGAGUCAGAUAACAGAGAAGUCUGUAGCCCACGAUGAAAGCCAACAUCACAACUAAGUUACUCUAUUUUUGUGACUCUUCUAUGUCUAGAUUUCUCAAGAAUGCAUCACCAUACAUCAAACAUCCUGCUUCAACACCUUCUACACAUUUCCCUCGGCCUUUGUAUCCUCCAAACUCAUUUAGUAGAAGACAUUCAAGAGGAUACUUCAUCAAGCUGAAAUAGUGCAUGAAGAGCCAACACUUGGGUAUUUCUUUGUUAGAUAUGAAGUACCCCGAGAAAAAAGAAGAAUGCACCCAUGAUGCCUGCAAUCAAAGACAUUCCUGAUGCCUGCAAUCAAAGACAUUCCUGAUGUGAAAUUCGGUGCCAGAGCACUGAAGCAGCUGCAAAAGAAUUUGCCAUUGAGAGAACCAUCCAAGCCACCAGACAGAAAUAAAGGAAUCCAUCGAUUUUGCGUCUCAGUCCAACUAGCCAGUGAAGUGGAGUAGUAAAGAGAGGAGAUAGGGUGUCUGCUAUAGCAUAUGAAGAUAUUCUGUAGGAUCCUCUUGAGGAAUUGGAGUAAGAGAGGUUUUUUUCUUGAAUAUUGGACAAAAUGGAAGUUCUGAUAACAUGAUCAGUCAUAUCCUGUUUUACUUCACCUUUUUCAACAUCAGAUUUUUCCAUGGACGGGCUUUCUGAAACAUCAAUUGCAUAUUCAAGAAUAUUGACAUGCUGAGGAAUGCAACGGCCAGUGGACUUGAGCCUCUCUUCCAGGCAAUCCGGGGAACCAUCAUGAAGAACGAUACCACCAGAUAACAUAAUGACUUUAUCAAAUAACUCAAGAAUUCGAAAACCAGGUCGAUGGAUGCUUAUCACGAUUGUUUCACAAAUGACAAAUCCUCAAUAAAUAAAUUAAUUUGUGGAUAGCCAACUGUGCAUCACUUUAUGUCUAGUAACAAUUCUUCACUUUAUGCCAGUGCGCUAUUGAAUAAAAAAAAAAAAUUUUUUUGGGGACAAUCACUAAUCUAACCUAUAUUAAGGGAUAUUCUCGGCAAAUGAUAUCGUCAAAGCACACAUUUUAGUUCUACAGCAAACCUCGUGUGCAAUGACAACUAUAGCUUUUGCCACUCAAAAACUGAUCAUCAUUUUUAAAAGGAUAAAAGUGUUAUUUCAUGAAUAGUGAGACUCCUAAUUGACUCUCAAAACAUGCUCUUUUCCUUUCUCGGCAUAAGCGGCUUCUGGUUUCUUUGAAAAAAAAAAAUACAAAUAAAAACCCAAACUUUUGUGGAUUAGACAUGAAAAAGUUCUAAUGACGACAUUUCACUAACUCGUGCAAUUAAUUAAGUUAAACAACGCAACCAAAAAUAGUUAAAUUGAUACAACAUUUUCGGCGGGACUUCUUCUUCAGCAAAGAUGCGGCUGUGGAGUUGACUUGUGCAUCUAACCCAUCACUAUUUAAGGUUCAAAAAUCUACUUUGUUCCACAAGCGUCAGCUCUCAACUUGUCAAUUUGGCUCGUACAAGUUCAUUUCUGGACUCGACCUCAAUUUGUAAGAAUGAAUAUUUUAGAAAUGGUUCAGAAAUUUCUUCUCUUAAAUUAAUCAAAUAUUGGCUUCUCCCCUUUGUCAUCAGUCAUAAGUAUAAUCUAGACGUAAAUUUUGCAUGGUUGGAGAACUUUUUUUAGUACAGUAAAUUUUCUACUGAAGCAGGAUGUUUGAAACUGCAAGCUCCACUUGAAGAUGUUUGAAAAUGAUAUGUUAACAAUCUUGGCAUUGAAAUUUACUUGCAGUUAUGAAAACUAAAUAAGUUUCCAUUGCUUUGCAACAGAUAUCAUUCAUUGCUGUAACCAUUGAAAUUUUAGACAUGUGAUUGAAACUGAAUUUUCAUUGGUGAAGUAACCUAUGACUUGUGGUGGUUAAUAAUGUAUUCAAUGUAUGACAAUCAAGGAGCAUUUAGGGUUGUUUACACGCAAGUUAUUUCUGUCAUCAUGCUAAACUCUGAAUAUCUAGAGUUAACCCUUGGGGCGGGGUGUACAGGCGCAUGGAGAUGAAACUGGCAAAAUUGGGAUAUUUCUAGUAUUGAGAAAAAAAAAAAAAAGAAAUUUAGAGUUAACAUGGUUGUAAGCAACUAAUUGCGUGAUUUUUCUUAUAUUUCAUGCUUUUUCUAUGUUUUGCUAGUGUUGAUACAUACGCAUUAUAUUCUGAUAUUGGAUGGUUAAGGAGGACAACAAUUAAUAGAAGGUAAAAAAAAAAACAAAGAAUGAAAGUAAAAAACCGUACUUGUACUCUUGAUCUGGCCUUCUCCUUCUCCUUAAUUAGUAAGACUCCAUUAUGACGAAGGAAACAAGGGGAGUUGCAAUAUCCAACAGAAAUGGAAAAUUAUGUAAACACUGAAUUGGAAAAUCUCUCUCUUCCCUAUCAAAUUCAAGUGUGCUAAUUUGCCCCCAAAAAAAAAAUCCAAGUUGAGAGAAAAGGUUCAUACGUACAGGACAUGCAAGUUUCUUGCAUUUAAAGUAAGAGUAACGUACACUAAUAAUGUGUGCAAAAGUAACGAUCUUGUGUCUAUAUCAAAAAAAAAACACUAAAAGGUUUUGUAAUAAUGGGUGGAUCAAUUAAUUGUACGCAAAAUUGUUGUUUCUGUACACUAGAAUUUAUACAUGAAUUGUUCAUCCAUGAAUUGUCCAAUUUUCCACCCCUUAUCCUGUGGCAUCGGUUAUACUGCCUAUGUAACGGCUGUUCUAUAUCAUCAAUUUAACGGAAACAACUCCUAUUUCUUUGUCAGAGACUCAUAAUUCAUUCUGCCUUUAUUCCUUCUUGUGAUUAACUUUCUAUUGUGGCCGUUUCAAUUGAUUAUAAACUCAAUUGCAUUUAUUCUAAACGUAAAAACCCACUUCUUGAGUAUAAUGAGCAAAUCCAAGUUGAGAUUAAAUAGCUGUAACCAACCUUUGACUGAUUCAUUGUAAUUUACACUUUAUUUUUUUUACUAGAAAAAAAAAUCACUUUAGUCUACAGAGAUAUGCUUUAACAGCAUCAGCCUAGCAUGCAUGCUUUUAUAACAUGAUGAUGAUGAUGAUGAUCAGCUGCUUGGACGCUGAGGUGUAUAAAGAGGGGCAAGUUUGGUGCAGUUAGUUCGUCCUCCUCCACACUUCAUCCUAUUCUUUCUCUCCACAUGGAUUUACCUACUGUGACACCAAUUUCUGGUCAUCAACAAGUUCUUUAUAGUAUAAAAACUAAAAAUCUUUCUUAUAAAAUAUCAACAACCAGCUACGAUCAGCUCGGUUGUGGCGUUAACCAGAAGCCUAGGUGUAUUUUGAAGAAUGUGAACUGCGAAGCCAAACCGAGGGAGAUAACAGCCAUUGCUGGCUCCAGUGGAGCAGGAAAAACCACAUUGUUGGAAAUUCUUGGUGGAGUCAUUGUCCCGAAUAGAGUCAGCGGUCAUGUUCUUGUGAAUGAUCAGCCUCUGAAUGUGACACACUUCCGGAGAAUGUCUGGUUAUGUGACACAAGAUGAAGCUCUAUUCCCACUUCUUACUGUUGAAGAGACUAUAAUGUAUAGUGCACGUCUCAGGCUGCGUGUGGGGCGUGAGGUGGCCAAAAAAAGAGUUCAAGAGCUGUUGAAGGAGCUUGGACUGGACCAUGUUGCUGAUGUGAGAAUUGGCAGUGAAUCCGGCAGAGGAAUUUCUGGUGGCGAGAAGCGUAGAGUAUCAAUUGGGGUUGAUUUAGUUCAUGAUCCUGCUGUAGUUUUGAUUGAUGAACCAACAUCAGGACUUGACUCUGCCUCUGCUCUUCAUGUGAUGUUGCUGCUUAAAUCCAUGGCUAAGAAUCAAGGCAAAACCAUCUUGUUAAGCAUCCAUCAACCCGGCUACCGGAUUCUUGAGUUAUUUGACAAGGUCAUUCUAUUGUCCAAUGGCAUUUGUCUUCAUGAUGGAACCCUGCAUUGCCUAGAGGAGAGGCUCGUUUCCACAGGCCAUUUCAUCCCUCAUCAUGUCAAUGUGCUCGAAUUUGCCAUUGAGGUCUCAGACAGCCUGCAUGUGGAAGAAACUGAUAUCGAAACUGGUGAAUCAGAACAUAACACUAACCUUGACAGCAAUUCGUCUGUUAUUUCCAAUGUGGAGGAAAAGCACAUAUCUUACUCAAAUUCCAUGUUCAAGGAGAUAUUAAUACUGACUCAGAGAUUCUCCAAAAACAUCUUCAGAACCAAGCAGCUUUUUGCUGCAAGGACGAUUCAAGCUUUGGUUGCAGGGAUCCUAAUAGGGACAAUAUUCCUAAACGCAUAUAAUAAUCCAAAGAGAUCAGACGUACAAACUCAAUUUGGAUUCUUCGCAUUCAGUCUGACGUUUUUGUUGUCAUCCACGACAGAAGCUUUGCCAAUCUUCUUGCAAGAGCGGAGAAUCUUGAUGAGAGAGACCUCAAGAGGAGCCUAUAGAUUAUCUUCUUACAUCAUAGCAAACACUAUAGUGUUUCUUCCCUUCCUUCUGUUAGUGGCUCUUCUAUUUACUACACCAGUUUACUGGCUAGUUGGAUUGAGACGAGAUAUUGAUGGAUUUCUGUAUUUCUCUCUGGUGGCUUGGAUGGUUGUCUUGAUGUCAAAUUCUUUCGUAGCAUGUUUUAGCGCUCUAGUACCAAACUUCAUCUCAGGAAUGUCCUUGAUUGCGGGCAUUAUAGGGGCAUUCUUCCUCUUUUCAGGCUACUUUAUACCCAAGGAAAAUACGCCCAAGUGUUGGAUUUUUAUGCACUACUUAAGCUUGUUCAAAUAUCCUUUUGAGAGCUUUCUGAUAAAUCAGUUUGGAGGGGACAAGGGGCGAAGGAAAUGCGUGGCAAGUGUUGGAAGAGUAUGCAUACUGCAUGGUAAUGAGUUCUUGAGGAGGCAAGGCAUUGAGGAAUCACAGAAAUGGAAUAACUUAAUUAUAAUGUUGGCUUUCAUUUUGGGCUACAGGCUUCUCUGUUUCUUGAUUCUGUGCUGCAGAUCUUACCGGAGCAGAAACUAAAAGUAGCAUCUGAGCAUUCAAACUACUAAUAACUUGUUAGUUUCUUGAUCAUUACCUGUGUGAAUACCUCAAAUAUCAUCACUGCUGAUUCCUUCUUUCUUGAUGUCCCGCUGUAUCGUUAUUCAGCAAUGAAGAGAAAAAAGAGGUCCUAGGAUUUUAGCAGCUUGUUAAAGUGAAAAUAAUCUUUUGAACAAAAUCCAGCAAUUCUUGAGAACUCACCUUUUAGCGCUGAGUUUAUUGCUACUUGAGUUGGCAUGAAUGUCUCAUAAGAUGGUACUGGAAAUACAAAUACAGCAAUCUACUUAACAAAUUGCGUUUUCAAAACUUUGGCAUAUCCUUCAUCCCUUUUUGGCAUUUAUUUUUCCUUAAAUUAUCUGGAAUUCAGAUUACUUAAUACAGAAACUAGAUCCAUGUGUUAGUAUAUUACCUCGAUCAUCCCCUGUGAGAGUGCAAAAUGGGACAAAACUUAGUUUUAGUUUAGGGGUCAAAUUCGAAAGCCAGAUAUGGUAUUGUCCUUCCAGGAUAAUUCUGAAAAAUCUAAGAAUGGCCCGUGGUGGUUUUAAAGAGCUAAUAAAGAAUUGCUUGGAAAUCUUCUUUUGGGGAAUUAGUUUCUUAACAUUUUAAGUUGACCUCCUCCCUUUGUGUACGUCAAAAACUAAAAUAAAAAUAAAAAUAAAGACAUAUAUAUAUAUAUAUAUAUUAUUAAGAGAUCAUUUUCUCUAACUUGUCUUUUAUUUCCAUUUAAGGGCAACUUAAUGUUUAAUUAAUAACACAUUUAUAGUAAGAUCUAUAAAAACUAAUAACCUUGAGACCACACAAAUUCUAUUAAUUUAAAGAGAUAUUAAUAAUUGAUAAAUUAAUAAUUUUUCAAGUAUACUUACAAUUCAAAGACACACUCAUUUAAUCAACCAAUGUUAUUUUAUAAAAAUAUUAAUACUUUUAUUAAGAAAAGGAGACUAAAAAUCUAUCGAAUAUAAACUGAUCCAUAUCUACUUGAUUUACAAGUAUAAUUUUAUUCUAUUAAUGUACAUAACUGCUAUCAUUUUUCUAUUAUCAAAAGGUCAAAAAGAGUUAGAAAUACAAACUGAUAGAUUUCCAAUUCCAUUUUACUAAAUGCGUCCAAUGAAUCAGCUUAACAAUAUUAUGUAUAUAAAUGAGAAGGAAGUCUUAUUAUAAUAAAUAAAUACAAAGUUGUCUUACAUAUCUCAUUGUUAAACUAUGGUUUCUCAAUUAAAAAGUGUUCAUAAAUGACUGAUCAAAUGCAUAAAGCAUCAUAUGAGUAUAGUAUAUGUAAUUUUAGUGAAUUAUCAAUUUAUAAUAUGAACGAGACCAAAUAGUUAGGUAAAGUUUUGAAAACAUUAUUAUCGAAAUUAUUAAUUUAGCUCGUUAGUCCAAGUCGGGACCUGAAAAAUUAUUAUUUAAUAGAGGUUAUUAAUUUGUCGAGUAUUAAUUUAUGGAGAUUUUACUGUCUUUCUUUCUUUGUUACAAUUAUUAUGUUUAUCGUUUGUAAGAAUUACAAAUGGUUCUUUAACCAGUUAUGUAACAUUAGCCAAGUUUCAAACUAAAUAUUAGAAUCAGAACAAUGAUUUGGGAUCAUUUUCAAUUGCUUUCUUCAUAGAUUUGUGAAUGCUAGAGUACCACAUUAUUUUACAGAAGUGAAGUCAAUAUGCAAUAAUCAUAUACUUGAGACGAUAACAGUACCAACUCUCUGAGGAAAGGACAAUUGACUGGAAUUAUAGAAUGCAAGUAAGCAACAAGAUAUGAUUAUUAACUGCAAGUUGUUUAGCCUCCCUUCCCCAUCGUACAUUUGUAUCUUUUAAUUCACUAGUUACAUGCAAUAACUCGUGCAACACCAUAAUUAGUCUAUAAGCAAAUUAUGCAUGUUAAAUUCUCAUGCAAAUUGAAGGAUGAUAACAUCACAGAUGAGCCUAGCAAUUCUACACUGGAUUUGCCAUCAACCAUACAUGCAAUGGUCUAGUAGCAGGGAUAACAAUGCAUUAUAAUUAGAAUUCUCCCGCAGGUACUGUGCUGACCCCUGCAAUCCGGUAUGGCCAAUCUUAAAUUAGCCCUUUUAGCUUUCAAAGCCUGAGAGAGGACAAAAUCGACUGUGUGGCUUUAUACAUCUUUAACUACUAGACUGAUAAUUGAACCUUAGAUUAUACUUAAAAGUCCAAGAGAAAAGAGCUGGCUAACAAUUUUCCACAACACAAAAGGGAUCAACUGCGUGUUUGCUCAUGUUAGCCUCUUACUGUAAUCCCUGGAUCCAAAAUUCUCUACUUUACCACAAUCAAUAAAACGAGUUCGGAGAUUUCCAAGGUAAUAUAAAAUCCAUCUUUUCUAACAAGCUCAAGAAGAACGGGGGGAAGAUUCUCUUGCAUGGUUUGAGUUGAUAAUCGUGGGAAGUUCAGAAGCACAGGAGCAUGGAUCAAAUAAUUUGUUAAUUAUUCCCAUCAAAAUAUAGAAUAGACUGAUUGCUUCAGAUAUUUUAUGAGUUGCAUAAGAGUAGAUGAACGUGAUCGAAACUUCCAUGCACUCUGGAUUAGCACAUUCUAGGCACCCGCCAUGCACUAUCAUGGCCAUCUCAGACCAUGAUACAGACACUCAGAAGCCAUCAUAGUGGGAGUAUAUUAAUGCCCCUCCUAUCCUAGAAGAAUAUUAUCCUUCUAAGUUGUAAAUUUCUGAUGCCAUCAUUGUGUUUCCAUAUGGUAAAUAUGAUAUAUUUUUAGUUCCUGAUUUACAUCAAAGCUGUGGAGAUAUCUUAAACUCCAAUUUCUGUGUUUUUCCCUUCUUAAAGCAAUAAAGAACAAAGAGGUGCAGUUAAGAUUGUUGAAGACUGUUUUAUCAGUAGUGCCAUGGCAGAGGACAUGACUUCAUAUGAUAGAGUAAAUAAAUAAAUAGGAAUAUUUCUUAUGAUUCAUGAUUUCGUUCUAUAUAUUGCAAGAAAUACAACAGAUUCAUACACGUACAACAGAUGGCAUAUGCAAUGGCAUAUACAUCUCUUUCUGUACCUAAAGCAGAAGAAGUAUAUGCUAGUGCAUAUGUCUCUUUCUGUACCUGAUCGACUGGAUAAUGGAAAACUUACAGUAGCAGAAACAAAAAACACAACCCAACCUAUCUGUAAACGUCACCUUGUCACCAGAAGUUUUCUAAGGAAGAUGAACUUGAAGCAUCAAAGAGAGAAACUCUGCGUCUCUUGUUUGAGAGAGCAUUUCUUGACAAGAACUCUUCUGAUGCAUAAAAUUUAUCAAGUACGGACCUCAAAGCCUGACGAACUGAAUUUACAAGGAGCUCGCGUCCCUCAGAAUUCUCAAGAUUCUGUUGGUCACAACCAGUCAUCUCAAACACAUUCACCAUCCUACUUCCUAAGGUCGCAAUUUCAGCACUCACUGUUUUCAGAGGAAGGGUUUCAAGAGCUUGUCUCAAAUCAGAGAAAAGCUCAUGCUUAUAAUCGCAACAAAGAAAUGCCCUGAUCGUAUACGAAGGUUCUCCAGCUGCAUCUGCUUGGUGUUCUUCUACUCUUACUUCAUCGGUGUCUGUUGGCACAAGCAUACCCUUAGUAGCUUCAGUUGCCUUCUUUCUCAAUUCCUUCACAUGAUUAAUUACUUCAGCAAGUAAUGCUGCCUUGUCCAUCUGGUAAUCAACAAAACAAUAGCUAAUCUAGCAUUUCUAUAAUUCAUGUAACAUGAAGCAAAUUUGACCAAUCUAAUAUCAUGUAACAUGUAAUAGUAGCAUGACCUAUAGAAUGAGAAGCCAGUUGACAACUGUAUAAGUUUCAUGAUAAAAGUCAAACGCACCAUAGCAUAUUGGAAGUGUAAAUCAACAAAGUGCACCAACAAUGGAUUUGUAGAAUCUUCAACCAUGUGUAGAAAUUUUAGAAGCUAAGAAUUAUCUAGCCAUAUGAAGAAACUCUAAAUUGCAAAAGAUAGUUUUGAAAACUAUUUCAUGAAUUAACAACACACGGAACUUGAAUCCCAAAUUACUUUACAAGUUUUGUUCGAAGAUCAAACAAUACAGUAAGCUUGAUCCCAACUUAAUCCUACAAGAGCUGUGCAGUGAAAGCUUCUGAGCGUGAGUUUGAAACCACCGCUCCAUACAGAAGCACUGCAAACCGUUUUCAGCUGCCAAUUAAAAUAGUGCAAAAUAGCAUUUGUUACGCCACAGAAAAGAGGAGAUCAAUAACAGAACUUCCGCACCAGAUCAAUCUUUGAACCACGGGCUGGUGUAAAUAAGUCCGUGUUCCCUUGCAUAAAACGAGUGAUGCUCACAAAAAUAGCAAGCUUAAUAACUUGUAGUAUAAAGAAAACAAAGCAUAAAAACAUCACCAAGAGUAUAUCCAAAAUCAUCCAGACAACUCUUGCAAACGUAUUCCUUGGAGUGGCACUUAUAAACAACAGUACAUACAUGGUCCAUCCCUUAUCCAUAAGGAACAUGACUAUAUCGAGUUCAGAAUAAUCCAUUAUUGUGAAUUUACACUCAAACAUCAGAUCAAAAGAUUGACAUGAAUUAACAAACAUAUGGAAGCAGUUCUUAACAGAAAACAGAACAAAAGCAAAAGUGGAAAAUCUUUACCUUACUUGUUCCGGGAAUUAGACUCCUGAGAGAAGUCAAAUGACCAUUAAUUCUCUCCCUUCUUCGCCUCUCAGCUUCACUAUGAUUCCUCAAAGCAACCAAUGCCUUUUCUGCAUUAACCCCUUUUUGCCCUGGCCUUAACAGAGCCCUCACUAGCUCUCCUUUUUCAUUAUCCAAAAUCAGUGAAGAAGAUGAGCCCGACCCAUUUUUCACCGUCCCUUGAUACCCAUAAUUCUCAGGAAACCCAUUGAAAGAAUUAAAAAAUUCCAUCUUUUUCACCCUCCCCAAAAAAUCCCUUCAAAAUUUACAGUAACAACGCAAAAAUGAAGCUAUUUUCUGUCAGAAAAAGCGUGAGCCAGGUGGACGGUUUGUUGGAGAUGACCACACAGAAAACAUAGGGUGAGAGAAUUUCAGAAUUCUUGAACUGAGCUUUACUUUUUCAGCUGUCUUAUUGACUUCCAUCCGUUAAAGUGGGAAACUUUGGGGACAGAAAAGUAUUUUCAACAUGAACAAGACACUGGUAGUACUAAGUUUUGUGGUUGGUUUGAGGCAUUUGCUGGAGAUUCUAGGGAGAGCCCAGAUAGAGAGAAGGUAGAAAAUGAAGGUGAGAAUGGAGGUAUAGUGGUGGCUGGUGUGGCCGGAAGAAGGUGGCGGGGAUGGAGGGGUGGCUGGUUGUUUGGCUGGUUUAGCAGCCAGCAGUGGGAUUGGAAAUGAGUAAUUGCUGCAUUCACACCCAGUAUUUAAACCCUAAGCUGGGUUGAUUAGCCAUCACUUUGGAGGGAGUUUUUGGAGUUUUUCUUUUAGUUUAAUACCUCUAGAAAUUGACUCCCCCAUUUUUUGUCUAUUUUCUGGAGUUUGGGAUGAUCUCACUAAUCUUUUCUACAAUUUUUUUUUGAAUUUCAGGGUUUUUAAAUUUUUAUUAAAAGGGGAAAAAGGCGGCAAGAAUCUAAACACGGAUUCUAAGACCAGAAAAAAUGAUACUCAAAUAAAUCACUGUUUGGAUAGAAUAUUACUUGAAAUAAUUAUUUUAGCACUUUUUAUAACGUGAUACAUGUGAAAUAAAAAAAUGAAUUGAAAAAUAUAUUUAUAAUACAAGCGAAAUAUUUUUUUUACAAAAAUUUGAUAUCCAAAUUUUUUUUUUAUUUUUUCCCUUCAUGGCCUUAAGUCUCUUCUCUUUGUUUAAUUCACUGUUGUAUUGAGUUUGAGAUAAUAUGAAAGAAAAUAAAAUGCUAUAAUGGUUUUGAAAGGAGGCGGCUAAUCAGUAAUCACCAAACUCAUAAACUUUUGCCAUUUACUGUUAAGAAGAAAAGGACAGUUUCACAAGAACUUGACCAACUUGCCCCAGAAAGCAAAAUGAAGUCAUGGUCCUUAUAGCACAGAAAUUUUAAACAAAUAUUUCUCCUUAUAAAAAAUAUAUACACCAUUAGUAAACUCAUUACUGAGUUUCUUACUUGCAGCUCAUCAGACCUGCAGCCAAUGACUGUGAUGCAUGCAAUCAAGAGAAUUACAGAAAUUUUCUCAAUUGAAGUAAAAUGGUAAAAUGAUGAUAGAUGUGAUGAGUGCACUGUUUUACAGGGUAGCUCUCAGACAACGUCUGAAAGAUUGGUGAUAGAUUUGAUUUUUUUUUAUGCUGAAUAUGAAUUGAUUUCUCUUAGCACCAAAAAAGAGAAUGGAUUUCUCCAAAUGCAUUAUCCAUGUAAUCGGUUUUGCCCACUAGUGUUGGACUUUACUUGUACAUCUUUUGGUGGAUUUGGAGUCAAUAUCCAUACGUGUUUCGACAUUUUACUGCUGUAUUAACUGUACAUAUAUAACUUAUCAGAUCUUGGUCACUUAUAUUGAAUGAAUUGCACUAGGAGCUUUGAGAAAAAGAAAGGUGAAAAAAUUGGUUUGCUGUAUAUGAAGUUCUUCUGGAAUUUUACAUAACCAAAUUAUUGGUUUAAUGUAAUUACUUACGACAAAGGACGUUUGGUUUAGUUUAGAUGGUUCACAUAGGAAAGAAUCACCGACACAAGUUGGCUCAGUUGGUAAUAAAAAUUGAUCACUUUUUCACAAAAAGUCGUGUGUUUGAAUUUUAUUGUCGAUGUGAGGACUAUAUUAGUGAACGAUCUGUAAAAAUUUGUGUUGGCUUAGUUGGCAAAAACGAAUCAUUUCCUCACAAAAAGUUAUGGAUUCGAAUUCCGUUGUCGAUAUAAGAAUUGUAUUAGUGAAUGAUCUGUAAAAAUUAUUGUAAGUGACCUAUGAUCCGAAGACAUAUCCUAACAUAUGAUGGUGACCAGAGCUCGAAUCUAUCCAAACUCUUUGUUCCUCAAAUAAAAAAACAUAGGAAAGAAGCUGCCGAAGUUGCCCGGUUAUGAUUCCAGAUUUGCAUUUGGCAUUUUCUCAUUUCAUAAAAGAAGUGGUGACUUAAGUUUCUUAAAGUCAUCAAUUAGCACUUUCUGCCCAACACUUAGGAAAUUACAUAUAAAUCCAAGAAAGUUCUUCAAAAUCUAAAAAGGGGUGGGAGGUGCCAUUAAUCUAAACAUGUUUUCUUUAGCACUUUGGAGACCAUUGGAUGAUUAUUCAACGUAGACAUCCAUUACAUGUUUGUCUUCUAGGAUAUACUUUUUGAACCUUGCACAGCUCUUUGUAAACUCCUUUUGGAAGUCCUGUUUGGCCGUAUGUAGUCUGUGGAAAAUUUUAUACUAAACACGUAAUAGAUUUCAGGGUCAAGAAAGGUAGGCCAUCAGCCUAAGUUGUGGUAGGGGCCCCUGGAGAGUAAGUAACCAGCUCAUCGCCACUUUGAUUGAGCCAAUCACUCCCUUACCUACUUUGACUCUUUAACUGAUAAAGACACAUUAGUUUCAGCUCAAAUAUUGCAAAUCCUCAGCCAUUUACUUGUAUGCUUUCUAAUUCACUGGUCUUUGGAGGCUUUUUACUUGUCUUGGAUCUGCCCUUGAGCUUGAUUCUGUCUUCUUCUUUGCCUUUAUUUGCCUUUACUGCUUAUCUAUCAAGAUCUACCUCUAGCACUAUCUCAAAAAUGUGCAGAUUGCUUUCGUACAACUGUGUAUUUAGCUCCUGAUUGAACAAUUUUUGACACUCCCACUACAAAAAAAAGGCAAAAAAUUCGUCUCACGAUUAAAUAAUUGUGAUAUAUAUGAGACAAAAAAAAAUAAUUAAGAAAAUGAAAAGGAGAUUGAAAUGCAUAUUUACUACGGAAUCAAAUAAUUUUCGACAAAUAAGAACCCAUCCAAACACACAAAUUCACGCGACCCUUUUUUUGUUUUCAGAGCAACUUUAUACCUUUAGUCUUUGAAAACAAAUUCAUUUUGGCUUUGGCUAAGAUAUUUGUGAUCUCUUCAACUUUAUGAUCACUAAAGCUUGAUUUGUCCUGACUUUGCUUUCCCUCCCUGCCAACGUGAUUCAGAAUAACUGCAAGGGAAGCAGCACAGAGGCACAAGCUCAUAGGUCAUGGUGUAGUUUUAAAUGUAUAGUGGAAAUCUAAGAGAACAUCUUCUUGAUUAGUACAAAAAGACUAAGAAGGUGACCCAUCAGAGACUUGGAAAAACUUUGAACAAAUAAAAUAAGCCAGGCAAAUUAGUGGGAUAGCAAAAUUUUAAGGUUAGUCAUCUAACUUUACCAUCCACUGGCCCUUCUGAUUAAAGAAAAUUUGAAGAAACGCAGUACCCAGGUGUAUAUGCAUGUGUGUGCCUGUUUGGUUGAGGCAAAAGAUGAUUUAGAAGAUCAUGACUGCAUGCUCAUGCAAAAUUUUAUAUAAAUAAAUUGGAAUGACAAUAGCAUCAACUAAUCACAUAAUAAUUCACAGGAGUCAACUCAUCAUUUGUGAGCUUCAUCAAAUUGAAGUCAACUUACCACAGUUCCUAAAUAGUUGGCCCUCUUGGGAUGCAAAAUUUGGUCAAUUUAAAUAAAUUUAAAAAAAUGAUAUUUAAAUUCAAUUAGCAAAAUUUGCAAGAAAGAACGUUGUUGUGCUAUGGAAAAAGGAAAAAAAAAAAAAAAGAGCACUUGAUCAUUUUAAUUUAGGAAUUCAAUGACGGUGGAAUUAGUUAUAACUUGAUAUAAUCCGAAGGUAUUAAUCUUGUUUUCAAAGUUUCACCUCACCCAUAAUUUUCUUUAAUCUUCUGUUUAUCAACUCAGUGACUAUAAUUGGGGUUUCCCUUUGGUUAAUAAUAAUUGGAAAUUGAAAAAAAAAAAAAAAGCUUUAAAAACAGAGAACCAGCUUUGGAUUCCUAGUGAUUAGUUACGGUUUAGUUGGAUAAUCCCAUUAAACAAAAAGCAUCAUUAGAAUUGAUAGCCAAAUGGGAUCAGAUUUCUGUUUUACUAAUGAUUAAGUAAGGCGUUAUUAGCAAACAGCAGCAAUAACCUGCAAAAUUACCUGCCCACCAUAAUAUAUUUUUGGAGUCAACUCUGGCCCUGAGAAGACAAUAAACCAUUUCCCUUCAUCUGCUUCUUUAAUAUUAUUUCAAGUCAAGUUGCUGACUCUGUUCAAAUCACCUAAAUUUUGGAUCCAAAGAUGCUAUUUUGUUGCUUUGCAGGGCAAAACCUUAGGUAGAAAUUAUAAGAUCCACGCCUUCCAUGAUUGUCAACAUGUUCAUAAAAUUGGAUACUUCUUUUCCCCCAAAAUUAGAUACUCUAUUUAAUGCAAAAAAAAAAAAACUAUAUUUACAUAGGAUUUGGGAAACAAAAAACAAUAGGGUUAAUUUCACUUUGCACCCCGUAAACUAUAUCCAAGUUCUCACUUUGAUCGUUAAACUUCAGAAUGGAAUACUUUAGUUCCUAAAUUAUAAAAUUCAUUGUGCUUAAAUCCCUAAAAUAUAUAAUUUAUUCAUUUUAGUUCCUAAAGGAUAAAAUUUAUUCCAAUUUAGUCCCCAAAGUAAGGAAAGUAUACCCACUUAAGCAUAAAAUCUGUCUCACAUCCUUAACGAUAUCACUUAAAUCGGAUAAAUUUUAUAAUUUAGGAACUAAAGUGUCUCAUUUUUAAGUUUAAGGACUACAAUAGAAAUUUAGGUUUAGUUAAAGGGUGUAAAGUGAAAUUAACCUGAAAACCAUAUGUUGUCUAUGAAAAUCCACAAGUUAAUCAUUCGAGGCUGCUUGCAUCCUGGUUGUAGUUCUGCCCAGUUUAUGGAUCCAGUGGGCUGUAUCACUCUUUCACAUUGGUUACCCACAAUCCAUUGGCCAUAACAACUCUUUUUUUUUUUUUCUCUCGUUUUUUGAGGGAGCCAUAAAAACUCUUAACUUCUUUGUUUUAGAAAUAUUUGUCAUGGCAACCACAUAAACCUAAUACUAUAAUUUUUCGAAUUUAUUUGAAGUUACAAUAAAAAUAUCUCAACAUUUCAAAUUUGAAGCAAGAACAUUUGUGCCUUUUUUUUUUUUGUACUGAAUUAUCAAAUUAAAUCAAGUAGAAAAAUGCAACAACAAUACCCAAGACACAAGGCACAAAAAAGAAAGUGUUAUGGGUGAUUAGAGAAAAAGAAGAGUCUUCUCUAUUUUUUAGCAGAAAAUGUUUUUAGCCGGACAAUUGUAUCAAGUCAGAGAAAACAAAAUGUGAUAAAAGCGACCUGAGGAGCCCACGAUGAAAACCCCAGUGUCCUUGGACUCCUGUCUACUUCCAGACUCAUAAAGUGAAUUGAGGCAAUUUAUCUCAUUAUCUCCUUACAUCCUUACAUAUACAUAAGAAGCACUUUGUGUUUCUACGGUGCAGCUAUUUUCAAGUGCCACUUUGCUUCCAUGUGUUGUACUUUUGAGUGCUGAAACCUUUGCUAGAGCUGUUGUACCUGAGGUGGAGCUUCAAGUGCACUGCAUAUUUUCUGGAUUGUGUUUUGUGCUCCUGCCACUUAUGGGCCCCGACUUUUAAGAAAUUCAGAGAGUUAUAUAUAUAUAUCCUACGUAUAAUAUUCCUUUAUAUUAUAUACAUAUAUAUAUUUUUUUUCGUUUGUAAAAAAAACCAUUGUGUAUGCUGAAGGCAUUUUGUAUAUACAUAUAUAUAUGUAUAUUUAGAGAUAUAUCUAAGAUAAAUAAACAAUCCACUCACUUCAACGAAAAUUUAGGUAAGUGCAUAGGUUCCUUGUCAUCUAAAAACAUACGUGUCAUUGUUUACAAUUUUUUACGUAUUAUUUAGCUCAACUAUUGAACGAAAAUUUAUGUAGACACACAGGUUCCUUAUCAUUAUCAUCAUUUCAAAAACAUACGUGUCAUGUAUCAUUCAGCUCUUGCUUACAAUUCAUGCUUAGCUUUUGUUAAUUGUCGGCCAUUUACCUUUGCUGUUUACCAAAUUCUUCUGGACAGUAUCUGUUUUCUGCAUCAUUGCAUGGCACCGCUUGGUUAUAUUUGUAAUUUCCCAUUUCUUUCAUUGACUUGUAAGAUACAAACAGUCUUCAUGCAAAAUCGACUGCAUACUUCAGCUUUGACUUCCAUGUAAACCUUGUUCUCGGUUCUUUUGAAUACAACAAUUCCCACGCAAGGUAUUCUCUGAACUUCCGUCUCUCUGGUUUCUUUGUUUAUCAGAAAUUCUACGGUUACUGCUUUAAUAUCUUUUAUUCAGCUCUCCAACAAAUUUGCUGCACUGCUGUCUGCCUUAGCUACCAAUGGAGGUAUUGUUUUGCUAGAUUUAUUAACAGGUCUGUUAGUCCAUAGUUUAUGUCGGUCGUUUUUGCUGUUGUUGCUAUCAGUAUUUUCUGCUUAUCACGCUUAACAAGCUCCUACUUUAUUCACUGUGUAAUUAUAUUAUAAAAAAUCUCUUCCAUUAUAAUACGGACAACAUGAGUUCCUCUAAGUUACAUCCACCUAACAAUGCUCUGAAUGUCCGUGAGAAAAAAUCUGAGAAGAAUAGAAAAAAGAGAGAAAGAUUUGCUGCUCUGUCGGUAGAAGAAAAAGAAGCUCAUCGAAAGAAAAAUAGAGAUGCGUAUCACAGAAGAAAGUUAAGCAAACUCUUGUCCAAGCCACUUGCUGAACAAUCUCAGCAGAUUUCCAGACCAUCAGAUACUCCAGGCUCUGGUUUACUAGCUAUUUCUAACAACUGUGCUGAUGGUAGCUAUUUCCACCGAUGCAAUAACCUGUUGCCACGGACGAAGAUAUUAAUGUCAGAAUUAAGUGAACAUGGUCGAUGUGUCACAUGUAUGUUUCGCAAGCUUCGUUCACCCUUUCUUUUUUUUUGUUGUCUGCAUGUUGAGUUUCUGUUUACCCUCUAUUGCAGCUCCAAAUCUUCAUGGAAAUGCAUCUGCUCAGAAAAUUGAUGCGUAUGUCACCAAAAUUGCCUCUCCUAAUCCUCAGCUCUCUGCAUGUAACAGUCAAUCUGGUGGAUCAAAAUUAAAGAACAGUGUGUCUCACUUUUCCACUUAUGAACAAGGUCUUCAUCCCUGUUACUUUUAUAGAAGUAUUACUACCAUUAUCAUAACUGUUGCUUCAAAAUACCAUUGUAUUGUUCUAACAUUCUUCAAUUGCAGGUAGUUCUUCAGGCACGAACCACAAGCAUGUCUGCUCACAUCAUACUACUCCAUACACUUCAGGUGGACCACUACUUUACCUAACUUUGUAUUAAAUAUUGCCAGAUUUUAUUGGCCAUAGAAAUGUAUUUUUGAACAUAUAACUGGCCACCAGGUUCUUCAUACUUAUUCAUUUAUUCUUUAUGUUAAACUUACAGCUAACUCAUUUGUCUGUAUGAGCUGCUACAACUUCUCUCCAGAGAGUAUUGAACAAGUUCCAGGUAUUUGAUGCUUCAGUACCGUCAUAUAUUUUGUUUCUUCUUAAAUUACAUUCAGUUUGUUUACUGUAAGUGACACGAUGGGUUCCUCUUUAUAGAACUGUCAUCACUUGUUACACGAUAUCAGGCUACUCGACAGUUACUAGGAUCUACUGCUAACAAAAAUGGAGGUUUAGGUUGUCCUCUGUCACCAAGUUUCAUUAUUGUAAUACUUGCUACACCAUCAGUCUACUUCUCACCGUUGACAAAAUCUUCUGAAUAAAUGUACAGCCAACACAAAAUCAGUGCUGGAAAAAACUCAGACCGUUAAUAAGACAACUAAGAGACCAAAAGGUAUUUUGAAUAUAGUUUAUUGUACAUGUAGAGUUCUGUUCCAAACCUCUACUCUUCUGUUCAAUAGUUACAAUUACAUUGAAUGUAUUGUAGGGAGAACAAAUCCAGAUGGGAUUGGAGCAUUGAAAUUCAUUAACGAUGAACCAGACAUGUUGCCUUCAAAGCCACAUUGCAGUUACUGUGAGGCAAAAAAGUUCCAUUCUGAAACACCAAAUUUUUGUUGUUCUAAUGGUGAAGUGGUUCUCCAGCAAAACAAACUUCCGGAUAUUUUGAUAGAACUAUAUACUGGUCGGUCUGAUGAAGCUGCUUCUUUUAGAACAUAUGUCAGGACAUACAACAACAUGUUUGGCUUCACCUCUUUUGGAGUGCAUUAUGAUAAAUCCCUCUGCAAAAGAACUAAUGGCAUUUACACAUUCAAAGUCCAAGGACAAACUUAUCACUUCAUCAAAGAUCUGAUUCCAUCUGGAGGUUCUGGCGUCUAUCUGCAGCUAUAUUUCCAUGACACAGACCAUGAGUUAGAAAACAGACUAGCUAUAUCACAGAAGCUGACAGAGAGUACAGUAAAAAAAAUUAUGCAUAUGAUGGAAUCCAAUCCUUACGCUUCUUUUCUUCGAAGCUUAAAACAUGUUCCAGAUCUUGACUCAUACCAGAUAGUACUUAAAUCCCAUUCAGAAAAUGAUCAGAGGGUCUUCAACCAACCAACUGCAUCUCAAAUUGCAGCUUUAUGGGUGGAGGGUCAGGAAUUUAAAGAAGGAUACACGAGACAUAUUCAAAUCUAUACAAAAGAGGGUAAAGACCACCUGUUACAAUACUAUUAUGGAUGCUAUGAUCCAUUGCAGUAUCCACUGUUAUUCCCGCUUGGAGAAACUGGAUGGCAUCCUGGUAUAAGAAGGAUAACUAUGGAAAAUCCAAAGAAGAGAAAGAGAUGCAACAAAAAAGCUAGCUGCACUACUCCUUUUCCUAAUUACAGAUCUGCACAAGAGCUACUAGAUGCUGAGGAGCAAGGUAUGCAUAGAAUCAUAAUCUAGAAUUAUAUUCUCCAGUAUAUACUUAUAAAUAUUAUGAUGCUUACAUUGAACAAUUGUAUUGCAGGUUGUAACGAUCUGGAAAACAAUAAGGAGUUUGUAUCAAUGCGUGAGUAUUAUUCAUAUAAAUUGCAGAUGCGAGAAAAAUAUACUCCAAGUGUACUUAAUACUGGCAGACUGCUACAACAAUAUGUGAUUGAUAUGUAUAUAAAGAUAGAAACCCAGAGACUUGAUUACUACAAGAAUCGACAAGAAUUAAUAAGAAGAGAGCAGCUUCAAGGUAUAAUGGACAGUGUAGUAGCAGGGCAUUGCCAGGGAUCAAGGGUAGGGCAGCGAGUAAUCCUCCCAGCUUCAUUUAUAGGUGGUCCACGUGAUAUGAGGAGAAGAUAUGUUGACGCCAUGGCUCUUGUACAAAAAUUCGGCAAACCAGAUCUGUUCAUUACAAUGACCUGCAACCCUUCAUGGCCUGAGAUCAAACAACAUAUGCUUCCUACUGAUGAGGCUCAUAACAGACCAGACUGGGUUAAUUCCACUUUGUCCCCUCAAACUUUGGGCGAUUACCCACUUCAGUCCCUUAACUUCAAAAUGGGACACUUAAAUCCCUAAACUUAUGAAUUGCUCCCAGUUAAGGAAAAUUGUUGACAGAAUCCUGAUUGCCGUUGGUGGUUGAAGAGCGUGGCAAACACUGUCCUUUGACUGAGGGCAACAAUGAAAAUUCACAAAAAAUCACAUAUAUAGAUUAAAAAAAAAUGGUGAAAUAUGGAGGGAAAGUUUCCCUCCAUGCUACCCACUUCAGAUGGAUAAUGUAGACCCGAUCCAAAUCAUAAAAGGGCACUUCAGGUCGGUAUGCUGAGAGACCCAAGCUGUCAUUCUGCUAUCCACAGGGCAGGAAGAAGAAAAGGAGAACCCAACGCAUGGUUCAACAAACAAAGAGAAAUGGUGAGGCAAUUUUGUGAUUGUGGAAAGCAAACAUUGAUGAUGACAUCAUGGACUGCCAUGAACCCAGGAAGAAGGUUUUGUCGAUGUGCCAAGUACAGAGUAAGGGAAAUUAGGGUUUUGUGUUUAUACUUGUUUUUUAUUUUGGGUUUGUAUGAAUUGCAGCCACCUAAUCUUGUCUGCAAACAUAAUGUUCUUGUCAAACUAGGAACAAGGAGGCUGCAUAUACUGGGAUUGGGUUGAUCCUGAGAUGUGUCAAAGGUCAAAAGAAAUAAUACCUGGACUGCUAAGGUCGAUGAACAAGAUGGAAGCUGAGUUGGAUAGGUUGAAAGAAAAUUCAAGGUGCCAACAAUCGAAAGUAAGGAAGCUAAGGAUGUACUUGAUUAUCCACUGGGUUGCCAUUGUCAUGUGGUUGUUUUUUUCAAAUCUGGGGGAGAAGGUCCAAAAUGAGUUGUAGAAGAAGCAACCGCUUAUGCCGGACUGCCCGUUUUGUUUGCUCAAAUAUGGGACCACCUUUGUCUGUCAUUGCUAAGUAGUGGACCUUUUGAGUGGUGCAGGAAGGAAAUUCUUGCUUUUGCUGACUAUGUAAUUACCAGCACUUUCAGAAUCCCGCUUGCGGGUUUCAGCGUUUUAUGCUGUCGGGAUGUUAACCAUCUUGCUUGUGAACAUGUGCCACAUUGCUUUGAAUUUUUGUGACAGGUGAAAGUUUUGUCUGAUGAAUGUAUUUGUGAAAUGACCUGAGUGGUGGUAGAUGGGUUAAUUGGGUCGGUCGCGUUACCCAAUUAUUUAUAUCCAUAAGUAAAAUUUUAAGAUUCGCAUACCCAUCUAUUCAUGGCCGGUAUGGGUAAAUGUAGUUCAAUGGAAAUGUCAAAAAACGAGUUUGACAACCCAAUUGCUCGUUUACAACCUAUUUAUUCUAACUUUUUACAAAUUCGUCUAAAUUAAUUUUGAAAACUUAAUUGCCAAUUUAUACAACCCUUUUUUUUAACUGUCAUUAAUUUAAAUAUUUACUUAUAAUGCCCAAAAAGCUUAAUUACCAAUUUUUUCUUCUCGCCAUCAAAUAUUACAUUAACCCGCAUGCGGGAUUUUAACCUGCUUGCUUGUGAACAAGUACCACAUUGCUUUGAAUUUUUGUGACAGGACAAAAGCUUUGUCUGAUGAAUGUAUUUGUGAAAUGACCUGAGUGGUGGUAGAUGGGUUAAUUGGGUCGGUUGCGUUAACCAAUUAUUUUUAUCCAUAAGAAAAAUUUUAUGAUUCCCAUACCCAUCUAUUCCUGGGCGGUAUGGGUAAAUGUAGUUCAAUGGACAAGUCAGAAAACGAGUUUGGCAACCCAAUUACUCGUUUACAACCCAUUUAUUCUAAUUUUUUACAAAUUCGUCUAAAUUCAUUUUGAAAACUUAACUGCCAAUUUAUACAACCCUUUUUUUUAACUGUCAUUAAUUUAAUUAUUUACUUAUAAUACCCAAAAAGCCUAAUUAGCAAUUUUUUCUUCUCGCCAUCAAAUAUAACAUUAACCCACAUGCGAUCUUACGUUGAAAUAGGAAAGGAACAGAAUGCCGCUUGGGGGUUUCAGCGUUCUUAUGCAGACGGGAUGUUAACCUGCUUGCUUGUAAACAUGUACCACAUUGCUUUGAAUUUUUGUGACAGGUGGAAAGCUUUUUCUGAUGAAUGUAUUUGUGAAAUAACCUGAGUGGUGGUAGAUGGGUUAAUUGGGUCGGUUGCGUUACCCAAUUAUUUAUAUCCAUAAGUAAAAUUUUAUGAUUCCCAUACCCAUCUAUUCUUGGGCGAUAUGAGUAAAUGUAGUUCAAUGGACAAGUCAGAAAACGAGUUUGGCAACCCAAUUACUCGUUUACAACCUAUUUCUUCUAACUUUUUACAAAUUCGUCCAAAUUCAUUUUGAAAACUUAACUGCCAAUUUAUACAACCCUUUUUUUUAAUGGUCAUUAAUUUAAAUAUUUACUUAUAAUGCCCAAAAAGCCUAAUUACCAAUUUUUUCUUCUCGCCAUAAAAUAUAACAUUAACCCGCAUGCGAGGUAACGUUGAAGUAGGAAAAACACAGAAUCCCGCUUGCGGGUUUUAGCGUUAUUAUACAGUCGGGAUUUUAACCAUCUUGCUUGUGAACAUGUACCACAUUGUUUUGAAUUUUUGUGACUGGUGAAAGCUUUGUCUGAUGAAUGUAUUUGUGAAAUGACCUGAGUGGUGGUAGAUGGGUUUUAAAUGUAUUGUAUCAAAUUUAGGGAUAUAGUGGACCUGCUAUGUCCCAUAAUUGUGAACGUUGGACCUGCUAUGUAAUCAGAAUUUGUUGUUUAGGGAUUUUAGUGUCCCAAUUUGUAAAGUUUAUUGCAAGUAAUCUAUGUCACAUUAACAACAGCAAUCAACUCAGAACAUAAAAUUUUCAGCAAAAACCUUUGAUCAUUCAACAAAUCAUCCAAUACAUAAUAGCAAUACCAGGAAUGACAAAAAUUCCACAUUAACAGCCUCUGAAUUUCACCCAUCUGGACUAGCAAGACAAAGGCUAUAUGAGUUCCACAACAGAGGCUACCAAAAACAGAGGCUAACAAAAAUUCCAUAUUAACAAAAAAAUUCUUAGUUCCAAUGGACUAUAUGAGUUGAACAAAAGUUCGCCACAUCUGGACUAGCAAAACAGAGGCUUUUACUGCCCAAUUUGAUUGUAUCUGCAAAAUAAAAAAGGCUAUAUGCCUGUACAAUUCUUGAGUUGGUUUGUCCAGCAUCAGUUAGUUCAUGCUUGAAGGCUAUUUGGCCUAUUGCUGCAAUUUUCCCAACUUAACAGAUUGGUUUCCAUCCCCAUGGAGCUGCACAUUUUCAAUUCCAAGUGACUCCUUCGCAUGUCCCGCAGCUGUCUGUAAUGUAGACAGGUUAACACACAAAUUGCCUUGCCAUGUGAAUUGUGCUUGCUUAAGUCCACUGCUGGAAUGAGAGGCUGUCCCCAAGUCCACGUAUGAGUGUGGUGCUCUCAUCGUUACUCCGUGGCUGUGGGAAUAAAGUUUGCGACCAUCAGCUUUGGAGCUUAACUGCAAACAAGCACAUAACAUGAAUCAAUAAGACAUGACACCCAUAAAUAAAGACCUGAUGUAUGGAGACCACUUACAUGAGUUGUUGUAGGAUUCUUUUCCACAUGCCCAGAACUAUUUUGAGCAUGAUUAUAUGGGUUUUCCAGAUCAUCAGACCGUAUUUUUACAGUUUUGAAUCCCAAGUCUCCAGUCAUGUCCAGUGAGCUCCUAAAGGUCCAUUGCCUCAACUUACAACUAUUCUUUGAGUGACCAUGCUUACGACAAAAUGAGCAUUUUCUUCCUUUCUUUGUCACUGGUUCUUGUGCCCCUUGUUUUGGCUGAUUGGCAUCCAAAUUUUGAGAUGGACCUGUGUGACUCUGUUGCGUACUUACUCCAAGUAUGUCAACGGUCACAUCACUUGGACAAGCCUCGUUAGUACUUGGCUGCAUAGAUGGGCCUGUAUCUCCAAUAUCACUGUUCUCCUUUGCUGAACUUGUAGUUGUCCCCUCAGUGGUUUGCUUAUUUUUAUCCGGACAUCCUCUUUUGUUAUGUCCGUAUUUUUUGCAGCGGCUGCAGCUCAUCAUGGUGCCAACCUUGCUAACCUUGUGAGGUUUAGUUGGAUUGACACAGCUGUCCCGUCUGUCUUCUUCUGAAGCCUUUUUUCUCAUUUUCUUUGGCCUUCCAGCAAAUCUUCUAUAAGUCGGAGGCUUCAUUGCUGGAAGGUCUAUGUGCUCCCACAAAUUAGGACCAUUGAUUGGAUUAAGUACAGGUUCAUAACUUUGUAGAUACGUGAUCUUCAAGUAGGUGUUGGAAACAUGCUUCUCUGGUGCUUCAUGUCUCUUGUUGAUGGCAGCUACAGCAUGGCCACAUGGUAUUCCCCUUAAUUGCCACUUUCUACAUGAACAGGUUUUGGCAGCCAUGUCAACGAUAUACUGCUCCCCAAAUGGACAGCUUAUCUGAUACUUCAUUGUCCCAGCAUAUGACGCUAUGCACAUACACUGCUCUUGCUUAGCCUUUUCCAAUAUCUCAAAUAUUGCUGGACAAAGAAGACCUGAAUACAAAAUGAAAACAAUAAAUUGGUCAUAAAUUUCUCAAAGAAAUUAUGAACUGACCUUAAUACUAGUAAAUAAAUAAAAUGUGUCUUAACCUUCGUGCUUGGACAUUGCUUCCCUGUUCCUCUCCAUCCUCUUCAGCAGGUACAAAUAAAUGGUCUGCAGCAUGGAUAUGAUUGGUAGUGACCUGGCCUUUAAAAUUACUGCAUUAAAGGACUCACACAUAUUAUUCACCAAAAUAUCACAAUCCAAUCCACAUCUAAAAUGGGCUCUACACCAAGUUUUGGGAUCUUUUUCAUCAAGCCAAGAAUGCGCAGCUGCAGAUUCUUGCCCCAACUGUUCCAUUUUGACUUUCCAGUGGGUAACAUAAGAAGCUUUUGCGCAUUUCCAAAGUCUUUCUUUUAAGGCCAGGCCUCUAUGAAUCUGUUUGAAAUUGGUGUAUAGAUGUUGCACACAACACCUGUGCUCAGCUUGUGGCAUUUUGUCUCUAACUGCCUGAACUAGUCCCUGUACACGUUUGAAUACAACUUGGCUUAAAUAAAAAGUUGUACCUGAGUUAUUAAAUAAAAAGUUGAUGUAUAAAUAAGUGCUAAUACAAUUUAUCAUACCUUUUGCUUGUCAGUCAUGACACACCAAUUACUGGAAUCUGAUAUUUCCAAAUCUUGUACAAGCAAUCCCAAAAACCAGCUCCAAUUGUCAUAAUUUUCCACUCUAACAACUGACAAAGCUAGUGGAAACAUUUUAUUAUCCCCAUCCAUACCCACGGCUGUAAGUAGUUGUCCACCAUAUGUAUCCUUUAAGAAGCACCCAUCCAACCCAAUCCAAUGCCUACAGCCCUUUAGAAAUCCUCUCUUCAAUGGCUCUAAGCACAUGUAAAGCCUUUUGAAUCUGACAAUCCCAUCCUCAUCCUCAUCCGUCUCAACGAACACUGUCGAUCCAGGAUUUGCUCUCCUCAAUUCACCACAGAAGUCCUCUAACAAUGCAUACUGUUUUUCAUGACUGCCUUCAAUUAUGUCUCUUACUUUUUUCAUUGUCCUAUAGCCUUGUUUAAGACUGAAAUCUACAUUUAAUUCUUCAGUCACCCUAGUCAUGAGCUCCUGGACUGUCAUGGAUGGUGUUUUUCUCACCUCAUCUACAAACAACCUGGUAGCUAGUUUUGAUGUCAUGUUUCUAUUAUGGAAGACACGUCCACAGGUGUGCUCCUUGCUAAGUGUCUUGAUCUGGAAAGUGUUUUCACCUUGCAUUUUUGAGCCAAAAAGUUGCCAUUCACAGCCUCUGCAUUUCACCCGUACCCUAUAUGUGUCAUUUUUUAUGAAUUGGACAUCCCUUCCCUCCAUAAUAGCCUGGAUUCUAACAGCCAACCUAAAAAUAACAACUGAUGAAAACCUCUGGCCUACCUUAAAUCUUGGACUUCUCAUUUCAGUUUUCUCAUUAAAAACUGAAAAUUUAGGCUUCUUAUUUCUCUUACGACCAUCUUCGUCUUCGGAUUCACUCUCACUCUUCAACUCUCUAGAACAAUCUGUUUCAUAUUCUAACUGCAUAUCCUCCACAUUAACCAUGUCAGGCUCAUCACAAAUAUUUACUUCGUCAACAGCUUCUCCUUCCCUACUUGCUCUCUUCUUUCUUCUGUCUUUGCUGGUAGAAGGUCCAACUUCAGGAGCUCCUUUAUGCACGCCAAAUUGUUGUCCAAUCUUUAAGGCUUCAUCAAAUAAAACAUCCUUCUCAACUUGCCCCGUAUAAUCUGGAUCAUCGAACUUGUCGUCAGCCUGCAUAUCAUCAUUAGCCUGCACAUUAUUAUCAGCCUGCACAUCAGUCUCAUCAGCUUGGAUAUCAUUAUCAGUUGCCAUUUGUGCUUCUUCCCCUGCAUUAUCUCUCUUGUUGUCCUCUUCUUGUUGCAAAUUAGGACUUUUGGAAUCAAAAUUCUCAUGACUGUUUGUAGCAACUUCAUUACUGUUGUCAUCAGCCACAUUUUUCCUUCUGUUGUCCAUAUCAUUGAAGUCAACUUCUUCCAGUAUUGCUAUGUCACUGUCCAUUUCAGAUGUUUCUUUAUCUUUUGUAUCCUGCUUAGCAGAAGUUUUGUGGCCUUCAGGCAUGUCUACAUACUCUGUUUUUUGAGUUUGAAACCUCACUGGAUUAUCAUCAGUGCCAACUUGUAGAUAAACCUCUGCCACUCUAUUCAGUGGCAAUGUGUUUACUAGAAGAUCACAAUCCCAAUCACACAUGCAAAAAUAUAGUCCAGUCUCAAGCGGCAUACCAGGAAUCCUACCAUACCACCCAAAACGAGCAUCUUUCGGGUAUCCUAGUCUUACUGCACAUUCAUCAAGCACUUGUAGUGACCAUUUUUCAGCAUUACAGUUGUUUAUAUAGUCUACCCUUCCUCCCACGUAUUCUUUGCUGGGAGAGCUUCUGAACUCACCCUGAUGGUGUAUCGCCAAGGAAAAUGAGUUGGGCAAAAUGUCAUUUGGACCACACUCUGGUUAAAUAAAAAAAUAAAUCUUUAAUAAUUAACCCAUUAAUUAUUAACAACAUUUUUAGCAUUUGGGACCACAAUGUCUUCAACAGAAGGAACAUUAGGGUUCCCACAACACUCACUUUUCAGUAAAAUAUGCAGACCCACUAACAGUACCAUCAAAAAUAUAUAAUGCCUUGGACAUGCAUUCCACAACCAUCCAAAACCCUAACUUUUCAACAAUCCUUAUGGCUUUAAAACGUUUUUCUACUGCUACCGUAAAUUCUUACCCAAAUUCCAAUUAUUAAAUUCAAUUAAAGUACACAAAAAACUCUAAAAUAUUUUUCUCAUACCAGUACUUGUCUUCUCUUUUGCUUUCCAUUGUUUCGCUGCGGACGCGGACGCUUUUUCUCUCACAUUGACUCGCUUUCUUCCCAUUCUUGCAAUCUUCAGUGUUUUUCAGCAACAAUCAUUCGGAUUUUUACACACUUUGGUUUUACCCCUCCUCUCUAUUUUUUCAUCCAAGACAGAGGAAAGAAACGACCACUCUCUGACUGUUUCGCACUUUCCCUUCUCUGGAAUUUGUCUUUGUUUGUCCUUAAUUUACGACCCAAAUUUACGUUUAUGUCCUUAUCAUUUUCAGUAACAAUAUUCCCCCAUCUUCAUUAACGGAGAGUGUUUGCCACGCACUUCGACCACCAACGGCAAUCAGGAUUCUGUCAACAAUUUUCCUUAACUGGGAGCAAUUCAUAAGUUUAGGGAUUUAAGUGUCCCAUUUUGAAGUUAAGGGACUGAAGUGGGUAAUCGCCCAAAGUUUGAGGGGACAAAGUGGAAUUAACCCGACCAGACUUAUUAGCUCGGAUUUUCCAUGCUAAACUUGAUCUUCUCAAAGAAGAACUCUUCAGAAAAGAAAUCUUUGGACCAGUAGCUGCCUAUACCUAUGUAGUUGAGUUUCAAAAACGUGGUCUGCCCCAUGCUCAUUUUCUCAUAAUCUUGAAAGCAGGGUCCAAGCUCUACUCCACAGAAUCUUAUGAUAACAUUGUGAGUGCAGAAAUUCCUGAUAAGAUGCCCAAUCGACAUUUAUUUAAUAUGGUCCGAAAGCAUAUGAUCCAUGGUCCUUGCGGAAAACAAAAUCCAGAUAAUGUUUGUAUGCAAGGAAAUCAGAAGAAGAAGUGCAAAAAUAAUUACCCAAAGCCAUUUGCUGAUACAACCUUCCAUGGAGAGAAUACAUAUCCCACUUAUCGCAGAAGGAAAGAUGGAAAGAAAAUAAUAGUUCGCGGACAUGAGUUGGAUAAUAGAUGGGUAGUUCCAUACAAUGGAUAUCUGUUAGCAAAAUUUGACUGUCAUAUAAAUGUAGAAAUUUGCUCCACAGUGAAAGCCGUGAAGUAUAUAUACAAGUAUAUAUAUAAGGGGCAUGACAGAAUACGUUUUAGAGUAAAUUCAGAUGCUUCUGAUCGACCAGAUUCUAACAUCCAACCAUCUGCAAUUGAUGAAAUAAGGGAAUUCCAGUCGGCUAGAUGGGUAUGUGCAGUAGAGGCAACUUGGAGAAUCUUCAGAUUCCAGCUAAGUGAAAUCCAUCCUUCUGUCAUUCACCUCCAGCUCCACUUAGAAAAUUUCCAAGCAAUGAAUUUCACACCCGAUCAGGACCUUCGAGAUGUGGUGAGGAAUAGGCAUGCAAAAAGAACCAUGUUAACAGAAUUCUUCUAUAUGAAUUCAGUGGACAAACUGGCUCAGCAUCUUAAGUGCACGUACAAAGAAUUCCCAGAACACUUCGUUUGGUACCCUGGCAAGAAGAAAUGGGAACCCAGAAAACAAAAGCAUUCUAUUGGUAGAAUUGUCGCAGCAAGCAUAGGAGAAGGAGAACGUUACUUUCUUAGAUUACUCCUAACACAUGUUAGAGCUCCAACAUCAUUCGAUGACCUCAAGACAAUCAAUGGAAAAUAUAUCAGUACAUUCCGUGAUGCAGCUAUCCUUAGAGGCUAUUUUGAAUCAGAUACGUCGCAGGAGCAAUGUCUUGAAGAAGCUAGCUCGUACCAGAUGCCAUACAUACUGAGAAGGCUAUUUGCAACUCUCCUGGUACACUUUCCUCCAUCAGAUAGUAGAUACCUUUGGAAAAAAUUUGAAUAUUCUUUAUCAGAAGAUUUCAUAAGAAUGUCAGAAUUUACACCUGAUCAAAUACGAUACAAAGUACUUGAACAGAUAAAUAAUUUUUUGCAAUCAAUGGGAAAAGACAUCAACUCAUAUGCUCUGGUUCCACAUGCUCUAAACUUUAAUCAUAUGAACAAGAACACAAGAGACACAACAGCAGAAACAACAAUCACUGUCCAAGAAUCUGAUCUCCAAGCAAUUUAUCAACUAAACUGUGACCAAAAAAUUGCUUUUGAUAUAAUUAUCGAUGCAGUGUUCAAAAUAAAGAAGGGUUGUUUUUUUAUUGAUGGCCCAGGCGGAACAGGCAAAACAUUUCUCUAUCGAGCACUCUUAGCUGAAGUGAGAUCAAAAGGAUUCAUAGCACUUGCUACAACAUCAUGUGGAGUAGCAGCUUCAAUAUUACCUGGUUGAAGAACAUCUCACUCAAGAUUCAACAUACCAUUAGAUACAACCAAAAAUACCAACUGCAGAAUCAGCAAACAAAGUUCAUCAGCACAACUUCUAAAAUCAGCCAGCCUUAUAAUUUGGGAUGAAGCUCCAAUGAUGAAUAAAAUCUCAAUAGAAGCUGUUGAUAGAUUACUCCAAGAUUUAAUGGACUGCAAUGACUUAUUUGGAUCAAAGGUAAUUGUCUUUGGAGGAGAUUUUCGUCAGGUAUUACCGGUUGUUACUAAAGGCACAAAAGUGGAUUUUAUUGAUGCUUCCAUAGUAAAUUCAUAUAUAUGGCCACAACUUCAUAAACUUCACCUGACAGAGAAUAUGAGAGCAAGACAUGAUCCUGAGUUCAUUGAAUAUCUACUCCGUAUUGGAAAUGGAACAGAGCCUGUUAUCAAUAACAACUCUAUCCAAAUACAUACUGCAUUGCUGAUAAGAUACACAAAUGACGAAGAUUCCAUCACAGAGCUCAGUAAGGCUGUAUUCCCGGAUUUAAUGGCAUUCUUCCAUGAUGAUUUUUCAGCCGUGAACCGUGCUAUACUUACAACAAAGAACGAAUUUGUUGAUGACAUCAACCAGAAAAUCAUACAUCAAUUACCUGGACAGGUCCAAGAAUACAUCAGUAGGGACAAAUGCAUUGACGAUUCUGAACAGACAAUCAUGGAGGAUUUCGUGAAUGCCUUAACACCCAAUGGAUUUCCUCCUCACAGGCUGCUCCUCAAACCACAUUGUCCAAUUAUGUUGCUCAGAAACAUUGAUCCCCCCCAAGGAUUGUGCAAUGGAACGAGGCUCAUCUGCAAAUCUUUAAACUCUAACAUUAUACAUGCAGUAAUAAGUUGUGGAGAGUUCACUGGGAAAGAGGUCUUUCUCCAUCGAAUAUGCUUCAGAAUUGAGACCAAUCCAGACUCUCCAGUAUCUUUUGAACGCAUCCAGUUUCCUGUUCGACCCUGUUUCGCAAUGACUAUUAACAAAGCUCAAGGCCAGACGUUGGAUUUUGUGGGAAUAUACUUACGUGAACCAGUUUUCUCACAUGGACAGCUAUAUGUGGCAAUGUCCAGAGCAAAAAAUAAAAACUCAAUUAAAAUGCUCAUCAAACCACCUAUAUUUGAUCCUGAACAAGACUCAAUAACAAAUAAUGUAGUGUAUAAAGAGGUCCUCGAUUUAGCACAUGAAUGAUUUGCUCACUCACACACGUGCCACUCUAUUAUAUUAUCUGUAUUCUGUUUCUAUAUUUUUUUUCACAAAAUCAUCCACCAAUUAUUCUUUCAAGUUACAGGAAGACAGAAAAGUCAUAGCAUUUGCUGAAAUUAUUCCUGGACUUCGAGAUUGGACAACAAUAGUUCAGGUUCUUGACAAACAGAAGCCGCUCCUAUCAAAAGCAGGAAAUCGCUAUCAGAAGCUUACACUCAUUGAUGGGCAGGUAAAUACACUACAAAACUUCCUGAAUUCUUACUACACCUCAAAAUACAUCUCACAUUUGAAUGGAACCAAACCUUUUGUACAGGGCACCACAGUGGAGGCUAUGAUAUACAAAUCAGACAUAGAAUUCUUUCGCAACCACUUUCGCCUGUAUAUGCGUUACAUGCUGUCCAAUGCAAGAGUUGAAUAUACUCCACUGGAAUAUCGUGUACGUGAAAAUCAAUGUACUUGGUAUAUUGACAACUCCACUGUUGUCCAGGCAAUGGAUGAACCAAAUCCCCCAGAAAUUCCUCCUGUUUUCAGAUUCACUCCUUUCAGAAGAUUCUACCAACACAUUGAUGAUACGUCAGACAUAGGUAAUAUGCAAAACUCAGAUAUAUAACUAUCUCAUAUUUGAAAAACUGCUAAUUAAUUUCUCCUUGAUGAAUGCAAAGAACAGAUAUACUUGGCAUUGUCGCAGAGGUCCAUCAACGAUUUCACAAAGGCACUACCCCAACUAGAGAGAUUGUAAUCAUAGACAAAAGGUAAUCAUUAUUGUAAAGAGAGUAAUCAGUCUAUAUAGAUUGUGCCACCAAAUUCAAUAGAUAGAUAUAAAAAAACUAAUUUUAGACAUCUAAUCAAAUACAUUGCAGCUUCAUGCCAGUCAUCCUAACUCUCUGGGGUGAUCACGAGACAAAUGAAGGCCAAGCAAUUGCCAACAUGAUUCAAUCAAUGCCACUCAUUGUUGGCCUUCGACUGAGAGUUUCAUCAUACCACAGUAAGUAUAGCUCAAAAUAUCACAAAUCCACCAUUCAUAUACUUCACCACAUCUUAGAAUAUUAAUAUCAUCUUCAAUUACAUAAAACUGCAGCUCUAAAUCUCUCAACAAAGUUUGGCUCAAGUGUUUUGGUGAACCCCCCAAUACAACAAGGUUCAAUGUUGAGGCAAUGGUAGGCGCUUGCUUCAAUUAAACUGUCCUCCGAUAUGUUAUAACAGAGUAUUUGCAAUAUUCUUAUAACUAACAAUUGAUAUCUGCUCACAAGGGCUAUGGAAAACAAAACACAGAUCAAUGACCUCAUAACACAGAGAGCAUACCUAAACCGAACCAGCCUACUACCACAACCUACAGAAGAUGAGCUCUGCACUAUCAAAGAGUUCCUGAAUUUACCAAUGGUGAGCUUCUGGAACUUUCAGAAAUCUAACUUCUUGGCUCAUUCACUUAUCUACCAAAUUAGGCAACUUAGAGUCUUAUUUCUUCUCAGAAAAAAGCUUAUUGGAUUCAAGGAAGCCCACGAUUCCUUGACAAAAGCCAACGGCUAUGGUAUAAUGCAUGCUCAAACUGUCACAAAUCCUUCAGAGCUAAACCUCAAUGGAAGAUUAUUUGCACUUCCUGCAACAAGAAUGUUAACAUUCUUCCAAGGUAACCAUCACAACAGCAACUUCACAAACUACUUCAAUAAACAUUGUUUCACUAAUUACCAACAACAAUUACAGGAGUAGGUUAACCAUAGAGCUGGCUGAUUACUCUGGAAACCUCACACUUGAUUUGUAUGACAAUGAUGCACAGCAACUACUGCCCUUCACACUGCCACAGAUUCAAGAACUCGAAGGCAAGGUCAGUAUACAUUCAUAUGCAAAACUUACCAACCUCCAGUUAAACAUAAACUCAUAUACAUUGUAUAGACUAAUACUCAAACACAAAUAUUGCAGCAUCAGCUUGAUUACACAGCUAUUGAACAGGCUAUUGAGAGUAGUAUCCUCACCUGCUUCGUGAAAAAAAUGACUGGAAAUCGUGGACCUGCCGACACAGAAAAAUACGCAGCUAUCAUAGUGCACAAAGCAAAUGCUGCAGAACUAAUAUCAAGCACUUCUAGAAAUUCAGCUUCAACUUCCACUCCUUCUACAAAUCCACUUACAGCUCCAGAAUCAUCGAACUUGACCACCAGUUCAACAAUUCUCAAUGCAACUGCUCAAAGUUACAGGGGAGCAACAAAUUUGGACAGCAAUUUGUUCACAACACUCAAAAUCACAGAAACUCCAACUAAGAAACAACGCACUGACCCGACUGACAUGGAGCUGUAGAUAUAGUAUAUGCAUCUAUGCUUUUGACCAACCUUUUGAACAUCUGAUGAACUGCCAUCUCCAUCAGUGUACAUAGGCUAUCGUUUGUGGGUUGCUAAAAGGUCUACACCAAGGCAUUAGUCUACCCUACUCCAAACUAUCUGCAUCAAAGCUUUUGACCAACCUUUUGAACAUCUGAUGAACUGCCAUCUCCAUCAAUGUACAUAGGCUAUCGUUUGUGCCUUGCUAAAAGGUCUACGCCAGGGAAUUAGUCUACCCUACUCUAAACCACAGCUCCAAUUAUGUUUUUGAACAUUUUGUAUAGCAUCAUCAGAUAUGUAGCUGUGCUUUUGAAGUGCUGAAAAUGAAAUCAGAUGUCUAACUAUGAUUUUGAAAUACCAUGUAAUUGAUGAAUACUAUUUCACGUUACUGUUAAAAAAUGGUCAGCUCAUUUCUCGAAAUAAUUAACCUGUGAUUAUAGACUUAUAACCAGUAACUAGAUACGAACCUCAUAUACUUUCAUUAUAUCUAAACUCCAAUUCAAUAACACAAUCACAACAUCUAAUAUGGUAAAUUUAUUACACAAACACUUACAUUAUAUCAAAGUACCAAAACAAAAUACACAGAUCCAAAUCCUUCAACAUAGUGCAAGCCACAAACUAAUGGCCCCAACAUCUUCACAUAAUAAUUAGUACAUAUGAAACACAAAAAAAGCCCAGAAAACCACUAAAUCAUAGCACUCUCAGCAGCUUUCUUCUGUUCUUCGACCUCAACUUGCAUGCGGUGAGCAAUUAUCUGAAGAAAAGGAAAUUCUCCAAUAUCUCCCAAAACUUCAUCCAACACGGCAAUCCUCUCAGAUCUUCGAUAAAAACUCUUAAACAAGUCAUAUAUCUCAUUCCGCAGCAAAAUAUUAUUUGCCAAGGCCCUGUUAGAACUAUUCAAACAGGUGGUAUCUCCAUUAUGGCCAGGCAAAGACCCCACCACACCAGCUAAUGACAAUCGAUUGAACAUGACUUCAACAUCAGGAUGCAAAUCACGUAAUACUGCAAAACGAUUAUGAGUAUACUCCAUCUCUAAACCACGAAAAAAACAUCUACAUCCUAUGCUCAUAUAUAUAUACACAAAAUAGACAGUGAGUUUGCAUGCCUGAUCCCAAAGAUUCCCAAAGCCAACAUUUAUGCACCCCUGAAAAAAAAUCACAUGCAUCUGAACUCAAUGAGACAAAACCAUUUAUUACACACUGCUCACGUGAACUAUCUAUAAACUCUAUGCAUCUGAUAAAGAAAACUUCAAAAUCUGUACAGCACUACAAUCUUGAAGUGUUGAAAAUACUUCAUCGUUCACCGCCAUUAUUUCACCUGUCACGAAAACAAAAUCUCGUAAACCAACAACUUAAACUCAGCAAACUAGCUCAUACUUAUACUCCACGUCUCACUUUCAAACAAAUACGAACUGUGCGCAUGUGAAUAGCAGAAAAAAUUACUCUGCUGCUAAAGAACCAACAACUUAAACUCAGCAAACCAGCUCAUACUUAUACUCCACAUCUCACUUUCAAACAAAUACGAACUGUGCGCAUGUGAAUAGCAGAAAAAAUUACUCUGCUCCUAAAGAAUGUGACGUACACUUAAAAUAAACAAAUGAAAGGAUAACAAACUCAGACCAAAAAAAUUUGGCUAGAAGUAUUAUUUACCUAUUAAUGAAAACAAUACACUAUUAGUUAAUAAAGACAAUAAAAAAUACUAACCAAAUCAAAUUCAACAACUGCAAACAUGAAAAAAAUACUAAGCAUUAAAUACAGCCCACUGUACAUUUUAAGCAUCGGCGCAGAUUUUAAAUACUAAGACUAACCAGUACUGAACCACACUAACCUGCCGCCCGCGCAUUGCGCGGAAAAACGCACCUAGUCUCAGUAUACGAGAGAGAUGACCCCUCCACGGCCCACUCUACAGAAUAAGUUAGGCCAACACUUUUGUAGGUCCAGAAAAAAAUUAUUUUAAUCCAAGAGUUCCUGAGACUAGAUUUUAAUGCCUAAUACACGGAAAUGUCAGAUGUGGUCAUAUCACUCCCUAGCCUGUGCAGAAGAGGCACUCUUCUUCACAAGUGGCUCAAUUGGCAAGACGGCCAUUUUUCUUUUUUAUAAAUUUUACAGUAAAAUUUUAACAAACAUGAAAAAAAUUUAUUUGUCAAAUGGGGCCUUUAUUCCAAAAGGCUCCUAUGUUAUAUGCAACCUAUGGCUAGGUCCUAAAAGUCCAACUCAAUUCGUAUAAGAUAUUAAUUAGGUUAUGUAAGAUUCUUGAUUCUAUUUUUAAAUCCUUUCUUUUCCUAGUUCCCCCUGAUCGCCCAAUUAGGGAGGAGAGGGAGGGGAAGGAUGGCGGAGUAGGAGAGAGAAGAGAGUAGGGGUGUAAAAGAAUCGAAUCGAGUCGUGAUUUGACUUAAUCGAGUCAAGUCUUAACUUAGAUUUAUGAAAUUCAAACUCGAGCUCAACCUCGGCGAGUUCAAAAUGUAAAACUCGAGUUUAAAAAAUAAAAAUAAAAAAUUAUUUUUAUUUUUAAAGAAUAAAUAAAAUAAUAAUUUUUCUUGAUAAAUAAUAAAAUAUUAGAAAUAUAUAUGUAGAUUUACUAUUAAAAUAAAAUAUAAAAUAUAUAUAAUCGAGUUCGAACGGACUUGAAAGCUAACGAACAUAGUAUUUUUGAACUCGAGUCUGACUUGGUCAACUCGAACUCGAUUCGAAUUCGAUGUUGACUCAGUUCGGAUCAAAUCGCGAGUGAUUCGAUUCAUUUGUAAGCCUAGGAAAGAGAAAGAAGAGAGGAGGAAAAAGAAAAAUGAAAGAGAGGGACGGAGAGAGGAAGAAGAGAAAAAGAUGAAGGAGGAGGGAAGGGAAGAGAAGGGAAGAGAAGAGAAGAGAGAGAGAAGAACAAAUAGAGAGAUUAUCGAUGCUGUCACUGAAGUGGAAAGGAAUGGUGAAAAGAAAGGGAAGAGAAAAAACAGUCAUGGGAUGGGGGAGAAAAAGAUAAGAGGAAAGAAAAAGAAAAAAGAAAAUUUUUACACACUUCAAAAACAUUUUUUUACAAAAUUUAUUGUAAAUUAUAGUAAAAUUUUAACAGACACCUAAAAAAAACUCAUUUGAUAAGCGGAGUUUUAUUCCAAAAGAUUCCUAUGCUAUAUACAAUCUAUGGUUGUGUGCUAAAAAUCCAACUCAAUUCGUACGAGAUGUUAAUCAGGUGAUGUAAGUAAAAUCCUUGUUUCAAUUCUUAAAUCCUCUCCUUUUCUGGUUCCUACUAAAGCUAGAGUCCAUCACGAAUCCGAAUCUAUGAUACAUGUGCAGCUGUAAAGUAAUUCUGAUUGGGACUGGUGUUAUAUUUAGGAGGGGAAAACUAGCUUUGCUACAGUAAUGCUUACAGGUUCAUUUCUUUUACCUCAAAGCCAUCAACAACUCGAGGCUAAGGUUGAUGCUGGACCGAGUAGCUUAAUUCAAGCUCGAGCUGCUUGAUGAAGUAGCGAAUCGAGUUGAGAUUCAAUAUUUUGCAUUCGAAGGUUCAACGAGUGUAAUUGAGUUUUUUAUAAUAUAUAUUUUAAUAUUUUAAUUUAUUAUUGUGAAAUAUCAAUAAUAUCUUUUAUUUAAAAUUAUAUAUAAAAUAUUAAAUUUUAUUAUGUGAGCUUGCUUAGACUUGAUUGAGCUCGAAGCUCGAUUAAACUUGAUUUGAAUUGAUUAGAUUUAAUUAAAUUCGAACUAGAGUAACUUAAAUUAAAAUCAAGUUCGAACUCGAGUAACAUAAAUUGAAAUCGAAUUCAAACUCAAGCUCGAAUUCUAAAAAUUGAUGAGUUCAAUCUCAAUCUCGAAUUUAGUUAUUUUACCUCGAGUCGGACCUCGACUCGAAUGCACCCCUGCUUGGGGCAAUAUAGGGUAAGAGUCCGUUUCAUUUCUUUUCCAUGUUACUCAGACUCAAGUACCAAAUUCUGCUGACAAUGCAAAAUGAAUAGUCGGACACGAGCACGGCAGGGCAAAAGUGAACAGUCCAAGUAAUUCUUUUCAGAAAUAAAGUCCAUUGUACUUCCUAAUAACUCCAUAGCAAGAAAGGUAACUUCAUGUGUGUAUUAUCAAUUUGAAUUUUGAAGCCUUAAAGGUGUAAAUCCGUCUGAAGUUGCCAAACACUCUAAAAAUACUUUAAUGCUUAAAAACAUUUUUGCUUUUGUAAAGGCACCUCAACACUAAAAACGUGCAAAACUUGGCUAAGCGUAGUGCUACCAUACGGUUUUAGUUGCUCCAAAUAGGGGUAGGUAAAAUUAUCCCCUAACCUAAAAACCCGUCAUAUCCGAUCUGAUCUGAUUCGAAAAUUAGGAUAUUCGAUUUUUAUUAUUUGAUCGGGUCGAAAGAGGGUCAAGUACCCGCUAAGAUGUGGAGCGGAUUAGGGUCACAUAAUUAAAAGUCCGCGGGUACCCGAUCCGCCCCGCAUAUAUAUAUAUUUUUUUAUUUUUAUUUUUAUACACACACUAUAAAAUAAUAAGAACUAAAUAAGUAAUUUUAUUGAACAAAUUGCAUUACAAAUAUGAGAGACUAUAGUUUAUUUACAAGAUUCAUUUGUAGAGACCAUGAUCUUAUAUUUUAUAGAAAAAAGUUUAAUUAAUGUUGAACAUAUAUAUUAAAAAUUGUGCUACUUAUUUCAAACUUUUAUUGAUUUCGAAUUCUUUUAAUUUUUUUCCUUUAUUUUAUAUUUUCUUCACAUGCUUGUUUCUUGGUGGAAAACCUUUUUUUAGAAAAAAAAAUUUAUUAAAUCUUAGAUUAAUAUGUAAAAUAUAAAAUUAAAUUGGUAUAAAUCAUUUUUUUAAUAAAAUAAUAAAUGGGGUGGGACAGGUACUCGUUGACUCUACCCUAUCUAGUGAAUACCCAAUUAUAGAAUAUCCGCUGAUAUGAGGAACGAGCAAGGAUCAAAAAAUGACUGACCCAUAAAGUACGGGUCUAAUCAAUCAAAUGAUGAAUGGAUGGAUCCUCAGCCCGCGCCCACCCCUAGCUCCAAAUGCCAAAACAACCCCAAUAUGCUCCAACGCAGCACCGCUAUAUAAAAAGGGGCAAAACUGGUCUGAGAAAGCUCCUCUUUCUCUCUGUGCUCCACAUAUCAGCUUUCAGACUUACCUCACACACUUCAGAACUCUCUUAGCAGCCAGGCAUGGUGGCGGCGGCGGCAACAGCAACAGCGACUUCCUUCUCGCUCUCCUCCACCACCACCACCAGUGCUUCAAAAACCCUAAAACCCCAACUCAACAACCUCAGUUUCCUUUCUUCCUCGUGUCCUUCUCUUAAAACCCUCAGUGCUCGCGCCGCCGCUUCUUCAUCCGCUGCUAGUGGUGGCGGCUCAGCCCUCGCUGCUCGUAUGGUAUCUGUCCCCCCAGCUAUGAAGCCGCAGACUUCCCUCGAUUUCGAUACUAAGGUUUUCAAGAAAGAGAAAAUCAACCUUGUUGGUCAUGAUGAGGUGCAUACUUACAAAGAUCUUAACUUUUUAGUCGAUUUUUUCUGGGAUUUUUGUGUUGUUUAAAUGUUUUUGAUGAUUAAUGAUAUUAUUGGAUAAUGCAGUAUAUUGUGAGAGGAGGGAGGGAUUUGUUCAAGCUGUUGCCGGAUGCUUUCAAGGGAAUCAAGCAGAUUGGAGUUAUCGGAUGGGGUUCUCAGGUUUUUUAUUAUCUGGAAACUAUAUAGUUUAUAUCCUUAUGCUGAUUAUUUUAGUUCUCUUGUUGCUCUGUCCCUUUGUUUAUCAUUAUUUAAGACUUUGAGAUUCCUGGGGCUUAGGGUGUAAAUGUCAUUUGGAGGUUUGAAAUAAAAUAAUUGACUUGUUAGUGACUGUACAUACUAUGAGAGUUAGUAGGUUUAGGCAAUCAUGGUUCUAAUUUGCUUAAAAAACGCGAACUAAAUGAGCCUCUUUGCCAUCCUAAGGCCGCCUACCUGAGGACUCAAUGAUGAGCUCUAGUAACAUCUUUGCUUAAGAAAAAUUAAGUCUAUGAGCCACACUUUGGCACCUGAGAGAUUAAGAGUUUAUCCUGUAUUGCCCAUUGAAAAAUUGUUAUCUCAUGCUUGCGAUGCCCUGUCAAUUUCUUGAUAGUCAUUGGUUUAUAUGAUGCAUUCUUCUGGAAACUUGUAAAUCGCUUUUUUUUGGUUGGCAUUAUGUGAACCAUUAUGCUAUGUUAAGAUCGAAGUUCACUGAAGUUGCAUUUCUAUAGGGGCCUGCUCAAGCUCAGAAUUUGAGAGAUUCACUUGCUGAUGCAAAGUCUGAUGUUGUUGUCAAGGUUACGUGUUGUAUUCUUUUAUUUUCCUUUUGGCCUCUAGGGACUUUGACAAAUUGAUUUGCAAGCUUUUUGAAAUGAAGCUUAUAUCGUUCUCCUACUUGACUUGUCCCAGAUUGGCCUGAGGAAAGGUUCUCGUUCGUUUGAUGAGGCUCGCGUGGCUGGGUUUAGUGAGGAGAAUGGUACCCUCGGAGACAUAUGGGAGACCAUAUCUGGGAGUGAUCUUGUGUUGCUUUUAAUUUCUGAUGCAGCCCAGGUUUGUACGCCUACAUUAUCUGUGGGUCCAUUUUUCAGUUGCUAGUCUUCAUUUUCAUUAUGUUGCUUCACUUUUUGUGAGCUACACCAAAGUAAAACUUAGCUGCUCUUGUUUCUUUCAUGUCAUACUAGAUUAAGAGUUUUGUAAAACCGAAUAAACUUAUUUGUUAGAGUGCACAAAAAGUUGCUUUUAGAUGAGGCUGUGUAUUUUCGGAUUUUGACUUUUGCAAAAAGAUGCUUUCCUUUAUGUUAAUUUUUUGAAGUAAAGUUGUCUGGAGUAUUUCCACAAUUCAUGUAGCAUCAUCUGGCAAGUUUUUCUUCUCAGUCUGCUGUAAAUUGUUGUUGUAAGUUGGGUUACUGUAUUGUCUGAUCUGUCCUUUUUUAUCUGCUGCAUCAUUUCUGUCCUGGAAUUUUCUGAUGUCCAGAAAUGAUAAUUCUGAAACAUUAUUUCUGUUUUGAUUCCUAACUGGAAGAAUGAGACUGGCAAUUUAUUGCAAGUCUUAAGAAGUGAAAGUUGUUGAACCUGACAUUGAACUCAUUUAGACUCAAUCUUCAUUGAGCUAUAAGCCUAAUUAGUAUAUGACAGGAUAUUAGAUGGUUUCUUUUGUCUCUUGUGCUUAGGUUACUUGCUUUACUUGUUUCCUCACUUUGAAGGUUGGAAAGAAUAUCUCAAACUUUAUUUUAUAUGCAAUUGCAGGCUGAUACCUAUGAGAAAGUAUUUUCACACAUGAAGCCAAAUAGCAUUCUUGGGCUUUCCCAUGGAUUCCUUCUUGGUCAUUUGCAAUCAAUGGGACUUGAUUUCCCUAAGCAUUUUAGUGUAAUAGCUGUUUGUCCCAAGGGGAUGGGUCCAUCUGUAAGGAGGCUAUAUGUGCAAGGGAAAGAAAUCAACGGUGCUGGAAUAAAUUCUAGUUUUGCUGUUCAUCAGGUCUGUCUCUCUCACUCUGGUAUAUACACAGAUUCACACACACACGCACAUAAAUGCACUCCCUUUUUUUGUGUGUGUCUGUUUUGGUGGAGAUGUAAUGUACGCUCUCUAGUGUCUACAGUUAAUGGUUUCAAAAAAUACAUCUGUAGGAUAUUGAUGGCAGAGCUACAGAUAUUGCCCUGGGAUGGUCGGUUGCCCUUGGUUCUCCUUUUACUUUUGCCACUACUCUGGAACAGGAAUACAAGAGUGACAUUUUUGGGGAGAGAGGUGAGAGUUACUCCUCUGCGAUGGUCAGUUUCAUGUUAGCAAACUGUUACUUAUUAAUUUUAUUGUAGGCAUUUUACUUGGGGCUGUGCAUGGGCUUGUUGAGGCAUUGUUUAGAAGGUAUACUGAAAAUGGAAUGAGUGAAGAUCUUGCAUACAAGAACACUGUUGAGAGUGUAACUGGAAUUAUUUCAAAAACCAUAUCGACAAAGGUUAGUCUAUGCGACUCACGUUCUCCUGUCCUUUUGACAUUCUCAGAUUUUGUUUUGGUUAUUUUUCCAGCUCCCUCAGCACUAAUGUUUUACAAUAUGACUUAACUGGAAAAAGAGUAGUUUUGCAAGUACAAUAAACUGAAAUUGAUGAUGUUGAUCUCUUUCACAGGGCAUGCUGGCUGUUUACAAUUCAUUGACUGAGGAAGGAAAGAAGGAUUUUGAGACUGCUUAUAGUGCUUCGUACUAUCCCUGCAUGGAUAUCCUAUAUGAAUGCUAUGAAGAUGUUGCUACUGGAAGUGAGAUCCGGAGUGUUGUUUUGGCUGGACGUCGUUUUUAUGUAUGCUCUAAUUCACGUUAUACUGUAUCUUGUAAUCAACAUUUUUCCAUAUUUAUUUGAGAGUAGCUUCUAUGUUGUUAUUUUGUGUUUUCAGAGUUUUAAGACUUCCAUGUGAUUAUGGAAAACAGUUACUCAUGAAUGUACUAUUAUGCAGUCGUGAAUUGUUACAUUUGAAGGAUUUCUUAAUUCAUGCAGGAAAAAGAUGGUCUACCUGCCUUCCCAAUGGGCAAAAUUGACCAGACAAGGAUGUGGAAAGUAGGUGAGAGGGUUCGUGCCGCACGACCACCUGGUGAUUUAGGCCCCUUAUACCCUUUCACUGCUGGUGUCUUCGUGGCAUUAAUGAUGGCUCAGGUAAGUUCCCUGAGUAAACUACAUGUUUGAAUGUUCUUCCCUCACAGUUUUAGUUAUCAGUAGAAGUUCAUCAGUGUUGGUCCCAAUUUCUUGGCAUAAAAAUAUCCAUGUGUAACUCUUGACGACUAGCCAUAAUUUGUUGUUGUGGUGUGCCAUGUCAAUUUCUCCAAAAUUUGUUUGUUAACGUCUUUCCUUCCAAGAGUCUGGAUCUUUAUCAUGAACGGAAUUUAAACAAAGAAACUUUGCAUGCUCUACAUGAUCUUUUUCUGGACUGGAAUAACAAGUACUCAUUUUUUUUUUGGGAACCAGAUUGAGAUCCUGAGGAAGAAAGGUCACUCCUAUUCAGAAAUAAUAAAUGAGAGUGUGAUUGAGGCUGUGGAUUCUUUGAAUCCUUUCAUGCAUGCUCGUGGGGUAGCAUUCAUGGUAGACAAUUGUUCGACAACUGCACGGUUGGGAUCAAGGAAGUGGGCACCCAGAUUUGAUUACGUUCUCACACAGCAGGCACUAGUGGCUGUUGAUGAUAAUUCUCCCAUUAACCGGGAUCUCAUCAGCAACUUCCUCUCAGAUCCUGUGCACGGAGCUAUUGAAGUGUGUGCCCAGUUGAGACCUAGUGUAGACAUUUCAGUGACUGCAGAUGCUGAUUUUGUGCGGCCAGAACUACGUCAGGCUAGCAACUGAAGGUACCCGGGACAUCAAAAGUUUGGAAGCUGAGGAAAUCAAAUGAUCAUUCGGCUCACUCAACUAGAUUUCUAUGCAUGUUUGUACCGAGUAGGCUUUUCAAAAAUAUGUUACGCUAGUCUGUCUUGGAAUCCUGUGAGGUUGAAUUAUCGUGUGGAGUUUUUCUACGUGUUGUACUCUUUUGAUGGACAAGGAGACUCGAUGAUUGUUGUGUUGGUAGUUUUGAAAUAAGACAAUCAUGUGGUUUUAUCGGAUUCGGGAAGUUUGUUCAUGGGUGUUCGCUAGCUUUGUCAAAUUUACAAGUCUCAAUAAAACUCAAUUUCCAAACAGGCUGAUAAAAGCUCAGAAAGCUCGUUUCUGGUAAAUUUAAGCUAAUAAAAAUUUCUCAAAUUGGUGAAACAAGGCCUAUUUCCCCCCGAUUUCUUCCUGUUUCUUGAGCUGCAACAAAGCUAGUCUUGUUUAUUUGAAAAUUGACAAACUUUUGCAAAGCUAUUCCUGUCAAAUUAAUGUUCAGCAUAAACAAAAGCUGCUCUAAUCUGCCAAUCCAACUUGGAAAUGUGCCAUCCAUAAGGGUGGUCAAUGGCAUCAACUUUCUUAAAGGAACAAGUCUUCUAAAAGCCUGCACUUUAUUAACCUAGCGAUGAAACAUGGUUCAACCAUUUGCAGGUCGUUUGGUUCACAUUCACCCGAAUCAUCGACUUUUGGAAGUUUCGAUUGAGAUCAAGUGAUUGGUGGAAGAUUGCCAGAGAGUUGGUUCCCUGAAAGGUGAAGUCCUCGCAAGGUCGAGAUGUUAAAGAUAGAUGGCGGAAUUUCGCCUGUAAGGUUGUUUGACCGAAAAUAUAAUCUUCCAAGACUUGAAGACUGUCCUAACUCUGGAGGAAUUCGGCCUGUAAUCUGGUUUCCUUCGAUGAAUACUCCUUCUAAACGUGGAAGCUGUCCCAGCUCUGGUGGAAUUUUACCAGAAAAUCUGUUUUUUGUCAAGCAGAGGAUCAGCAACCUGGACAUAUUCCCAAUGGAAGGUGGAAAUACACCUGCGAAAUUGUUGUCGCAAAUUACUAAAUUUCGAAGCAUUGACAUGUUCUUCCCAAUAUCACCUGGUACUGUACCUGGAAUCCAUUUUGAUAAGAGGUAUUCAGAUGUCUUGAAUAUAUAUAUAUAGGAUGAAUGCUGUAAUAAUGCUCUAUUUUAUCUUUUAAAUAGAAUCUGUUUGACAACAAAAAAAUAUGAGGCAGCAGCUGUAUUAAGUGGCAACUUGUUCUCAUUAUUGAUACCUAUGAAAUUAUUUGACGCCAAGUCAAGGGUAUCCAAUGAAGUGCACUGAGAAAUGCUGGAAGGGAUUUGGCCAUGAAAUUGGUUACUCUCAAUGGCGAAUGUCCUCAGCUUUGGAAAUCUAAAGCACAGAUCUUGAGGUAAGCUACCAGAAAAUUUGUUGCCCAUAGCUUCAAAGUCCUCUAAGAGAGAGAGAUUGAGAAGGUUGAAAGGUACUUCUCCUGCCAAAAACAAGGAGGAAUGGUUGCUGAAACACUUUUCAGAAAUUGGUACCGAUGUUUCCAUUGUGAAUAUGAAUCUGGAAUUAUCACGUACCUGUCAAGCUAUUGUUCGAUAGAUGAAGGUGUUGAAGCCCUGUGAGGUUCCAAAAUUCAGCCGGUACGCCACCUGUGGAAUCAAUUUUGGUAGCCAGAUAAAUUUGCUUCUUGCACACAACGUUAUGAUUUGAAAUCUUAAUUUUUUAGUUGCAAUUAAGCCAAUGUUUUUCUCUACAAGAAGUUGACAAUUAGAACUACUGGAGCAGUUAACCAUAUAUGGGGGUAACCAGGGGCUUCAAUUACAGUAUGGAAGGCAAAAAAAUCUUGAUCAUGAAAGUGUGGAUUAUGGUUGAGCACCUGGGCAUUUGAUCCAAGUCCAUAUUCAACUAAUUCUAAAAAUUGAACCUAGGAAUUAUAAGCUAUAUUGGGCAUGAUUAUAGGUCCACUUGAAUUCUACUAUAAAUAGAUAAACUGCUGGUGGUUCAUAGGUACCUGUAAAGUUAUUAUCACUCAAGCUGAUGUAGCCCAAGUUUGGAUGCCUGAAGCACACGUCCUUGGGCAAGCUACCCGAGAAUCUGUUUUCCGCCAAAUCAAUAGCCCUUAAAGAAGAGACAUUAAAAGUAUUGAAAGGAAAUUCCCCUGAAGAAAGGGAACACAGAGAGAAAUCAGAUGCUGCGUUUUCUGUUGAUCAACCUCAAAAUCACAUGUAAAUUCAGGUAGCACAAUUUAUAGGGGUUAUUUCAAGAGGGAUAACGCAGCAGAAGCAACUUUUCAAAUAGACUGGAAUAGGGACAUUGACAACCAACCUGUCAAGUUAUUUGCGCCAAGAUAUAAAUAUUGAAGUGCAGACAUGUUCCCCAUCUCAGCUGGAAUGCUUCCACUGAUGUUGUUGUAAGCUAGAGAGAAUAGUUGCAGCGAUUGACAAUAUGAGAUGCUAGAAGGUAUUUGGCCAUCAAGUAAGUUCACAAAAAGUAACAAGUCUUCAAGGUGGGGGGUUUGCUUGCAAAUAUCAUGGGGAAGACUGCCCGAUAUAUUGUUAAAUUGAGCUGUUAGAAUCCUCAGAGCGGAUAUAUUGAAGAUUGCUUUAGGCAAUUCACCUGAAUCACAUACGAAAAAUGAAAGAAUCAAACCUUGAUCAAAAUACAAAUAUGCUUUUCAUGAAAAAAUCAUUAUAGGCGUUGUCUUCUAGAUGUUCAAAACUUGUACCAAAAAGAUCUAAGUUCAUACCAGUCAAAUUGUUGUGACCAAGAUACAGUUGCUCAAGCUUUGAUAAGUUGCCAAACGUUCCAGGUAUGGAACCGGUGAAUUCAUUGUGUGAUAGAGCAAGAAACUUGAUUUCAGAGCAUCGAGAAAAACUGGAAGGUAUCUGUCCACCUAGUUGAUUUUUUGACACAUUUAAGCUUUCCAUGUUUGGGAGGUUAUUGCAGAUGUCUGUUGGGAGAGUUCCUUCGAGGAAGUUGUACAUCAGAUCAAUAACCUGGAAAGAAGAAAGAUUGAAGAUUGCAGGAGGAAUUGGUCCAGUGAGACUGUUGUUAUACAGGACCAAUUCUUGAAUUCUGGUCAGGAACCCAAAGGUCUGAGGGAUCUGACCACUAAGCUCAUUGAGCUGCAUAUACAAACCUCGCAAUCGCUUUAAGUUUCCCAACUGUUCCGGAAUAUAGCCCUGAAAAUAGUUAUUACUGAUGUCCAGGGAAACCAGGAAGGAAAGGUCCCCAACUUCUUUUGCUAUGGUACCUUUCAACCCUGUACUGGAAAGAUUCAAGGCCGUAACUCUUCGGUGCUUAUGGCCGCAAGUAACGCCAAUCCAAUUGCAAAAAGAGGUUCCUUCUUUCCAGUUCGUUUCCAAUAUGUUGUAGGGAUCACGUGUUAUUUUUGCCUUGAAGGCAAGAAGAGCAACCUCAUCUGUGGAACCGCUGGUGAAUGGUAUAUUAGUACAAGCCCCAAACCAGCUAUGCCCAGCUAAAAACAGCAGAAUAAUGGUUAUCAUUCCUAUGUUUGGUAUUUGCUGCUAUGGAAUAUAGUAAAAGUGGUUCUUUGCAGAAGGGAAUGAAGUAGUGAGUUAUUCUUUUGUUGUUAAUGAGGGGAGUGGAAUAAUAAUUUGUAAGGUGCUAUGUUACCAUACAAUUCAAGAUAGUACCUAUCUAAAAACUCUUAUAUAGCAUGAGUAUCACUGUAUCAGUUCUUUGUUUUUUCAGCAAUUUUCAGUUGGAGUAGGUCCAAUCAUUUGUAUUGAACUUGACUGCUAUCUUGUCAUUGAUUCUGUGGACUGAACUUACCUGGAAAGACUGGCGAUGUACAAAUGCUUUUACGGAAUUUCUAUUAGUUAAACAGCAUAUUAAUUUGUUAUAAAUAGCUCACACAAAAACACCUCUUUCACAGUUUGAAACUGAAUUGAACCCUGAGGGUGCUCACCUCGGCCACCCCGCGUGUCCGAGGUGAAGUCACCUCGUCCCUCAUCGGAGCCCAUCCCUGUCUUGAGCACAACCCCAGAGUCCGGCUUCAUCCCUAGUCCACCGUGUAGGUGACCUCGGCACAUCCACCUCGGACGCACACUGAUGAUGUCAACCUGCCUGACAUCUUCCAGGACCAGCACUUUAUCUGAAAAGCACGGGAGACACUUGAUGGCACCUGCACCAUAUCCUCCGUCAUCACUCCCAGGCGGCUACAGUGUCAGAGUCAGACUCCCCGACAGGAGACAGAGCCGUAAUGUCAGAGUGGGUCCCACUAACAUAAGUCCAGAGUCUCGCCUCUACUCUUCUAUAAAUACCUCCCUCACACUCCCACCAAGUAAGCGGACACUGUUCAUUAACUCAUUCUCAUUAUUCUCGUUCUCAUACUAACUUGAUCGUCGGAGUGACACCAGGGGAGAAGCCCCGCCACUCACUUCGGACGAGGAGGUUAACUUCGGACACAGGAGUUCACCUCACUUCAUCUCAGAGAGGACUGAUCCAGGUCGGUCUAGUUACCAACCAAAAAUCACCUCCUCAAUUGGCGCCGUCUGUGGGAACGAGACUACUGUUACUAAAAUGAGAUCCACGCGCUCCAGAAGUGGUCGAGUUCCCUCAACUGGGGCUGGGCAGACCUCGGGAGCCCAGCAAGAUCGCAUCUCUGAAGAGCAAGGGUCCCCGAGGACCCAGCCUGACAACGAGGAGGCCAUCGCCAAGAUGGCCGAAUUCGUAUCACACAACCCUACCAUUUUUGAGGAGCUAGGAAGGUACCUCAAAAGACAGGGGAAAGAAAAGGCCGAAUCUUCCAAGAGGAGGCCGACGAAGUCCCAUGAGGCACCUUCCGAUGAAGACUCCGAUGAGGGGCGUCUCUCUCGGAGUACCUCCAGGCGUGCCUCCUCCAAGGCGACCUCUAAAAUUGCCUCCAUCUCCCGAGCGUUUUCUCGAGGACUCCUAGGGAGACGGGCCGAGGACCCACCUCGGCGCCCCGGGGGCCUAGCUUCGGACUACAUGAGGGCCCCGCCCUUUACGGAUGACAUCAAUGGGGAAAGGGUGCCCCCGAACUUCAAGCUUCCAAACUUGCACACCUACGACGGCCGAGGUGACCCCGAGAAUCACCUCCGCGCCUUCAUCUCCGCAUUCCGACUCUACUGCGUCCCCGACGCCGUGAUUUGUCGGGCUUUCCCCAUUUUCCUACAUGGGACUGCCCGGAAGUGGUUCUGGAGUUUGGAACCGGGAAGCAUCUCCUCCCUGGAUGAGCUAAUAGACCGGUUCAUCCACCGCUUCGUGUCGUCUCGACCAAUCACGAAGACUUCAGCUUAUCUCUUGAACCUUCAACAGGGUCAGGGCGAGUCUCUUCGCUCGUAUGCUCAAAGGUUCAACGAGGAGAAUGUGCAAAUACCUGAUCAGAAUGAGCAGGUAACUCUCGCGGCCUUUACCAACGGGUUGGUGGCCGGACUCUUCAACACCGAAAUCCAUCGGAAUUACCCUCGUACACUUCACGAACUCUGGGAAAGAGUGGACCAGGGAAUCCGAAGUGAAGAUGUGAAUCGCAUGAAGCGAGAAGCCCAAGCCUCUCGUACGGGACAAGAUACCCGGAGAAGGAAAGACAUCGGCCGAGGUGAGCCCGGCCCAAGUGGCACUUCAAACCCACCCCGGGACCGCCGGAGUGUCUUCGACCGGAUCGUGAAAGGAAGAUCAUCCACCUCGGACGCUGAGCUAACACCGCUCAAUUCCAGCCGAUCUCAUGUCUUGGCUGUGAUGAGGCAGAACCACCUCGGCCGAACACCUCCUGAGAUCCCUGGAAGAAGAGAUAGGAGGAACUCCAGCCUCUACUGUGCCUACCAUCGAGAUGUUGGGCACGAGACCGAAGACUGCAACGAUCUGAAACGAGAGAUCGAAAAUCUAAUUCGGCAAGGACACUUGAAACAAUUUGUCCGCAAAGAUGGAAGCUUCGGACGAAGUGCCUCCCACCGGGAGAGCCGAGGUUCUCGCCGAGAAGACAGGCGGGACACCAAGUUCAACUGCCGAGGUCCUGAGGACCAGAAAGGGGACCAGAGGCCUCCACGCGACGGGUCACCAGGCUAUGGUCCAAACAUUGCCGGGGUGAUCAACACCAUCUCAGGUGGUCCCACGGGAGGAGACAGCCAGAGCUCCCGAAAGCGGACCUACCGCCAAGCCGGCAUGGAUGUGGCCGAGCCGAGCUCGAGGCUGUCCGAGGUCAUAACUUAUGGUCCCCGCGACCCUGUCCCCGCUGCCUCCAGCAAUCACGAGGCUCUCGUGAUUGAGGUCCUCACAAACAAUUAUAUAGUCAAGAAGGUCUACGUUGACCCCGGAAGCUCGGUAGACGUCCUGUACUACCGAACUUUCGAGAGUUUGAAGCUAACCCGGGAACAACUCACUCCGGUCAGAACUCCCCUUGUCGGCUUCGGGGGACACGUCGUCCACCCGGAAGGCAUGGUGAAUUUAAUGGUGACUAUCGGGCGUCAUCCCCGUUGCCGAACUGUGCCUGUCAGCUUUGCGGUGGUCAAAGCGGACUCUCCUUACAACAUGCUGAUAGGCCGGCCCACGCUCAAUGCCUUGAGAGCCGUAUAUUCUACCUACCACCUAAGCUUCAAAUUUCCAACACCAGAGGGGGUGGCUGAGGUGAGCAGUGACGUGGGCGCCGCCCGAGAAUGCUACCUCGCCACCAUCCAAGCCGCAGUCGGACCUCAGCCCCCGCCGAGGUCAGAAGAAAAGAGGCCGGCUGUCCUCUCCAUAGACUGCAUCGACCCUCACAAGGCAGGAGAGCCCAGCAGGCUUGAGCUAGGGGAUGAAGUGGAACAAGUGGUCUUGGAUGAAGCCAAGCCUGAACGAGUGGUCCAAGUAGGGGCCGGACUCCCUUCACCCCUGAAAGAAGAAGUGAUCUCCCUGAUCAAGGACCACCGAGACAUCUUUGCGUGGUCCGCAGAUGAAGUGGUCGGAGUGCCACCCGAGCUUAUGACUCACCAACUUAACGUUAACCCACAGGCCCGACCUGUGCGGCAGAAGCGAAGACACUUCGGCCCCGAACGCAGCAAGGCCAUAUCGGACGAGGUCGACAAGCUCUUGCCGGCCAAGAUGAUCCACGAAGUCCAAUAUCCGACUUGGUUGUCCAACCCAGUCAUGGUCAGAAAGGACACCGGCGGAUGGAGAAUGUGUGUAGACUACACCGACCUCAACAAGGCCUGUCCCAAAGACUGCUAUCCCCUCCCGAGGAUAGACACCCUCGUCGACUCGGCGAUGGGGUACGAGAUCCUGUGCUUCCUAGAUGCCUUCAAAGGGUAUCAUCAAAUAGGAAUGAGUGAAGAGGACCAAGAGAAGACGGCGUUCUACACCGAUCGAGGUGUUUAUUGCUACACCACCAUGCCGUUUGGGCUGAAAAACGCCGGGGCGACCUACCAAACGCUGAUCAACCGGCUCUUCAAGAAUCAGAUCGGCCGUAAUGUGGAGGCUUACGUGGAUGACAUCCUCGUCAAAAGUCUCGCCACUUCAUCCUUCCUGUUAGACUUGAGGGAAGUCUUCGGGGUCCUGCGAGACUCGAGGAUGAAGCUGAAUCCCAAGAAGUGCGUCUUCGGCGUCACCUCGGGAAAAUUCUUGGGGUAUCUGGUUUCCCAUCGGGGGAUCGAGGCCAACCCCGACAAAGUCAAGGCCAUCCAAGAUAUGUCCUCACCUCGGAACCUCCGAGAAGUCCAAAGACUGAAUGGACGCCUGGCCGCACUGAACCGCUUUUUGUCUCAAUCUGCUGAGAAGGCCCUGCCCUUCUUUAAAGUGCUGAAGAAGUCUGAUCAGUUCGCCUGGACUGAGGAGUGUCAGUCUGCCUUCGACCAGCUGAAGCAGUACUUGCACCACCUGCCCACUCUCGCUUCACCUCGGCCCGAGGAGAAGCUCUACCUCUACCUCUCUGCAGCCGACGAGGCUGUCAGCGCUGUGCUCAUCCGAGAUGAGGGCACCCAAGUGCCGAUCUACUACGUCAGCCGCGCUCUUCGCGGGCCGGAGACUCGAUACACUCAGGUGGAGAAACUGGUGCUGGGACUGGUCCAUGCCGCUCGGCGGUUGAAGCCCUAUUUCUUAGCCCAUCCUAUCUCGGUCAGGACUGACCAGCCCGUUCGACAAAUAUUGGUGCGACCCGAAGCUUCUGGUCGCCUCACCAAGUGGGCUGUCGAAUUGGGAGAAUAUGACUUGUCCUACGAGCCACGCACCGCCAUAAAAGCUCAAGCUUUGGCUGACUUCCUUGCCGAGCUCACCUUCACGGAAGGUCCGGAGUCCACCUCAGCCUUAGCCGAGGUGUCCUCCUCACCCCAGUGGACAUUGUAUGUCGAUGGAUCCUCCAACGGAGAAGGCAGCGGAGCCGGACUUCUCCUGGAAGGACCUCAGGGAGAGGUGUGCUCCUACGCCCUCCGCUUUGGCUUCCCAGCCACCAAUAAUGAAGCCGAGUACGAGGCCUUAAUUGCUGGACUCCAGUUGGUCCGAAGGUUCGGCGCCCAGCAAGUCCACGUCCGCAGUGACUCCCAACUUGUUGUGCGCCAAGUUCUUGGUGAAUACGAGGCUAAGGAUGAGACCAUGCAAAGGUACCUCUCCAAAGUUCACCAACUCACCGCAUAUUUCAAGUCAUUCGAAAUCCAAAGAAUCCCCCGGUCCCAGAAUAAGCGAGCCGACGCCCUAUCCCGGCUGGCCUCCACUUCAUUCUCGGACCUCAACAAGACGGUCUUAGUGGAAGUUCUGAACGAACCAGGAUAUGUGGAAGAGGUGGCCUGCCCCGUCCACUCCGAAGAUAAUUGGAUGACCCCGAUCAUCCUCUUCCUGAGUCAGGGAACCCUUCCCGAAGACCGAGCCGAGGCGAGGAAGAUACAACGCAAGGCUGCUCGACACGCUCUCCGCGAUGGAGAAUUGUACAAACGCUCUUACCUCGGCCCCUGGCUGAGGUGUGUCACUCCCGAGGCCGGACGUCAUAUCCUCCACGAGAUCCACGAAAGCCUGUGCGGAGCUCAUGUCGGCCACAGGAUGUUAGCCAAGAAGACUAUGCUCCUUGGAUACUUCUGGCCAUCACUUCGGCAAGACGCCCAGGACCUCGUUCUCGGCUGUCCUUCCUGCCAAGUCCACGCACCCGAGCAUCACCAGCCCUCAAAUUUCAUGGUCCCCAUCACUUCACCUUGGCCAUUCGAGCAAUGGGGGACAGAUAUCAUAGGUCCUUUCCCUAAAGCGGUCGGGGGCUAUACCUUCCUGGUGACGGCUGUGGACUACUUCACUAAGUGGGUCGAAGCCGAGCCACUUCGCACCAUCUCGGGGCUGGCCAUUCAGAAAUUCUUUUGGAAAUGCAUUGUCUGCCGCUUCGGCAUACCUCAGAUCAUCAUCUCGGACAAUGGGAGACAAUUUGCCGAGAACCCAUUCAAGACCUGAUGCGAGAACCUCGGCAUCAAACAACACUUCACUUCGGUAGGCCACCCCCAGGCCAAUGGUCAAGCAGAAAACUUCAACCGGACUCUCCUGCAUGGCCUCAAGACCCGACUACACCGAGUUGGGUCAUCUUGGGUGGAGGAACUCCCCAGUGUCUUGUGGUCGUAUCGGACCACGCCGAGGUCAGCGACUCAAGAGACCCCAUUCUCCCUGACCUACGGAGCCGAGGCUGUCAUCCCGGCUGAGAUCCUUACCCCCAGCCCUCGGCUGGCAGCCUAUGCCGCCGAGGUGAACGACGAAGAGAGGCUGCUGGACCUCGACCUCGUCGAAGAACGAAGGGACCUCGCCUCCGCCCGGAUAUCUUCUUAUAAGAACACACUGGCACACUAUUACAAUGCCCGGGUCAGACAUCGUAGAUUCCGCCCUGGAGACUUGGUUCUCAGGAAAAACUCAGUCAGCCGAGCUGAGCCUCAAGGAAAACUGUGCCCAAAAUGGGAAGGCCCCUACCGAGUUGUGGAAUCUGACCCUAAGGGGUAUUGUAAACUGAGUUACCGAGAUGGCUCAUUAGUGCCGAGGUCUUGGCACGCCGAGAACCUUAGGUUGUAUUAUGCUUGAAGUGGUGACUUCAUUCAGUUGUUUCAUCCAAUUAUCUUGUCAAGUUAUGACUUCAGCUAUUUAGUUAUUUUUCAACGAUAUGAUGCCCAGCAUCUUUUAUUAAAAAAUAAGGGGGACAAACAAGGGAUGAAGUCAAAGCAAGAAACAAAAAGCGCUGAGAUAAGAGGAAACAGACUUUCAUUUAACAGAAGUAUUACAAAAAUUACAAGGCCGAGGAUCGGAGUGCUACUAAACACUUCACCUCGGCCACCCCCUUGAAGCCUACAAGCCUAAACCCCCGUAUCGGCUGCAUCCCCGGUCUUGGCUCCCUCCUGGGCAUCCAUCUCUUCGGCCUCCUUUCCGCCGGGGUGAACUUCAUCUCCAGGCUCUUUGCCGACGUCCCCUCCGGCUUCGUCUCCCCCGGCAUCCUCUCCAGUUUCUUCCUCUUCAACCCCCUCGAACACUUCGUCGAUUUCGGUACAGCCAUUUGUUGAACUCGGCCUGGACCUCGGCCAGGUCCCUUCCAGCCUGGAGGCCCUCAGCCAUCCGGUCGCACAACUCCUUGGAGUCCUCGUUGUAACUGGUAUGAUUUUUCAGAGACUCCAAGGCUUCGGGAGCGAGAUGAGCUGCAGCCUCGUCUAUGGCUGAUGUGAAGCCAAACAUGAAGUUCGGCGUGAGCAGUUGGCCGAGAUCCCUGGUGAAGGCCUCAGACCUCCGGAAUUCGUCCACCGCCGAGGCUCCAGCACUGUCAAGGGCUUGCUGGUGGGAUUUCUUCGCCUCGUCCCCCCUCUUCUGCUCUUCUUCGAGAGCCGAUCUGAGACUGUUGACAGUAGCCACGGCCUCCUCAUCCUUCACCUCGGCCUCCUUAAGCCGCCUUUCAAGCUCGGCCUUCUCAGAUUCGGACACCGCCAGUUGUUUCUCCAACUUGGAGAUCUGAUUCUGUAGCUUGCCGGUGUCCUGCUCAUCGACCAGAGCACAAUAUCGGUGUGCCAUCUCGGCCGCGAAGGCAGAGGUGGAAGCCGUGGUCACCAUCAGACUUUGAACCAGCUCGGCCGGGCUCAGCUUCUUCAUGAACUCCAAAUCCCUUGGCAGAAUGGAGUGCAUUAUUAGCUCUUGAGCGACGCGAGGGUGUUGGCACCUGUCGUUGACCGAAAUCUUCCAGUUCGGACACCAAUGAUUGCCGGAGUGCGUCUUCUCGUCUCCGGAAAACACUGGGGGGCUAUGGAAACGAUUCCAUAGCGAGGUCCCCGACACCGGAUUAACCGGAGGCUUCAGCUGCUUGCCUCGGCCAGAAGGAGGUGUGACUAUUUUAACAACUCCAAGGGGAACUCCCUCUGGCGCAGACGAGGUGGACCCAGUAGCCGUAGUGGCCGAGCUGCUCUGGCCAGCCUUGGUGGAAGUGCCUUUGGGCGCUGAAGUCUUAGCGGCUGGUCCUUGUGACUUCUUCUUUGGCGGAGGCGCCGACGUCUCGUCCGAACUUUUCCUCUUCUGCCUCUUGGCCACUUCGGACGAGCCGGAGACGACGAGGUCAGACAGUUUAGUCACUGCACAAGGAAUAAAUAUUAUCAUAUGCCUUAGCCGAAAUGAAAAGAAAAGCCAUGAAAGAAAAUUACAAGGUUUCUCAAGUUUAAUGGAAAAGAAGGGAGUCUUGGUAGUGUUGAUCACGGCUCGACUUAUCCCUCCAUCUACGAGCACGGCCUCGGGGUAGUCAUGGCUGAACAGCCGAAGUCCCGACUUCAUCAGCUUCUGGAAGGACUCCUUUUCGGCAUCCCCGGCAGAGGGGUCGGCCUUCGCCUUAAUCGACCUCCACCAAAAGCCCCUCGGGAAGUCCACUCCGGACACGAAAAAGUAGUCGCGCUUCCAGUUCUUGAUCGAGCUGGGAGCACCGAUCACCAACUUCGGGAUGGCAUUGUUCCUGUUGCCAACAUAAAACCAUCCCUUGUCCGACGCGUGCGCCUUGAGGGUGUAGCAUCGGCGGAAGAGAUCGACGGAGGGAGUCACCUCCUGAUGUCGGCACAGCAUCUCGAACCCCACAAUGAUGCGGAUCGCAUUCGGGGUGAGCUGGGUGAUUCUCACCCGGAAGUGACGAACUAAAUAUCGGAGGAACCUCGACGUAGGCAUCCUCAGCCCGGCCUCCAGCUGUUGAACGUAGACGGCCACCAUGCCAAAGGGGGGCUCCGCGGCUGUGUCAUCCGCCUCGGGCGGCAAUAUUUCGUACCACGGCCGGAAGGGGUACUUGUCUACCACCCUCAUAGCCCUAUCUCUUCCUACGCGACUCCUAAACUUCGGCAUCUGCCCGAAGUCGAUGUCGGCUACGUCCACUGGAGCAACUGGCUCCGGUACACCCUCGUCAUGGGGUAUCUCGGUCCCGAGCUCGGUAUUAUACUCCACCUCGGAGCCGCCCUCGCUGAUCUCGGAUGAUUCCAGUUCCGAGGCUAUCUUUCCGGCUCUCACCUCGGUCGAUCCUUCCUCAGAACUCUGUGCCGACCCCUCCGAGCUGGACGUCGUUGCUUCUUCCUCAGGAUCCGCCCUCACCUCGGUCUGGUAGCUCGGGGUCACGGUUUCUUUAUGGGUUUUAGCCGUCUUGGCCAUGAGUGAAAGACGAGAUAAGAAAGAAAAGGGAUACUUACUAUCGUUUACGGAACUGGACGAAGUGGAUGACUUCGGCUAUGAUCUCGGCUGGAAAAACUGACCUCGGCAACACUCGCAAAUUUUGCAAGUCACAAGCGAAGAAAGAAAGUGAUGGACCAUGCGGUGAAAGGGACCACCUAUUUAUAGGGGAUGGCCAGAAUCCGAAGAGGCGGCAAGAAUACGAAAAGACGACCACGAUCGAAUUCGAAACGCCACGCCUCUCUCUCUCCUCAUUAAUGCCCCGUCCUUUCGACUGACACCUUCUGCACGAAACGUCCCACUACUUCACGACGCGACGGUUAUCAGUGACCACGUCCUAUCAACUGAUUCGCCCACGUGUCACGUCCCCGCAUCUCCCGGAGUAGUUUUGGGACCCCGACUCUUCACGACUUCGGCACAAAGAAGCCUCGGUACCUCCCUGGCCCGAAGCCCAGAGGCUUGGGGGGCUUAUUGAGGGUGCUCACCUCGGCCACCCCGCGUGUCCGAGGUGAAGUCAUCUCGUCUCUCAUCGGAGCCCAUCCCUGUCUUGAGCACAACCCCAGAGUCCGGCUUCAUCCCUAGUCCACCGUGUAGGUGACCUCGGCACAUCCACCUCGGACGCACACUGAUGAUGUCAACCUGCCUGACAUCUUCCAGGACCAGCACUUUAUCUGAAAAGCACGGGAGGCACUUGAUGGCACCUGCACCAUAUCCUCCGUCAUCACUCCCAGGCGGCUACAGUGUCAGAGUCAGACUCCCCGACAGGAGACAGAGCUGUAAUGUCAGAGUGGGUCCCACUAACAUAAGUCCAGAGUCUCGCCUCUACUCUUCUAUAAAUACCUCCCUCACACUCCCACCAAGUAAGCGGACACUGUUCAUUAACUCAUUCUCAUUAUUCUCGUUCUCAUACUAACUUGAUCGUCGGAGUGACACCAGGGGAGAAGCCCCGCCACUCACUUCGGACGAGGAGGUUAACUUCGGACACAGGAGUUCACCUCACUUCAUCUCAGAGAGGACUGAUCCAGGUCGGUCUAGUUACCAACCAAAAAUCACCUCCUCAAACCCC
rnacentral:lncRNA from 1 species